rnacentral:lncRNA from 1 species
ACUCUAUACUGAAGGUAAAUUGUGGGAACUAUGUCUUUUUGUGGUAUAGAUGGGGUUAUCAUAUAGUUGAAUGAUUCUAUUGCUUCCUUAUAACUUUUCAAGGCACUAAAAAAGAAAAAAACAAAGGUCGGACUAGGAAAAAUAUUUCGUCCUGAUUUCAGGUAUACUCUUUCCUUAUGAAGUCUUAUUGUGGUAAAUUAUAGUUAGAUAUAGUCACAUCGACAUUUUUUUCUUCCAAGUUUAAACAGUAAUUCGGGAGAGUGUAUUAUGAAAACAUAGUAAAAUAAAAAAUCUUAUGAAUGUAUUCUACUUUGGAUAUUUCUUAUGAAUCUUCCCCUGCACUCCUGACCACCACAGACACUCCCAUCACACCAAGCCUUGUAGCUGUUCUAAAUUGUUGCAAAUAUGUUAGAAACCAAUUACUAAUAUUAAGGACGGUCAUGUCUACUAAUUUCGGGUUAGAAUUUUUAGAGUAGGUGGGAAAUUAUGGUUGCAGUAGGGAAUGUGAGUGCUUCUGUUUUGCCAAGGUGGCUUUCCUUAUUCAUGCUAACAUCAACAACAUAGCAAUGAACUCGAUUUAAUAUUGUUUAUCGUAUAGGCUUGAGAUAUCCGGACAGAAAAGUUAAAACAAGAUCUUCCAGGCUAUGAAGAUGAGGUAUUUUUCUCCUCUUAAGUACUACUUAAUAUUCUUCUUUUGACAUUGUACUUGGUUUAAUUAAUGUUUUCCUUCUUUUCGUACUCUGGAAAGGUUUUUGCUGUUGAUUGGAGUCCAGAUGGUGAGAAGGUAGCCUCCGGUGGUAGGGACAGAGUACUCAAUUUAUGGAUGGGUUGAUGGCUAAAGGAGGAAGAGAUGUAUGAAAUGAAGAUUGACAUGAUUCUUCCACAACAUGAUGGACUUGGCAGACACUCAACUUUUGCCUAUAGUUGAUAGUCUACCAUGUGUAACUUAAAGGUUGUGCACUAAGUUCUGAUGUUAUGAAGGAUCGAGGGUGGUUUGUGCACUAAGCUCUUCUAAAAUAUUUUUCUUUAUUGAGCUGUAAUGAUUGUAUUAUUUGGAUUUAAUUGUAUUCAUUAGGUUUGUAGAUCACGAUAUGAUUAUUUUCCUCUUUGAUCAUGUAAAGUUAGGAAGCAGUUAUGGGUUACUAUAUUAGCAUGGUAUAUUGAUGCACACAGUUUGUGGCAUGACAGUUUGAUGAAAUUACAGAAGUGUAGCACUCAUAGGCAUAUCAUGUGAACCUUAUUCAAUGUGGCAUUGACAGUUAGUUUAUAUUUACAUGGGUGUAAUGUCGCACUAGUAUCCUCUAAUGAACCUUGGAUUCUUUUUUCUCCGUUUCUUCCUCUCUUGGUCAAGCAAAACAAUUUAUCUUCAUGACUUCCUCCUAUUACCAAAAAGCAACAUCUUGUGUUCUCCAUCUCUUCAUUCCCUUGUCAAGACACAACAAUUUGAUGCAUUUUUGCAUUGGGUUGCUUCCUCUCCUUCCCUUCUCCUUCCUCCUCGUCUCAUUGCUUAGUUUUGGCUAUGUUUAUUUUGAUCAUUAUGGUAGAGCAUCCUUGCAAGAUGUACAAGAAAUAUGUUGUGGUGCAUUAUCCCCUUCUCUACCACCCGAAAUCUGUUUUCCAUGAUCAUUAAUACCAAGAUGUUUAAGCAUCAAGUAAGGCAUCUCUCAACAAUUAUGCGAGAAAUAAGAGACAAGCAACAUACCAGUAUUCAAGAGAAGUGAUGUUCUACAUUUGCAUUUGACAACAUGCAUUUAGUCUGAACUCCAAAUUUGGGCAACUCAGAAUCUCCACCUUCAUUAUGAUUGCAGAAAGUUGCCUUCUUGGAAAAAUGUGGAAAUUGGGCAUUUAGAAAUCUAAAAGAAUCACAGUGGCAUGUUGCUACUUUUGAAUCAUUCCAAUCAAUAACAACUCCAAAGAUAUAUAUACAAAUUUGUCCAUAGGAAAGAGAUCAAUGUUUCUUGGGCAUGCAACCAUCUCUCUUAACAAACUCAGGGUUCUACACCCUCUUAGUGGUUUCUUAUAUAUUGCACCAUAUGAUUUGUAGAUAUCCAAUUGCCAAUUUCACUACACCUAAUGAACUAGAAGCUAUGCUAAAAGUGAAGUUAAACAACCCAUCGUAGAAAGAAUCUUGUAGGAAUACACCAAAAAGAAAAUCUUAUUAACAUAAAUGAACUCAUCCAGUUAAAGGAUAAAGUUGCAUUAAAAAUUGAAUUGGGAGAGAUACAAAUAUUGAUGCUUACGUGGGACUGUGGAAUGGAUCAACAAGAGGAACAAACACUGAAUAGUAAAUGUAAAGUCAUAAAGCUUGUAACAACUGUCAAAUACUACUCUAUAGUGAAGUUUUUUUUAACAAUAAAGGUAACUGCAAAAUUCACCAAAUAGCUCCACUUGAAGGAAAUUUCAAUGGUAUGAAACUAAGAUAUGGUGAACUCUCCUUGCUUCUGCUAUUGUUGUGAGCCAUUAUAGAUCAAAGAUGAAUCUCGCCAUCUGUUUUCACAUAGGAGAUGUGGGCUAUCUUUGGGUCAUCUCUCAUCAUUGGAUUUAGGAGUUAUGUCUCUCAUAUAUAGUUUCACUUGCCAACUACAAAUGGAGCUUAGCAGAUGUCUCCAUGAUGUGGAGACUGAGCAACAUACAUGAUUCAAGGGAUGUGCAGUUGUUCUUGUGAAUCACCCAAUCUUCAUCUAAUAUAUAUAGACGCACAAAUUUUAGCAACUUGUAAUCUCCACAUUUUAGAGCACUAGAGGAAGCUAGCUUAUUCAGCAAACAUAACACAAUUAGAAAAAUACAAGAAUUCCAGAUACAUGUUGUGCUAUCAUGCAUUCCAAUCAGUAAGGAAUCAAAGUGCUAUAAUUUUAAACUAUGCAAUAACAAACCUAUCUUGGGGAAGUAAACUGUCUUGAGCACCAACUUAAUUGUGAGUUCUUUGGGAGACUUGGACACCAACUCAAUCAAAACUGCUAGUUGUUUCUGUGGCAGCUUGUCUUCAUCCACUGAUAUUGGAGAAAAUGCUUUUGAAAACCCUUAAUCUUCAAAUCACAAAGAGAAAUUAGAUUAUGUUGGUAUUCGAUCUCCAAUCUCUUUAACACAAAUGGAUGAUUUCCUAGUAACAAACAAUGGCUAAUUUUAUCACUUAUACUCUAGCAUGUGAUUUGGGAGGAGAAUUAAGCUUUGGAAUAUUGCCAAUAAACAAGGAAUUGAGAAAGACCAAGUGGGCAGCCACCACAACUAGUUCACAAAAAAAUGGAAGCAUUGGGAGUGGAACAUGACACAAAAACAAAACAUGUUUUCCAUAUUCAUAAAUACCAAGGUGUUUAAGCAUCAGGUAAGGCAUCUCUUGACAAUAAUAUGAGAGAUAGAGACAAGUAGCAUACCGUUAUUCAAGAGAAGUGGUAUUCUUCUUUUGCAUUUGACAACAUUCAUCCACUUUACACCCCAAUUUUGGUAACUUAGGAUCUCCACCUUCAUUAGGAAUAUUGUAGGAAACUGGCCUCUUGGAAAUACAUGAGAGGACAUUUAGAAAUCUAAAAUAAUUCUAGAGACUUGUUAUUGCUUGAAUUGUGAAUCAUUCCAAUUAGUAACAACCGUAGAGCCUCUAUACACAAUUUUGAAUUAUCUACCUUCUUACAUUAGAUGAAAAAUCUAUCCCUAGAAAAGAGGCGUGUCUCGGGCCAUGCAACCAUCAAUUAUUAGCUCUCUAAGAGGCUUGAAGUUGUGCACCCUCUUGGUAGCUUCUCAUUCAUUACAACAUAUAAAUUCCAGAUAUCCAAUUGGCAUGUCACUUGAACAUAGUAAGAAACAUAGUGAAUAGGAAGUUAGACAACCUGUCACAAAAAGAAUCCUACAAUAAUACACCAAAUAAAACAUCUUGCUAAUUCAGUUAAACAAUUGUGUGAAAAUCUAAAUUAAGAGAGAGAAAAACAUUUAUGCUUACAUAGGACUAUGGGAGGGACCACAAGGGAAAUGAACUUCGAAUAGAAAAUGUGAAGCUUUAAAGCUUGUAAUUGUUGUCAAAAGUUGCCCCCUAGUCAAGUUUUCAACAAAAAUGUUCAGUGUAAGGAUUCUCUAGUAACUCAACUUGUAGAAAAUUUCAACAAUAUGACAAUUUAUACUCAUAAAAAGAAGAUAAAAUGUAAGAAUUAUGUGUUGGGAAUAGAUGAAACUUACUGAAUAUAUAUAUAUAUAUAAAAUAGGAUGAACUCCACCAGCUUCCAUUUUUGGAAUCCAAACUAUUAUGGAUCAAAGAUGAAUCUCUCCAUCUAUUUAUAAAUAGGACCUAUGGGCAAUCUUGAAUUGAUGUCUCAUCACUGGAUUUAGAACUGAUGUAUAGCUCUGAACCAUGGCAGAGUUCUCCUUCAGUUGCCAAAUACCACUAGAGCUUAGGUGAGGUCUUGGUGAUGUAGGGAAGUCAUGGAUUCCGGAAUCUUUACAUGAAAAUAUACAGGAGAUACAUUGGAAGAAAGGACAGGCCAUCUGAGAAGAAACACAUCUUAAAGUAUACCAUCAAUCAUGAGUUGUUUGAGAGUGAGGAGUCUUUGAAGGCCUCACUCAGAUAAGGGUUGUCUUUGACAUUUCUCACUCUUCAAUCUCAAGAAGGUACAUCAUCAACUAGAACCUUAGGAAUGUGAGUCAUCAUGGGACAACUUGUUUAUGUUCUUUAUUCUUUUCUCACCAGAGAGGAUUGAAAGAUAUGUAGUUUCAAGGGCAAAACAUGUAGCCAGUAGUGAGAGCAUCAAACAAUCCUUCUCUAAUGCAAACCACAAAUUUUAGUAACUCGUGAUCUCCACAAUUUAGAGCACAAGGAAGCUGGUCUGUUGGAAAGAUGUGACAUGAAAUUUAGAAAUAGGCAAGAAUUCUAGAGAUCAUUCCAAUCAUUAAGGAAUCCAAAGCCUUAUAAUUUGAACAGGGCAUCUGCUUGGCAUGGAUAACGCACCUAUCUUGGGACAAAGACCACAUGUUGAGCACCAAUUCAAUUAUCAACUCUCUAUGAAACUGGAUAUAUAAGGUACUAAUGUUAGUACAAAUUACUUGGUAGCUCUUCUUCUUUUACUGGUGUUAGGGGCAAAGCCUUGUGAAAACCCUAAAUCUACAAAUUACCAAGGACGUGAGAUCAUGUUGUAAUCUUAUCUCCAAUCUCCAGCUGCAAAUAGAUUAUUUCUUUCAAUUAACAAUCUUUAAUGCUUUCACUUCUAUCAUAGGAUAUGCAAUUUGGGAAAACAAGUAAGAUUUAUAAUAUUAGGAAUAUGAAAGGAAUUGAUGAAGGCCAUGAAUCUACUUAAAAUAAAAACAAAGAUUUUUUCACCCAUGAAUACCAUAACCAACUUCCAAAAAGCAUUAGGUAUUGCAAUAACCAAAUGUUCCUUGGGUAUUAAAGUUAAAGUUCAAAGUAACCAAGAGUGCAUUUUUUGACCCAUGCAUAAAAUAAAAAGAAAAUAAGAACGAAUACCAUAUAACUCACAAUUGUGUCAAGUAUGAGUUUAGUUUAUGUUCAUGCACAAUUGCAUUAAGUAUUCGAAAGCUAAAUAAGGCUAUGUGCAAUUCAAAGAAUACCAUACAAUGCUCACAACUUAUCAUAGAAUGAGAGCUCAAUUGUCUUUCUUCCAGUCAUAAGAGUUUGUGCUCUUUGAGCCUCUAACUUGCACAACUCAAAACAGCAAGACAUGCCAAAAAGUCUCCUUCACCUUAAACAUUAUUCAAUAUAAAUCUUGAUAAGAAAAUUUUCUACAAAUAUAACAUGUUGCAAACAAAUAGCAAUAUGUUAGUUUAAAAUUGAAGAGAAUUUCAAACCAAACAAAAUAGAAAAAAUUUCAAUGUUUAUCACUUACCUAAAAACUUGUAUGUUGGAUAAAGUUGAUGCUAAUGAAUCUUGACAAUUGUUUGCAAUCAAAAUUUAUUAAUGAUUCAUAGACAAAAAAAAAAAAAAAGGAAAUUAUAAAAUUAUUUAGCAAUGUUCCAUGAAAAACACAUUGUACAUUGAUUGAGAAAUUAAUAUGAAAUCCACUAAUUUGAAAGACAUUAAAAAACAGAUGUUGUCUUGAGUUCUCCAUGUAUCAUGACAGAUGCAAGUUGCUAUUCGAGCCACCACAAUCAUGGAGUACGAGACUUCUCAGCAUGGAAGGCAUACCAAAUUUCAAACAAGGUUCUUAACUUUCCAAGAGACAUAAGAACAUGGUGUGUUGUAUAAACUGUAGAAUAAAUAAAUGGAAGUUAGACACACAUGCACUUGCUACUUAUUUUUUUUAAUCAUCUAUGAAAUAAAUAAAGAGGUGUUACUUGCAUUCAAUCCAAACUUGUGGUCUCCAAUGUGAAAUCCAAAUCUCAUUUUGUCAACACAAUAAGAGCAUUAAACAUACAACAAAUUGAAUCCUUCCUUUUGACAAUGUGAAAACCUGAAAGAAAUGACUCAAGAUCAUAAAUAAUUAUACAAUAAAGAAAACUUUCAUUAGUCUUUCUCAAAGAAAAAUCUAUUAUUUCCUUGAUUACGGAAGAUAGAUAUUUUGACAUAAAGUGCACUUAUUAAGGUAAACUUUGUGCAUUAUACAUUGAAAUUAGAAAUUUGUAUUUAAAUCCAAUUAGAAAGGUACCACAAAAGAUGAAUAAUUGAAAUGAAGACAUCCAUGCCAAUUUGUAACUGCUGUCAAAUAACACCCUCCCUUAACAUUUUUUAUCCCAUGCCUGCAUGUCAAAUCUCCAACUAAGAUUACUCAAAGAGCACCUAAAAGAAAAUUACCAAGAUUUCAUCACAUGCAGAACUCAAGAUGCUAACAUUGAACCAUGGGAGAGAUCGACAAGAAACAAAAUACUCACCCAUAAGUUUGUAAUUGUUGUACUUAAAACCCGUUUCCUAGUCAAACUUGCAACACAACUCCAUGGAGACUUUCACAAAUAGUUAAGCCACUGGUAGAAAACAACAUCAAUAUGAGAAAUUGACAAGGUACUGUGCAGAUAAAAGAGUAUAAAUGUGUGUUGAGAAUAAGAUUUACCUUAAUGAAUGUAAGGAUAGGAUAGGGUUGAAUUGGCUUUGCACCUGUUUUUGCAAUUUGAUGUUAUUACGAUUCAAAAAUGAGUUUAUGAUCUAUCCUCACUUUAAGGGAAGUGGGCAAUCUCCUUGAAACAUCUUUGAUUUAGAGAUUCGAUAAAACUCAAAAGACAACCUUUCACUUGGUAAAGAGGGCUAGAACAGGGCACCCCUCAAUCUCUACAAGUUAAAGAGAUGAAGUUCUGAAGACCAAGGAAAGGGACUUGGGAUUCUAGAUUUGACAAUAUUUUCAUUGAAAUAUCAAUGAGAGUUGUAGCAAGAAAUACUGUCAAAAGGAAAUUGCAUUUAACAAUGCGCAAUAUAAAAUGAAUGAACUGAGUUUUUGGAGAGGUGAAUCUUUGGAGGCUCCACAAAGAUAAGGGGUCUUAAUACUCUUGCAAGUAUAUUCAUGAAAUUGCUUUCUCAAAGAACUCCAGAACCUAAACAAUGUGCAACACAAAGCUAUUGAAGAGAUGUGAGACUUUGAAUCUGAUGAGGUAGGGACUUGAGAUCCACAUUUUCUUAUGUGAAGAAUUUUGAGGUUGUAGAGGCACACUAGUAGUUUCCAAAUUCAGAUGCUUCUCUUCAAAUAUUCGUAUAAUGUACAUCUUCUUUGACAUUGCUGCUCCAACAUGAUGUGCAACCUAUUUGAGCAUACUACAUGUACAACAAAAAAUUUCAUUACAACAAAAAUCUAAAGUUAAUGUCUAAGAAGAUAAGAUUUAUAUAAAGUGAAUGAGCAUGCUUGAUUUAGCACAAAGAGAAUGACCCUAAAAUUUAAGAAUAUCAUUAAAAACUUCACAAGGAUUUGAUGGUUAGACAAUGAAGUAAUUCUAAUAAAUGAGUUAAAAUCGGCUAAGCUAAGAAAAAUUAAAUCCAAAUAAGCAUCAAUCAGUAAGGAAUUGACCUACUAUGAAAGACUUCAAAUGAUAUUUUCCUUGUAAUUUCUAUUCUUAAUUGGCCCCAUUUGCUUGUACCAAAAUAUUAUUAUCUUACCUUAAAGGAAGUGGAUGACUUAUAUCUUUGAAAGGAUGUGAAAGGUGGAAAUCCCUCGAUUUCCAAUUAUUCAAGAAGAUAAUUCCUAUGGCUAUUGUUGUCAUUGUGCAUAAUUCAACUAGCUAUAGACUACAUAAUUGAACAAUCAUGAACACGUAGAUGCUUAAAUAUGGUAUGUAGUUCAUCUAGUGGAAAAAUAAAUGAGACUUGGACAUCUCAAGAUUUAUGGGAAUCAAGACAGAUACAAGUUGUUGUUGUUGUUUCCUAUUAUAAUUCAUUUGGAUUGCAAUCAACAAGCGCUAACUCCAUUCACUGCAUGUUUUGAGUCUUCAACAUAAAACCCAAAUUCCAUUCUAUCAACCAAAAAAUAAAAAUAAAAAAUCCUAAUAACUCCUCUAGGAACCAUUUUACGUCUCAGAUUAUAAGAUGCAGGAUGUAACUCACUUCCAUCAUUGAGAAUGAAUUGAUAAAACUUUGCAAUACUAGUAUAUUCAGCUUCAUUAUGAUGACCUCAUUAGAACUAGAAUAAGUGGAGUGAUAAUGUUAUCUAAUUAGUAAACCCAACCAAUUUUAUAAACUAGAACUUCCACUAGUAUAGCCUCUAUGUAAAAGAAAUUUAAAGGUCUUGAUACAUUAGAUAUUGAAAUUGUUGGAUUAAAAUUUUAUUUAUUGCACCUAGCAAGAUAGAAGUAAUAAUGCUAAUUUCAAAUUAUGACAGAUUAUAGAGAAAAUUAGACACUGAGGAAAUACCAAGCCAGAAGCCAUGUCAAGAUCUGCUUUCUAGUUGAAAAUUUUAGCAAAAAAUUAAGUCCAAUUAAAAAAUUGCAAUAGUAGGUAAAAGAAAUUGAAAGUGAUGUUGAGGAGAGAAAGAUGAAGAAAGAUGUUGGGAAUGAGAUGUAAUACUUGUUUUAUUGCUCAGAGAUGGAUUAGUCAUGUAUCUCCACACGGGGGAUAUCGGCAAUCUUGGGCCAAUCAUGUCCUUCCUCCUCUAAGUACCUUUGUUUUAGAUGUGGACACCUCCAAAUCCGUAGUUCUAACAGGGAAUCAGGCACCAGUCCUUCCCUUGGCAAAAUCCACUGGAGCUUAGGGCAGUUGAAGAUCACCAGGCUUCUAAGCGAUGUAAGGGUUUGGAGAGAUAGGGAGGCUAAGGAUUCCAGAUUAUGGAUUUGAGAAAUGUGAAGGGAGGUAAGAGUUGUAGGAAGAAUAAUCAAGUGGGGGUCAUCUGAAAAGGAAGUUGCAUAUGGAAACAUGCCUUCAAUUGAGAGGUUUUCAAGAGAGGUGAGUCUAGAAAGGCCCCAUUGGGAUAAAGGGGUCUUGAUAUUCUCACAGUGAGAGAUAGAAAACAAUGUAAGACAAGUGAGGUUUUUUAUCAGAGGCAAUAAUUUCAAAUUUUUAUUAUUUGCAAUAUAUAGAUCUGUGAGGUUGUAAAGGCAAUUUGGUAGGGCUCUGAGAUUAGGAUACCUCCCGAUGCUUAAUGAUUGAAAUGAAUUAUUAUUAGAGUGAAACAUCAUGAUAAUAGGCAACUUGGUAAGCUGAUUACAUCAUGAUAAUAUCAAUGUUUGUAAAUUGCAAAGACCGCCUAUUGAAUCAGGUAAACAUUUAAUGUUGCUUUUAGACAAAUUCAGAUACCUUAGAAGUUUUAAAUUACCAAAUUCAUUUGGUAUCUCAUUUAUCCGGUAACCACUCAAGAAGAGCACCCUUAGGUGUUCUAAUCUUGGUAUCAAUUGUCGAAGCACCUUAUUACUGAUGAAUUGAGUAUCGAUAAAUCUUGGUGUUGAUAUAACUAUGAAUGUGCACAAAUGCUCCUUCUUAUGAAACCUUUCAAACUUUUAAAUGUAUCAUAAUCAUCACGAAUAAAUGAUGAAUGGCAAGUACUUUUAGGAAUGAGACGUUGCAAAUUAUUUUUGAACUCAUCAUCCAAAUGCAAGCAUGUAUCUCCAGCAACAUAUUUAGCUAGAGCAUGGACAAGGUCAUGCAUCACAAAUCGUGAUCUAUUGCUACUCGACUAUCGAAAAAAUGACCUUGACAGUAGCUCAUCAAAAUACUUAUCACCAAGAUCUUCAAUUUUCCUAUUAUCUUUUGAUUGUUGAAUUAACCCCUCCGCCAUCCACAUGAAGAUUAACCCUUGCUUUGUAAACUCAUAAUCCUGGGGAAAAAUUGCACAAUAAGUAAAACACCUCUUUAAAUGUGACGACAGAUGAUUGUAGCUCAAUCUCAAGGCAGGGAUGAUGUCACAUUCCUUGUUUGUGAAAUCCCAUACUUUGCUGUACAAUUCUCUUUCACAUUCACAUCCCCAUAGUUCAGAGUGCAAAAGGCCACCAAGGGCUCUUGCUGCUAAGGGCGAACCUCCACACUUGUCUACAAUUCUCCUAUCAAUUGAUUCCAAAUUUGGGUGCUCAUCGAUAUUCAUAUGUUCAAAAGCUUGUGUUUGAAAUAUCUUCAAACAAUCAUCAUAAGGUAACUGUUUGAGCUCAUGUAAGUUCUUGUGUCCUCUCAUCUUGUUUGCAACAUCAUUAUUGUUGGAAAUCAAGCCAGCAUCCUUUGUUUACUUCCCUAAUUAGUGUAAUGUACAGCCUUUAUUAUAAUUGAUUUAGGAGUAAUUCUAGCAAGGUAGUUUAUUCACUUCCCAUGUAAGAGUUUAUUCUUAGGAGUAAUUCGAGCAAGGUAGUUUAUUCACUUUCCAUGUAAGAGUAGUUUAUUCACUUCCCAUGUAAGAGUUUAUUCACUUUCCAUGUAAGGGAAAUUCCAUUCCGGAAUUGUCUCAUAUCUGUAGGCUAUUUAUUUAUGCUUUCAUUCAUUGUAAAGGAAGGUAUCACAGAAUGAAUUGAGGUGUUCCUCCAUAGUUUGUCUUCAAAUUCUUCAUAUUUUUCUUCAAAUUCUUCAUGGUAUCAGAGCAGGUUUAAUCCUGUCUCAUCGUCUUCAUCUUUAGUCAGUUUUUUUUUUACUCAAUUCUAUUCUUCUAAUUUAUGUCUAAAUAUGGUCCAGCCUUUGGAAUGGCUACCAACUCAUCAUCCUCUACUUCUGAUAUNNNNNNNNNNNNNNNNNNNNNNNNNNNNNNNNNNNNNNNNNNNNNNNNNNNNNNNNNNNNNNNNNNNNNNNNNNNNNNNNNNNNNNNNNNNNNNNNNNNNCUGGCUAGUCAACUCUAUGACCGCUGACAUUGGUGAAAAUUUUCUGUCAUUUGAUACUGCCAAAGAAAUCUGGGACACUGCAAAAGAAACUUUCUCAGACAAGGAAAACACAUCUGAAAUCAUCCAGAUUGAAGGCAUCCUCCACGAUUUGCGUCAAGGAAACCUUACGGUAACUGAAUAUUUCAAUACUCUUACUCGUCUAUGGCGUCAACUUGAUACGUUUGAGGUUCAUAACUGGAAUUGUGUUACAGAUGGUUUUUUGUAUAAAAAGAUUGUCGAAGGGAAACGUGUGUUUAAAUUUUUGUUAGGUUUGAACAAAAAUCUUGAUGAAAUCAGAGGAAGAAUCAUGGGAGUAAAACCCCUACCUAGCCUUAGAGAGGCAUUCUCUGAAGUCCGUCGCGAAGAAAGUCGGAAAAAUCUCAUGAUGGGAUCCCAUCAACAACUGAAUAUGGCAGAAAGCUCGGCUCUUAAGACUCAAUUCGCUCCUUUUGACAACCAUAAAAAAAUUAAAGGAGGUAGACCUUGGUGUGAUCAUUGCAGAAAGUCGGGACACUCAAGAGAAACUUGCUGGAAAAUUCAUGGAAAGCCAGUAGAUUGGAAGCCACGUCAACCACUUGAGAAAGAAGGACGAGGCAAUCAUGUGGCUACCGAUGAACAAUCGCCACAACCUGAAGCUAGCCCUUUUAAUAAGGAGCAAAUGGAGAUGCUUCAGAAACUACUGUCUCCUCUUUUGUUAGUACAGUCACAAACUGGCUCAUCUUCCAACCAGGUCAUUGGUUCCGGAACCUUGGCUCACAAAGGUAAUUUUUUGAGUGCCUUCACUGCUGGUAAGAAACGUAAAAAACCUUGGAUAGUGGACUCAGGAGCAUCUGAUCAUAUGACGGGAGAUGCAACAAUUUUUGAUACAUAUAGCUCAUGUCCAAAUAAUUUAACAGUCCGAAUAGCAGAUGGUUCACUAUCAAAGGUUGCCGGAACAGGUUCAGUUGUGCUAUGAAGGGAUCUUACUCUCAACUCUGUUCUCCUUGUUCCUAACUUGGACUGUAAUCUAUUGUCAAUUAGUAAACUCACUAAGGAAAAGAGGUGUAUUACUAAUUUCUCCUCCACUCACUGUGAAUUUCAGGAUUUGGAUUCGAGGAAGACGAUUGGCAAUGCUGAGGAAUGCUCUGAACUCUACAUCCUUAAGGAGCUCCACGAUCCACAAGAACAACCUCAAAUGACAGUUGGUAGUAAUUCUUUUUCGGUUUCAUGUCAAAAUAACGAUAGUGCAAUUAGGUUGUGGCACUAUCGCUUAGGUCAUCCAAAUGUUAUGUAUCUCAAGCAUUUAUUUCCUUCAUUAUUUAAUAAAAAUCCAAAAUCCUUUGAGUGUGAAAUCUGUCAAUUAUCAAAGCAAGUCCGGUCUCAUUUUCCCAUUCAACCCUAUAAAGAGUCUAGUCCAUUCUCAAUGAUUCAUAGCGAUAUCUGGGGUCCUUCAAGAAUAAAAAAUGUAACUGGUACAAGGUGGUUUGUCUCAUUCAUAGAUGAUCACACUAGAUUAACUUGGGUAUUCCUCAUGAAAGAAAAAUCUGAAACGAGUCAAAUUUUCAAAAAUUUUAAAAAUAUGAUUCAGACCCAAUUACAGUCAAAAAUACAAAUUCUAAAGUUUGAUAAUGCUAGGGAUUAUUUCAACUCCAUUCUAGGAGAAUUUCUAGCACAAGAAGGGAUAGUUCACUUAAGUUCAUGUGUUGAUACCCCACAACAAAAUGGAAUCGCUGAAAGGAAAAAUAGGCAUUUGUUAGAGGUGGCUAGAUCACUAAUGUUCUCCAUGAAUGUUCCAAAAUUAUUCUGGGGGCAAGCUGUCCUUACGGCAGCCUACCUCAUCAAUAGGAUGCCGUCUAGGGUACUAAAAUUCCAAACACCUUGUCAAACACUCCUAAAAUCCUUUCCGACUACUCAUCUCAUCUCCACCGUCCCACCCAAAAUUUUUGGGUGCUCUGUCUUUGUUCAUAUCAAUCAACAACAUAGAAGUAAACUUGAUCCUAGGUCACUCAAGUGCAUCUUUCUUGGGUAUUCUUCAAAUCAAAAAGGGUAUAAGUGUUACUCUCCGGUCACAAGAAAAUUCUACAAUUCAAUGGAUGUCACCUUUUUUGAAACCCNNNNNNNNNNNNNNNNNNNNNNNNNNNNNNNNNNNNNNNNNNNNNNNNNNNNNNNNNNNNNNNNNNNNNNNNNNNNNNNNNNNNNNNNNNNNNNNNNNNNUUUUCACAGUAAAGUACAAGGCAGAUGGUAAUGUGGACAGGUAUAAGGCUCGGUUGGUCGCCAAAGGAUUCACCCAAUCCUAUGGCAUUGACUAUCAAGAAACUUUUGCUCCAGUUGCCAAGCUCAAUACUGUUCGUGUACUUUUAUCCUUGGCAGCUAAUCUCGAUUGGUCGCUUCACCAACUUGAUGUGAAGAAUGUCUUCCUCAAUGGUGACUUAGAGGAAGAAGUUUACAUGGACAUUCCUGCUGGACUUGAGACGACAUCAAAUUUCAACAAGGUUUGCAGACUUCGAAAAUCCUUGUAUGGUCUCAAACAAUCUCCCAGGGCCUGGUUUCAACGGUUCACUAAGGUAGUGAAAGGGUACGGAUUUGUUCAAUGUCAAUCCGAUCACACAUUAUUUGUGAAACACUUCCCAGAAGGGAAACUGGCAAUUAUCAUUGUAUAUGUGGACGACAUAAUUUUGACAGGUGAUCAUGAAGAGAAAAUUGACUUACUUAAAAAAUUACUGACAAAGGAAUUUGAGAUCAAGGAUCUUGGAAACCUCAAGUACUUUCUCGGAAUGGAGAUUGCUAGGUCAAAGAAAGGUAUAGCAGUCUCACAACGCAAAUAUGUUCUGGACUUAUUGAAUGAAACAGGAAUGCUAGGAUGCAAGCCGGCAGAAACACCUAUGGAUACAACUGUCAAACUGGAAGAAAGUGAUGGAAGUGCGCCAGUUGAUAAAGGAAGAUAUCAACGUCUUGUGGGGAAACUCAUCUAUCUUUCUCAUACAAGGCCAGACAUCGGCUUCUCCGUUAGUGUGGUAAGUCAAUUCAUGAAUAAUCCAACCGAAAAACACAUGACUGUUGUGAUCAGAAUAUUGAGAUACCUCAAGAUGACACCGGGAAAGGGUCUCUUCUUUCAAAGAACAACAAAGAAAGAGAUUGAGAUUUUUUCAGAUGCAGAUUGGGCAGGUUCAAUGACUGAUCGGAGAUCAACUUCAGGCUGUUGUUCAUUUGUCUGGGGGAACUUGGUUACAUGGCGAAGCAAGAAACAGUCAAUGGUAGCCCGUAGCAGUGCUGAGGCAGAAUUUCGUGCUAUGGCACAAGGUAUCUACGAGGGAAUCUGGUUGAACAGGCUGUUAGAAGAAUUACGGGUUCCAUUGAAGCAUCCCAUGGUGUUAUACUACGACAAUCAAGCUGCCAUCAGUAUCGCUAAGAAUUCGGUUCAUCAUGAUCGAACUAAGCACGUGGAGAUAGAUUGACACUUUAUCAAGGAAAAGAUUGAAGAAGGAGUUUUCAAAGUCAGCUACACUCCGACAAACUGUCAAACGGCUGACAUUCUCACAAAAGCUCUUGCUCGAGUUAACUUCGAAGAUUUGACAGAAAAACUUGGAAUGAUCAACAUCUACAACGCGGCUUGAGGGGGAAUGUUGGAAAUCAAGCCAGCAUCCUUUGUUUACUUCCCUAAUUAGUGUAAUGUACAGCCUUUAUUAUAAUUGAUUUAGGAGUAAUUCUAGCAAGGUAGUUUAUUCACUUCCCAUGUAAGAGUUUAUCCUUAGGAGUAAUUCUAUCAAGGUAGUUUAUUCACUUUCCAUGUAAGAGUAGUUUAUUCACUUCCCAUGUAAGAGUUUAUUCACUUUCCAUGUAAGGGAAAUUCCAUUCCGGAAUUGUCUCAUAUUUGUAGGCUAUUUAUUUAUGCUUUCAUUCAUUGUAAAGGAAGGUAUCACAGAAUGAAUUGAGGUGUUCCUCCAUAGUUUGUCUUCAAAUUCUUCAUAUUUUUCUUCAAAUUCUUCAAUUAUUGCGAGUUGUGACUAGAAUUUUGCUUCCCUGUGCUCCCACCCAGAAAGGGGAGCAUAGCAUGUCCAACUCAAAGUAAUCAUCAUUCCACAAAUCAUCCAAAACUAUUAGAUUUUUUUUUUCCCUUCAAUUCCUUCCUCAAAUUUUCUUGAAUUUGAUGCAAGUCUUGUGAAUCACUGCUUUGAGAAUUAGUCACCGAGUUGAGAAUCGUCUUUGUGUUAUUCUCACUGCAUCGAACUGAUCUGAGACACAAACCCAGGCUUUUUUAUCAAAAUGCUUGGUUAUGGUCUCAUCGUCAUUGUACACCAGUCUUGCCAGUGUGGUCUUGCCCAUCCCAUCCAUGGCCACAAUGGAAACCACAGAAAAAUUGGUUUUAGUGGGUUCAUAGACUAGAGAUGCAGUGACUGGCCUUCCCCAAGCAAAGUUGGUCAUCGCAGCCACCUUUUCUAGACGAAGCUCAGAUUUUUGAGCCGAAAUAUCUCGUAAGCGGCGAGUGAUUUCCCACACCUUGGACCUCAUUUUAAUAUAACGCAUAACCUCAGUAGGAUUGAAAAUGCCAAGACAAGUGGAGAUGAGCUUGUGUACCUUGCUCGGCCUGCCUUGAUGAUCAGCUUCUUUGGCCGUGAGCUCCCGUUGCAAACCUUCGUAGGCGAACUCGUCCAAGAUGUCCUCCAUAUCAUAAGCCAAAUCUUUCAGAUUGCCCAGCCACUCUUUCACAGAGUGAUCCGUGAUCUGCUUGUCCUCCGCGUCAUUAAGCUCUUCACGAAUAUCCGACAAUUCUAUCUCAUAUUUCUUGAGAUCAGAGUACACCCAUUGUUGGCGUGCAAAGUCGAGCAAAUCAGUGGAAGCCAACUGGUCAAACAACAAGCCGAUGGCAGCAGAAAGAAGAGCCUCUCCUACAGCUUCCAUGGUUGGUUUGUACUUUGUUUGCAGAGAGAGAGAGAGAGCAAAUCAAGGAGUGGGUAAAAAAGUGAAGCAGAAAGAAGGCGGUCUGCUCUGUGAAGGCUUUAAAUAUUAGAAACUCAUAAAACAUUUGUUUUAUGAAUUUAUUAUAUGCACCCAUUUUUAAUGCCACUGUUGAUUUGUAUAUAUAUUAUUUGUGUAAUUUAAAUAUGUCUCAAUUUUAUUAUAAAUUUUUCUUUUUCUUUUAAUGUAACUAUAUAUAUAUAUAUAUAUAUAUAUAGUCCUCUUUUAUUAUUAUUUUUAUUUGCAUGAUAUUUCUUUCAUACCAAUCAAAACUAUGAAGAAAUUUUUAUUAAAAUUCAUAAAAUAUAUUGUUUUUGUUGCAUCAAUAUGUUUCAUUUCAUUGUAAGAAAGCUAAAUAAAAUGUGAUAUUUUUUAAUUUCUGAUUUGGAAAUUUUUUUUUUUCUUAUUUAUUCUAAUCUUAUAUGCAUAUCACACUAUUAGGCAAAGUUGUCAAUGACAAUGAUUGUUAUUUAUAAUAGCUUGAACUUAAAAGCAUCCUAGCUUAUGAUACUCAAUAAUAUUCACCUCUACAACUUAGUUUCAAAAUAGAUAAAUAUAUAUAUAAUGUUGGAAUGUAUACCAAAUUCCUAAUUAAUAAAGGUUUUUUUUUUUUAGUAAAAAAUGUUAUGUUGAUCAUAGAAGGAGACCCCUAGAGUUCCAGAUAGGAGAUCACGUGUUUUUACGUGUAACACCUCAGAGAGGCGUAUUUCGAUUUGGUAAAAGGGGAAAGCUUGCUCCAAGAUAUAUUGGGCCCUUUAAAAUCCUUCAAAAGGUCAUAGAGGUAGCAUACAAAUUAGCCUUACCAACAUGAUACAUUUCAUGUCUCCAUGUUGCGGAAGUAUGAGCCUGAUACCACACAUGUACUAGAUUGACAUGAUUUGAAUUUGCAAGAAGAUGUAAUGUAUGAAGAAGGGCCGAGAGAGAUUUUAGAUAAGAAAAAGCAAGUACUAUGAACCAAAACCAUACCUCUAAUGAAAGUGUUAUGGAAUCAUCAUGGAGUGGAAGAAGAUACAUGGGAUUUGGAAUCAGAUAAGAGAAACAAGUACUCGGAACUCUUUACCGGUUCGCUUCUUUAAAUUUUGAGGACCAAAUUUUUGUUAGGGGGAGAGGAUGUAAUACCUAGUACUAAUGAAUUAAAUAGGCAAUAAUGAUUAUCUUAGUACUUACUUUAAAAAUGCUUAAUUAGAUGUUAAAACUAGUUUAGUGCUAAUCUUGUUUAAUUAUGAAUUAAACUUUGAUUAAGGUUAAGUGGGAUUAGUUAAUGACUUAAGCAUGCUUAUUAGGUUCUUAGGGGCUUAUUAGAGUUAUGAAAACCUAGAGGACUAAUGGGCAAUUGUAGGCUUAAUAUUGGUUAAUUUGGAUGACUGAAGUGCAAAAUUGGAAAGUUAGGGUUGGUGGCAGCCAUGUGGCCUGCCACCUCCUACUGAGCUGCAUGGAAACCCCUUUAUAAGGGCCUGUAGCUCGUUUUGCAGCAUUUCACCUGUAACAGCUUGGGUUAGAGAGAGGAUCUAGAGAAAUAAAGUGAAGAUUUGAGGUAAGCAAGUUGUUUAAUUUAGUAAUUUGGUUUAUUUUGGUUCCUAAUAGUAUGUUGAAACAAAUUAACGAUAAAAUUUGUGUAAAAGAUGAGUGUAAUUAGCUAUAAACAUGUUUUAGUUAAAAAUCACAAUUAAUUAAGGAUUAAAGUAUUUUAGCUUAAGUAUUUUAUUAAUGGUGAGAUCAGCAUAAAUCUUUGUUUAGUUUGGUUUGAUUGAAAAAUAGAUUAGUAAACACGUGAUUAAUUAGGUUAUUUAGACACCUGGGAUUUGUUAAUGGGUUAGGCUUUAGGAAAAAAAUCAAAACAAUUAGUCUUUGGUAAUUAAUUGGAGAAUAUGAGAAUUAAAAAUUAAUAAUAGUAAGUUGUUAAAAAUUAGUAAGAAAGGAAAAUUUCAUAAGUUUUAAUUGAAUAAAUUUUUAUGGUUAAGAAACCUAAAUUAUGUUGUUUUAUUUCAGUUCCUUGUAAUAUGUAAAGAUUUCCUACAUAGAAGUAUCACAAAGGGAAAGUCAGUGUAAGGUAGAGAAUUUUAUGUUGUUCCAUGGUGUAUCUGAUUUCUUUCCUGGAAACAUUUAUUGGAAUUUCAUGUCAUUUCUAUGAUUUCAUAAAAUGUUUUAAUGUGUCAUUGCAUCUUGGUUUAUUGUAUUGAAAUGUUACAACGAUAUUGGAAUGUAUAUUGGUAUGAAGAUUCAUGGUUCUAUGUUGUGGAAAUGGUUCAUAAUGUGGUUGCAUUGCAAGAAGGAUAUGGAAUAAUCAUAGAUGAUAUUUAGAGAAUUGAUUGGUGGGAAGUGUUUAUGUGAUGCUACAGGCAUUAUCCUUUAAUAUAUUGUUUAUGUGGGGUCGUGGGUCCUUGGGUGAAAAUCCCUAAAGCCCUCGAGGAAGACACUCUGAUGUGGGUGUAUGAGGUUGGUCUUGCCACUAGGUUUUAGUCCCUAAAGACAUGGGGUUGGUCCUGCCCCUGGGUUUUAGUCCUUAAAGACACGAGGUUGGUCCUGUCCUUGGGUAUGAGUCCCAGAAAACACGGGGUAUGACUUACCCUUGAGUGAUGUCCCAAAUAGUCAUUAUUAUAUUGACUGAGUAUCUUGUGGAGCAUUGAUAUAUGAUGUGUAGAUUGGUGGGGGUUAGUAGUUUAUUAGUUGUGAAAGGAUGGAUGAGGAAAAGCAAAGAUGAAACCAACAACCACAUGCAUACAUGUUUGACAUGAUUACAUAUUUGUUAAUGGUUAUAAAAUGUUUAUCAUGCAUGCUAUUAUAUGUUUAAUUUAAGGUUUUUAAGGGUAUGCUUAGGAUGGUUAUAAACUUUCCUACUGAGUUGUGAACUCACCUUAUCCCUUCCACCUUUAGAUGCAAGUUAGAAGACCUAUGCUGGAAAUAAUGCUUAAGCAUUGCUUUUCUAUUGAUUGGAUGUUGUUGGCUCGCAUUGAAAGUGUUUUGAGGCUUUGCUUUUGUAUUAAAGACUAAAUCUUUUUGAAGUAAUGAUGUAAUGUAUAUUUGUUAUGUACACUUGUAGUAUGGGCUACCCAUAGUGAACCAUGGGAUUUUGGUAUAUGUAAAUUAAUGUAGUAUAAUUUUAUUUUGUGAAACGAAUCACAUUUUGUGAACUACUAGUUACAAAGUUUAAUACAGGAUGUACUCUUUAUAACAGGUUUUGCAUAUUCUCUUUCUGUGCAAAAUCAAGCAGGAACUCAGCAUUUAAAUUUUUCUAUCCCCAUAUUUUGUUUGAGAGCACUUAUGUUGUGAUUGAGUAUCAAUUGUUAUGUUUGAAAAAAAAACGGGGGUGUGACAUUUAUUAACUUAGGUUUAAUAAAUUAAAAGUAGGUUGAUCUCUUACCUAUCCUUUUUAAAUUAAUCUUGAGAUCAAUAAGAAUCAUACAGACCAUAAUCAUAAGAAGUGCCAAAACAAAAGUCGAUUUGAUAUUUAAUUAGUUAAUUUUAUUAACUAUAAGAUAUAAAAUUUGUUAGGAGGUGUCUUAAAUUCCAAAUUAGAAUAUAUUUUUUUUCUUUUGUGAAAAGAAUAUUACAUAGAAUAUUUCCAAAGUUUAUAUGUGAUUGUAAUUAAAUUGAAGUUAGUACAAAUAUAUUUAUAAAUAUUUUUAGAUAUGAAGAGAAAAAGUUAUGGAAGAUAUGAAAAAGAGAUGUGAUCAAGAGCAAGAGAUGCUGAUAGAACAAGAGAUGCUGAUAGAACAAGAGAGUUCACUAAGGAAGGGUGUAGAUGUGAAGAAGAAUGAGAAACAUUUAGUGAAGCAAAAUGAUUCAUGGUUUAUGAUAGAGAUUCAAAGAACAGAAAAAGUGGGAUGUUUGGGUCUUGGUAGUUGCCUAACCUUUGUAUGUGGUUUGCUUUAUUAAUAUUAGUAUUCUUCCUUUAAUAUGUUUAAAUUGAGGUUUCGGUUUUCCUUUUGGUCAUAAGAUGGAUUUUGUCAUGUAAUCAAUUAUGCUCGUUUCCAAUUUCAUUAGAAACUUGUGUUCUACGAUUUGGCAAAUGAAAAUAAUUAUUUUUCUAUAAUUUUUUUUAAAAUUUUGUUAGUUAAUAAAAAAUAGAGUAUAGAUAAUAUUAACCAUCAAAUAGAAAGACAAAUAUGACAAUUAAUGUGUUUUCACAUCAAAUUUGUACUUAGAUGGUUUUACUUAUAUGAAGUAAUUUAAUGCAACUAUGAAGAUUUAUAUGCAGUAAACUUUAUAUAAUUUUAGAUUUAAUAAUCGAUUAAUUUUUAUUUGAAGAUAUAAAAACAUAAAAUAAAAGUCUUGUUUGAAAACUAUUAUUGAAAACAACAUGAAAAAUGGGGUUUUUCACUUAGAAAUAUACAUUUGACAAACUUCUAAUAUAAAACAAUUUAUUUUUAGAAUUUAUUCUUAAAACAAGUUAUUUUUUAGAACAAAAUUGAAAUUUUUUUAUUUUUUUCACAACAAUUUAAAUAAAAAUUGAACAUAUAGAUAAUAUAUAUUUUGGUUGGACGAUGAACUUGUUAUUUUAUGAACUUCAAAUAUUCAAAUUUCACGGAGAAGGAAUCUCAUAUCUAUCUCAAGUUAUAUGCAUCCCAUUUUUACCACUUGCAAACCUUAAUCACAACUUUGUUUAAUAAUGAAAGAACUUGUUCAAGUAAAAAUAGAAUUUCUAUAAGAUGCAAAAAAAUUUUGGCUUCCACAUCUACUCAAAUAAGCAUAGAACUUUUUCUUCAACUUUUAAGUUUUUGACUUCUCAAAAAUCAAUUUAAAUUGGAUUGAUAAAUUAUACAAGGUUACAAUAUAAUAUUACAAUGUAUAAAUAUUAUUUUCACUUCUAUAUUUUCCAUGAAAUUAUUUAUUUAUUUAAAUUGAAAUGUCCUUUGGUAUUUAUUUGUACCUAUAAAAAAUAAAAAAUUAUUUUAAAUCUUAGGUAUAUAUGUUGAUGCUUAAGUAUUUAAUAAUUUUAAUUAGAUAAUUACAUUUUAUUUUACAUUUUACAUAUAAAAUAAUUAAUUACAUUUUAUAUUAUAUUAUUUAAUUAGUGAUAUUUAAAUUUUAAUUAGUUUUAAUAAUUUAAUUAAUAGUUAAAUAAUUAGAUUUAUUUAUGUUUAAAUCUAUUAACAAUAAGUUCAAUGCAACAAGAAAAAAAAAGCUUAUCGUUAUUAUUUUGAAGUGGAUUUUGAUUUUAAAUUUUACAAGUAGAUUUGCUUGAAUAACCUUAUAAAUUAGUAGAAUUUAACAAGUUGCAAAUAGUUUCCCCGCCUAAUCUUUUAAAUUAAUCUUGAUGUUGACAAUCACUUUGCCAACCAUAAUUAUAAAAAGACAAAUAGGUCAAGUUGAUUUACUAGAUUGCAAGUGGGUGCCCUUACCUAAUCUUUUAAAUUAAUCUUGAUGUUCACAAGCACUUUGCCAAUCAUGAUUAUAAAAAGACAGAUAAGUUAAGUUGAUUUUACUAAAUUGAGAUUAAUCAAUUGCAAGUGGGUACCCUUUACCUAAUCUUUUAAUUUAAUCUUCAUAUUGAUAAGAACCAAAUCGGCCAUAAUUAUAAAAACAAGAAGACGACAAGCUAUGAUUACUUUUAUUAACUAAAAUUUAAUGAAUCACAAUUUCUCUUACCUAACCUUUAGAUUAAUCUUGAUAACUUUGCAAUAGUAAUUUUAAAAAGAGAAAGACGACAAACUAAUUUAAUUGGCUAAUUUUGUUAACUUAGGUUUAAUAAAUUAAAAGUAGGUUGAUAUCUUACCUAUCCUUUUUAAUUUAAUCUUGAGAUCAGUAAGAAUCAUACAAACCAUAAUCAUAAGAAGAGUCAAAACAAAAGUCGAUUUGAUAUUUCAUUAGUUAAUUUUAUUAACUAUAAGAUAUAAAAAAUUGUUAGGAGAUGUCUUAAAUUCCAAAUUAGAAUAUACCAUUUUUUUUUGUGAAAAGAAUAUUACAUAGAAUAUUUCCAAAGUUUAUAUGUGAUUGUAAUUAAAUUCAAGCUAGUACAAAUAUAUUUAUAAAUAUUUUAGGACAUGAAGAGAACAAGUUAUGGAAGAGAUGAAAAAGGAUGUGAUCAAGAGCGAGAGACAUUGGUAGAACAAGAGGGUUCACUAGGGAAGGGUGUAGAUGUGAAGAAGAAUGAGAAACACUUAGUGGAGCAAAAUGAUUCAUGGUUUAUGAUAGAGAUACAAAGAGCAGGAAAAGUGAGAUGUCUGGGCCUUGGUAGUUGUCUAACCUUUAUAUGUGGUUUGCUUUAUUCAUGUGUUCUUCCUUUAAUCCUUUUAAAUUGAGGUUUCCAUUUUUCUUUUGUUCCUAAGAUGGAUUUUGUCAUGUAAUCAAUUAUGCAUGUUUCCAAUUUCAUUAGAAACUUGUGUUCAAUGAUUUGGGAAAUGAAAAUAAUUAUUUUUCUAUAAUUUUGUUAGUUAAUAAAAACUAGAAUAUAGAUAAUAUUAGCCAUCGAAUAGAAAUAUAAAUAUGACAAUUAAUGUGUUUUCACAUCAUAUUUGUACUUAGAUGGUUCUGCUUGUAUGAAGUAAUUUAAUGCAACUAUGAAGAUUUAUAUGAAAUCAACUUUAUAUAAUUUUAGAUUUAAUAAUCGAUUAAUUUUUAUUUGAAGAUACAAAAACAUAAAAUAAAAGUCUUGUUCAAAAACUAUUAUUGAAAACAACAUGAAAAAUGGGGUUUCUUCUCUUAGAAAUAUACAUUUGACAAACUUAUGAUAUAAAACAAUUUAUUUUUAGAAUUUAUUCUUAAAAUAAGUUAUUUUUCAGAACAAAAUUGAAAUUUUUUUAAAUUUUUUCACAAUAAUUUAAAUAAAAAUUGAAGAUAUAGAUAAUAUACAUUUUGGAAAAUUUUGUAUCUUAUUUAAGUGUACAAUUCCUUUGUGAAGAAUAAAUCGAAACGGGUAAUAGCUAUUUUCAAAAAUUGUUUUGAAGAAUUAUUUUCACAAAUGUUAUCAAAUAAGCUCAAAACUUGUUACAUCAUUUAUAUUAAUCUUGAGUUCAAUCAAAAUCUUGCCACAAUUGAAAAGAGAAAAAAAAAUGUUAAUUAGUUGGUUAAUAUUUAUAAUCCUAAAAAUAAUAAUAAUAAUAAUUAAAAAAAAUUAAAUAAAAAUUCACUAUCAAAAUAAAAGAUUAUCUAAUAUUUUUCUAUUUUUGACUUAUAAUCAAGAAUGUUCAUAUAAUUUCUUUUACAAUAACAUACUAAAGUAGAAAGAGAUUAAAAUGGAAAAAGAAAAUGAUUAACAAUAAAAUUCAUAAAAAGAAAUGAAAAUUAAGAAGAUUUUAAUCCACUUGAAAUUUAUUUCAAUGAAAUAGUAUUGCAUUUAAAUUAUUGAAGGCCAUACCAAUUUAUUUUCUUCCUUUUUUAAUACUUAAUUUUGUUAUCAAACAAUGAAAAUUUUACUAAUCAAGGAAAAUGAGAAAAGAAAAUAUUUUUCUUGAAAGUUCAUGAAUUUGUUAAGAAAGGAAAACAAAAGGUCUUUUAAGGGAUACUUUAUUAAAUUAAAUUAAUAACUUAAUUUAAAUCAUUAAAUAAAUUAAGUAUGUUUAGUAAAAAAAAAACAUAAUAGUAUGAUUUAAAAUAUAAAAAAACUUUAAAUAAUAAAUAAAAAAAUUAACUUAUUUUUAAAUUCAUAUUUUUAUUUUACCUUUUUAUCUCAAUUUGCCAUAAUUACCUUCACAAUCUCCUUUACUAUUCCACGACCUUUACUUUUACAUGACCUCCUUUACCUUAGUUAGAAUUUAUGUCAAUUUGAUCAUUUAGAAUUAAUCAUAAGUUAGGUUUGUCAAACAAUCUUAAUACUUAAAAUAAAAAUUAAGUAAUAGUUUUAAGUCAACAAUUUAAGUAUAAUUUAACUAAAAGUCAACUUAAAUAAUUAAGUAAUUAGUAUUAAGUUUUAUCAAACACCUCCAUAUAAUUAGUUUAUUUUGAUUAAUCUAAUAAUAUAGAAAGUGAAAUAUACACAUUUUUUUAUUGGUUAGGUUGGUCUUGAACUUCUUUCACCAAAUCAUUUUUAUUAAUCUUAACAUCAUCAUUAGUUAAUUACAAUUAAAGAAAAGAAAACCAAAAAAAAAAAACAGCCAAUUUGGGUGACCAAUCUUUAUUGAAAAUUUAAAAUCAAACAAAAGUUGAUAAAAAAAAAAUGAAUUGUAUGAAGUAGACAUUUUGUCUUUAUGAGAUUAUUGAUGGAAGUAUAAUAGACUAUAAACAAGUCUAUGAGAAUCAAUUCCAAUGAGUCCUAAAACAUAUCUAUGAGAAAUAAAAUAAAAUCAUGACAUAAAGAAAUUAUAUUUAAGUGUUAAUAAAUGAGAAUCAGAUACAUAUAAAUAAAAUUUAGAUUAAUUAUAAAUGAAACUAUUUUUAUUAUGUGGUUGUUUUUAAUGGACCACCUAUUUUUUUAUUUAUUUUAUAUAUAUAUAUAUUCCAUAGAAAAAUUACUUUCCAAUACCAUAGAAUCACCCUAAUUUCAAAUUGAGAUUUACUAUCUUAAAUUUUAAAUUUUUUAAAAAUAAUUUUUAAGGCAUGAACUAAAUCUAUAUUUUUUGUUAAGAAUUUCUAUUCUUUAUAUGAAAGUUUUUAUCAAUUUUUGUUUUUAAAAACAAAAAAUAAGUACUUAGAGUGCGUUUGACAAUGAUUUUAAGAAGUAUUUCUAAUAUUUUAAAUACUUGAAAAAUAAAAAAAAAAAAUUUAUACAUUGAAACAAUUGCAAAAUGCACUUUUAGUAUGUAAUGAUAUUAAUUUCUUCGAAGAGAGAGAUUUACAUUUAAGAUAAAAAUAAAUAAAUAAAACAAUACAAGGAUAAAAAAUUAUUUUUUAAAAAAACUUUUAACUUCUUGUACUUUAUCAUUACACACUUUUUUCAUUAGAUGCUUUAAAUAAUUUUUAUGAAAUAAAAUUAUAAUUAUAUUGAUGGAGGGCCAAUUAACUUUGCUUUGGGUGAGAAAGAUAGAGAUAAGAUUGAAGUGGGUCCACAUCUAAAACAAAAAUGAAAUAAAAAGUAAAGAUGAAGAUAAGGUUGAGGUGGGUUCACAACUAAAAAAAGAAUGAAAUAAAAAGUAUGAGAUGAAUUGACCAAAGCUUAUGCCUUCUUCCAAAUAUUAAAAGCAAAGCCCAAUAGUAUAAAGUGAUGACACUAGUCCUAUUCAAGGCCCCACUUGCAUAAUUGCUACAUCUUUUGAUUUGAUUUUUGUUCAAUUUCACUAAAAUGAAAUCAUUUAUUUGAGCCCAAAAAUUCAAAUCCAAAUCCAAUCCACUUAUUUAUAUACAUUAUUGGCAUGGAAUGAGAAAAGUUAUAAAGUGAGAAAAUUUGAUCAUAUGAUAAAUAGUAAUUUUUCAAAGUUGGAACCAAUCCAAUGCCCAAUGGGCAUAAAAGAGAAAGGAAAGAUGUGGAAAUUAUAGUGGAAUCUUGAAACAAAUUUUUGAGGUUUGAGGUGAUGUGACAAUCGUUUCAAGAAAUUGCCUAAGAAUGUGAGAUGUUAUUACAUUGAAAAUUGAUAUUAAAUCUCAUUGGGUAACUAUAAGAAUUGCUUUACAUAAAGACGAGUAAUAAAUAUAUCCUGUUUUUUCAAAUAGUUUAUGACCCUAAGUGAAUAAAAUGGUGAAUAAAACUUUUAGAGUAGGAUGAAUGCAUUUCACGUGAGUCAUGUCCUAGAUAUAUUUUUAGAAUUUUCUAGCAAGAUGUUGAGGAAAACUCUAUGAUAAGUGUUUUCUUUCUAGUUAAGGUAGGUCCAAUUUGGUGUAAUUCGCCAACAUAAUUUAAACCCAACAUAUGUUUUAAGGAUUUGAAUCGAGUAAAAUCAUAUUUAAAUUAAAUUAAUCAUAUGAAUCUACAUAACCCGUUUAAUAAAUAGAUUAUUUUUAGGUCAAUCUGGAUAACUCACAUUUGACUCAAAUUAACUUAUUUAAUAAUGGUAUUGAUUAACCUAAUAAUAACUUUAACUUAUUGAACUCAUAUUUGACUCAUGUAAAAUUCAUUUUUCAAUAAGUAUAUCAUAAUUGGGUCAUAAACAUGUCAUAUUAGAAUAUUAACCAUAUUAUUUCAUUCAACAUUUAACUUGACUUGAUUAUGAAAUAACGCCUUAUUAUUAAAUCGGUUAAACCGGUUAUAAUGUAUCACCUAGAUAAUAAUUAUAUUGAGUUUGAGUUUAUGCUUUAAAUUUUGAUUAUUAUUCAUGUCAUGUUUGGGUUGAGUUAUUUAGUGGAGGAUCUAACCUUUGAUAUAACACAAACGCAACCCAUUAACAUAAAUUGUCAUCCUCACUUCUACUAAUAAGUAAUUUGUUUAUUACAAUUAAGAAAAUUGAGAAGAUAUAAUUUUUUUAAAAAAAAUUUAAAUGCAUGAUUAAAGUUAAUUAUAAGUUUUAAAAGUUUUAUAAUUCAUAUUCCAUCCAAACUAACAAAAUAUUAGAAAUCUUCAAUGGUUUUGUCUACAAUAAAUGUGUUGUGCUAAAUUAUCCCCUUCUCUACUAACCAAAACAUGUUCUUUCACAAUCAAAUAUCAACGUGUUUAAGCAGCCGGUGAAGCAUCUCUUGACAAUGAGGUGAGAGGUAGAAACAAGAAACAUACCUGUAUUCAAGAGAAGUGUUGUUUCUUCUUUUGCAUUAGAAAACAUUCAUUUAGUCUAAACUUGAAGGUGGAUUGCUAGAAUCUGAGCUCUUGGAAAGACAUAAGAGAAGGACAUUUAGAAAUCUGAAAGAAGCCUAGAGACCUGUUGCUACUUGUGAAUCACUGUAAUUAGAAACAAUUCCAGAUAAUCCUGCAAUUCUGGACCUUUGAUUUGCUUUGUUCCAUUUUUCCAAGACCAGUUCUAAAAUGUUUUUCUUUAUUGAGUUAUAAUGAUUUUAUUAUUAGGAUUUAAUUGUAUUCAUUAGGUUUGCAAAUCACAAAAAUGGUGUCGUGCCUAUGAAUAUUUUCCUCUUCGAUCAUGUAAAGUUGGGAAGCAAUUAUGGAAUACUAUGAUAGCACAAUAUAUUGAUCCACAUAGUUUGUGGCAUGACAGUUUAAUGAAAUUAAAAAAAUGCAUGUAGCACUCAUGGGUAUGUCAUGUGAACCUUUUUCAAUAGAGCUACUUGUUUAAAUUUAUAUGGGUGAAUUGUCACACCAGUGUCCUCUUAUGAACCUUAGGUUCAUUUUUCUGUUUCUUCCUCUCUUGGUUAAGACAAACAAUUUGUCUUCAUAAGGACUUCGUGUUACUAAUAAGCAGUAUCUUGUAUUCUCCUUUUCUUCAUCCCCUUAUCAAGACACAGCAAUCUGAUGCAUCUUUGCAUUGGGUUGCUUCCUCUCCUCUCCAUUUCCUUCCUCCUUGAGGCAAAAUCACAUCAUUGCUUAGUUUUGACUAUGUUUCUUUUUAUCAUUGUGAGAGAGCAUCAUUGUAAGAUGUACAAGAAAAGCGUUGUGGUGCAUUAUCCCCUCCUCUACCACCUAAAAUCUAUUUUACACGAUCAUAAGGACCAAGGUGUUUUAAACAUUAGGUAAGGCAUUUGUUGACAUUGAUGUGAGAGAUAGAUACAAGCAACAUACCAGUAUUCAAAAGACGUGAUGUUUUUCUUUUGCAUUUGACAACAUUCAUUUAGUCUGAACUCCAUAUUGGGCAACGCAGAAUCUCCACCUUCAUUAAGAUUGCAGGAAGUUGGCCCUUUAUGAAGACAUGGAAAGAGAGCAUCUAGAAAUCUGAAAGAAUUACAGAGGCCUAUUACUACUUUUGAAUCAUUCCAAUUAAUAACAACUCCAAAAGAUAUAUACAAAUAUGUCCCUGGGAAAGAGAUGUGUCUUGUGCAUAUGCAACCAUCUCUCUAAUAGACUUAGGGUUGUGCACCCUCAUGGUAGUUUCUUAUAUAUUGCACCAUAUGAAUUGUAGAUAUCCAACUACCAAUAUCACUACACCUGAAUGAACUAGAAGCUAAAGUGAAGUUGACAACCCAUCAUCGAAAGAAUCCUGUAGGAAUACACCAAAAUGAAAAUCUUAUUAACAUAAAUGAAUUCAUCCAGUUAAAGGGUAAAGUUGCCUAAAAAAUUGAAUUGGGAGAGAUAGAAAUAUUAAUGCUUUCAUAGGACUGUGGAAGGGACCAACAAGUGGAACAAACAUUGAACAGUAAAUGUAAAUCCAUAAAGCUUGUAACUACUGUCAAAAGCUGCUCCCUAGUGAAGUUUUUUAACAAUGAAGGUAAGUGGAAAAUUCACCUAAUAGCUCCACUUGUAGAAAAUUGCAAUGGUGUGAAACUAGGAUAUGGUGAACUCGUUUCCGCUAUUGCAGUGAACCAUUAUGGAUAAAAAAUGAAUCUCACCAUCGGUUUUCACAUAGGAGAUGUGGGCUAUCUUUGGCCCAUAUCUCAAUAUUGGAUUUAGGAGUUCUGUCUCUCAUAUAUGGUUCCACUUGCAAAAUACAAAUGGAGCUUAGCUAAUGACAACACAUUUAGAAAAAUGCAAGAAUUCCAUAGACAUGUUUUGUGUUAUCAUGAAUCAUUCGAAUCAGUAAGGAAUCGAAGUGCUAUAAUUUUGAAUUGUCUUAGGGAACAAACCCUAAUUCAAUCUUGCGGAAGUAAACCGUCUUGAGCACCAACUCAAUUCUGAGUUCUUUAGGAGACUUGAGACACCAAUUCAAUCAAAGAUGCUAGUCAUUUCUGAGGUAAAUUGUCUUCCUCCACUGAUACUAGGGAAAAUGCUUUUGAAAACCAUUCAUCUGCAAAUUACAAAGGGAAAUGAGAUUAUGUGAUUUGGGAAGAGAAUUAAGCUUUGGAAGAGAAUUAAGCUUCGGAAUAUUGCCAAUAUGCAACCGACAAUUUCUAAUUCUAUCACCUCUAUUCUAACAUGUGAUUUGGAAAGAGAAUUAAGCUUCGAAAUAUUUCCAAAAUGCAAGGAAUUGAGGAGGCCAAGUGGGCAACCACCAUAGCUAGUUCGCAAACAAAUGAUAGCAUUGGAAGUGGAACACAACACAUAAACUUCAAAAACAAAACAUGUUUCCCACAAUCAUAAAUACCAAGAUGUUUAAGCAUGAGGUAAGGCAUCUCUUGACAAUGAUAUGAGAAAGACACAAACAACAUACCAGUAUUCAAGAGAAGUAGUAUUCUUCUUUUGCAUUCGACAACAUUCAUCUAUUUUACAUCCCAAAUUUUAGCAACUCAGGAUUUCCACCUUCUUUAGGAUUGUAAGAAGUUGGCCUCUUGAAAACACAUGAGAGGACAUUUAGAAAUCUGAAAGAAUUCCAGAGACUUUCUGUUGCUUGAAUUGUGAAUCAUUCCAAUCAUAAAUACCAAGGUUCUAAGAUCAAGUAAGGCAUCUCUUAAUAAUGAUGUGAGAGAUAAAGACAAGCAGCAUACUAGUAUUCAAGAGAAGUAGUAUUCUUCUUUUGUAUUCGACAACAAUCAUCUACUCUACACCCCAAAUUUUAGCAACUUAGGAUCUCCACUUUCAUUAGGAUUGCAGAAAGCUGGCCUCUUGGAAACACAUGAGAGGAUAUUUAGAAAUUUGAAAGAAUUUCAGACACUUGUUGCUUGAAUUGUGAAUCAUUCCAAUCAUAAAUGCCAAGGUGUUUCAAGAUUAGGUAAGGCAUUUCUUGGCAAUGAUGUGAAAGAUAGAGACAAGCAGCAUACUAGCAUUUAAGAGAAGUAGUAUUCUUCUUUUGCAUUCAACAACAUUCAUCUACUCUACACCCCAAAUUUUAGCAACUCAAGAUCUCCACCUUCAUUAGGAUUGUAGGAAGCUAGCCUCUUGGAGACACGUGAGAGGACAUUUAGAAAUUUGAAAGAAUUCUAUAGACUUGUUUUUGCUUGAAUGUGAAUUAUUCCAAUCAAUAACAAUCCCAAAGCCCUAUAUACAAUUUUGAACUGUCAACCUUCUUACAUUGAAUGAAAAACCUGUCCCUAGGAAAGAGGUGUCUUGGGCAUACAACCAUCAAUUAUUAGCUCUCGAAGAGACUUAAAGUUGUGCACCCUCUUGGUAGCUUCUAAUUCAUUACAUCAUAUAACUUCUAGAUAUCCAAUUGGCAUGUCACUACACCUGAAUAAAGUAUAAAACAUGGUGAAUAGGAAGUUAGACAACCUUUCACAAAAAGAAUCCUGCAAGAAUACACCGAGCAGAACUUCUUGUUAACAUAAAUGAAUUCACUCAGUUAAAUUAUUGCGUUAAAAUUUAAAUUGGAGAAAUAAAAAUACUAAUCUUUGCAUGGGACUAUGGGAUGACCAGCAAGAGGAACAUACUUUGAAUAGAAAAUGUGAAGCCAUAAAGCUUAUAAUUGUUGUCAGAUGCUGCUCCCUAGUCAAGUUUUCAACAAAAAGAUUCAGUGUAGAGAUUCUCUAGUAGCUAAACUUGUAGAAAAUUUUAACAGUAUGACAAUUUAUACUUGUAACAAGAAGAUAAAAUGUAAGAAUUGUGUUGGGAAUAGAUGAAACUUACUAAAUAUAUGGAUAAGAUAGGGUGAAUCCACUCUGCUUCCAUUUUUGGAAUCCAAACUAUUAUGGAUCAAAGUUGGAUUUCUCCAUCUAUUAAAUACAACUAGAGCUUAGGUGAGGUCUUGGUGAUUUAGGAAAUUCAUGGAUUCUGGAAUCUUGACAUGAAAAUAUACAUGAGUGAUACAUUGGAAGAAAGGGCAGGCUUUGGUCCUCUAAGAAGAAACAUAUCUUAAAUAUACUAUCAAUCUUGAGUUGUUUAAGAGUGAUGAGUCUGUGAAAGCCUUUCUCAGAUAAGGGAUGUCUUUGACAUUUCUCCUUCUUCAAUCUCAGGAAGGUACACCAUCAACUAGAACAUUAGGAAUGUGAGUCAUCAUAGACAACUUGUUUGUGUUCUUUAUUCUUUUCUCACUGAAGGGGAUUAAAAGAUAUGUAGUUGCAAGGACAAGAGAUGUAGCCAGUUGUGAAAGCAUCAAACAAUCCUUCUCUAAUGCAGACCACAAAUUUUUGCAACUCGUGAUCUCCACAAUUUGGAGCAUUGAAGGAAGUUGCCUUGUUGGAAAGAUGUGACAUGACAUUUAGAAAUAUGCAAGAAUUCCAGAGUUCAUUCCAAUCAUUAAGGAAUCCAAAGCCCCUUGGCAUGGAUAACACACCUAUCUUAGGAAAAAGACUGGGCACCAAUUCAAUGAUCAACUCUCUAUGAAACUUGAGAUACAAGGUACUAAUGUUAGUUGCUUCCGUGGCAGUUCUUUUACUGGUAUUAGGGCAAAGCCUUUUGAAAACCCUCAAUCUACAAAUUACCAAGGACAUGAGAUCAUGUUGUAAUCUCAUCUUCAAUCUCUAGCUACAAACAAAUUAUUUCUUUCAAAUAACAAUCUUUAAUGCAUUCACUUCUACCAUAUGAUAAGCAAUUUCGGAAAACAAGUAAGCUUUAUAAUAUUAGGAAUAUGUAAGGAAUUGAUAAAGGUCAUGAAUCUACUUUCAAAAAAUAAACUAUAAAAACAAAGAUUUUUUCACCCAUGAAUAUUUUAACCAGCUUCCAAAAAACAUUAAGUAUUGCAAUAACCAAAUGUUCCUCAGGUUACCAAGAGUGCUUUUUUUACCCAUGCAUAAAAUAAAAAGAAAAUAAGAAAGCAUACCAUACAACUCACAAUUGUGUCAAGUAUGAGUUCAAUUCAUGGCCAUGCACAAUUGCAUUAAGUAUUUGAAAGCCAAAUAAGGUUAUGUGCAAUUCAAAGAAUACCAUACAACUCAUAAUAGAAUCCUCAUAGCUCACCAUAGAAUGAGAACUCAAUUGUCCUUCCUCUAGUCAUAAGAGUUUGUGCUCUUCGAGCCUUUGACUUGCACAACUCAAGACAGCAGGACAUGCCAAAAAGUCUCAUUCACCUCAAACAUUAUUCAAAUCCAUAGUAUAAAUCUAGAUAAGAUAAUUUCCUACAAAUAUAACAUGUUGCAAACAAAUAACAGUAUGUUGGUUUAAAAUUGAAGAGCAUUUCAAACCAAACAAAAUAGAAAAAUUUUCAGUGUAUAUCACUCACCUAAAAACUUGUAUGUUGGAUAAAAUUCCUGCUAAUGAAUCCUGACAAUUAUUUGCAAUCAAAAUUUAGUAAUGAUUUAUAAACAAAAAAAAUUACAAAAUUUUUUAGCAAUGUUCCAUGAAAAACACAUUGCAUAUUGAUUGAGAAAUUAAUAUGAAAUCCACUAAUUUGAAAGGCACUAAAUACCAUAUGUUGUCUUGAGUUCUCCAUGUAUCAAAACAUAUGCAAGUUGCUAUUCGAGCCACCACAAUCACAGAGCAAAAGACUUCUUAGCAUGGAAGGCAUACCAUAUUUUGAACAAGGUUCUUAAUUUUCCAAGAGACAUAAGAACGUGGUGUGUUGUAGAAACUGUAGAAUAAAUAAAUGGAAGUUAGACAUAUGCACUUGCUACUUAGUUUUUUAAUCAUGUGUGAAAUAAAUAAAGAGGUGUUACUUGCAUUUAGGCCAAACUUCUAGUCUCCAAUGUGAAAUCUAAUUCUCAUUUUGUCAACAUAAUAAGAGCAUUAAACACAUAGCAAAUUGAAUCCUUCCUUUUGACAAUUUGAAAACCUUAAAGGAAUGAUUUGAGAUCAUAAAUAACUAUACAGUAAAGAAAAUUUUCAUCAUUCUUUCUAAAAGGAAAAUUUGUCAUUUCCUUGAUUACGAAAGAUUGAUAUUUUAACAUAAAGUGCACUCAUUAAGGUAAACUUUGUGCAUUAUAUAUUGAAUUAGAAAAUUAUAUUUAAAUUCGAUUAGAAGGGUAUCACAAAAGAUGCUUAAUUGAAAUGAAGGCAUCCAUGCCAAUCUGUAACUGUUGUCAAAUAACACUCUCCCUUGUCAUUUUACGUCCCACGAUUGCAUGUCAAAUCUCUAAGUAAGAUUGCUUAAAAAGCACCUAAAAGAAAAUUACGAAGAUUUCAUUGCAGGUAGAACUUAAGGUGCUUACAUUGACCAUGGGAGAGAUCAUUAAGAAACAAAAUACUCACCCAUAAGUUUGUAACUAUUGUACUCAAAACUUGCUUCCUAGUCAAACUUUCAACAUAACUCCAUGGAGACUUCCAUAAAUUGUUGAGCCACUGGUAAAACACAACAUCAAUAUGAGAAAUUUACAAGGUACUAUGCAGAUAAAAGAGUAAGAAAUGUGUAUUGAGAAUAAGAGUUACCUUAAUGAAUGUAAGGAUAGGAUAGGGUUGAAUUGGCUCUACACCCAUUUUUGCAAUUUGAAUUUAUUAUGGUUCAAAAAUGAGUUUAUGAUGUAUCCUCAUUUUAGGGGAAGCAAGCAAUUUGGGGCCAAUCUCUAUCAUUCUCCUUGAAACAUCUUUGAUUUCAAAGUUUGAUAAAACUUAGAAGACAACCUUUCACUUGGCAAGGAGGACUAGAACAAGGCAUCCCUCAAUCUCUACAAGUUAAAGAAAUGAAGUUUUGAAGACCAAGGGAGGAGGCUAGGUUUCCAUAUUUGAAAAUAUUUUCAUUGAAAGAUUAAUGAGAGUUGUAGCAAGAAAUCCUGUCAAAAGGAAAUUGCAUUUAACAAUGUACAAUAUAAAAUGAAUGAACUAAGUUUUUAGAGAAGUGAAUCUUUGGAGGCUCCACAAAAAUAAGGGGUUUUAAUACUCUUGCAAGUGUAUUCAUGAAAUUGUUUCCUCCAAGGAUUCCUGAACCUGGACAAUGUACAACACAAAGCUGUUAAAGAGAUGAGAGACUCUAAAUCUGAUGAGGUAGGACUUGAGAUCCACAUUUUCUUAAGUGAAGAAUUCUGAUGUUGUAGACACACUAGUAGUUUCUAGAUUUAGAUACUUCUCUUCAAAUAUUUGUAUAAUGUACAUCUUCUUUGACAUUGCUGCUCCAAUAGGAUGUCCAAUAGGAUGUGCAACCUAUUUGGGCAUACUACACGUACAAUAAAAAAUUUCAUUAAAACAAAAAACUUUUACUAAAACAAAAAUAUGAAGCUAAUGUCUAAGAAGAUAAGAUUUAUAUAUAGUGAAUGAGCAUGUUUGAUUUUAGCACAAAGGGAAAGACGCCAAAAUUUUUAAGAAUAUCAUCACCACAAGUACCUAAUUUGCAUCAUUAAAAAUUCCACAAGGAUUUGAUGGCUAGACAAUAAAAUAAUUCUAGUAAAUGAGUUAAAAUCAGCUGAGCUAAGAAAGAUUAAAUCCAAAUAAGCAUCAAUCAUUAAAGAAUUAGCCAACUAUGAAAGACUUCAAAUGACAUUUUCUCUGUAAUUUCUGUUCCUAAUUGGCCUCAUUUGAUUGUACCAAAAUAUUAUUAAUUUGCUUUAAAGGAAGUGGGUGACUCGUAUCUUUGAAAGGGUGUGAGAGGUGGAAAUCCCUCGAUCUCUAGUGAUUCAAGAGGAUAAUUCCUAUGGCUAUUGUUGUCAUCAUACAUCAUUCAGCUAGCUAUAGACCACAAAAUUGAACAAUCAUGAAUACGUAGAUGCUUAAAUAUGGUAUGUACUUUAUCUAGUGGAAAAGCUUAUGAGACUUGGACAUCUCGAGAUUUCUAGGAAUUAAGAUAGAUACAAGUUGUUGCUUCUUGUUAUAAUUUAUCUGGAUUGCAAUCAUCAAGCACUAACUCCAUUCACUACAUGUUUUGAGCCUUCAACAUAAAACCCAAAUUCCAUUCUUUCAGCCAAAAAAAAAUCAUUAAUAACUCACCUGAAAACCAUUUUAUGUUGCUCAAAUUAUAAAAUGUAGGAUGUAACUGACUUCCAUCAUUGAAAAUGAAUUGAUAUAACUUUACAAUACUAGUAUAUUUAGCUUUUGAAAUGGCUGAAACUGAUCCUGGAAUCAAAAAUCACAUACACAAGUAGAUAUUUAACAAAAAAGGAUCCAAAAUCUCUUCAAUUGAUUAAUGUAUAAAUGAAUUAAUCAAAAUUUUUAGAGAUAAUUAUGGGGAGAUGAACCUUGUACCUUUUAGUUUCUUAUUCUUCUUGAACACAGCAAUGUGCAUCAAGUGUUACGCACCUAGGAAUCUCCCUUCCUCCACAAGCAAAAUCUGAACAAUCUAUCAUUUCUUCAUAUUCCACUUCCUUGCAAAAUUCAAAACAUGAAAAACAAUAUCAUCAAAAUUGAGACAAAAAUAAGUGCAUCAACUAUCUCAAGAAGAGAUUUAUGCCUAUUGCUUACCUUUUGAAGAAGUCCACUUGGUUAGAGCACAUUUUACAUGGACGCCCAAUCACUACAAGCAAUUGAACCAAAGGAGAGUUCAAACAUCUAAAAAAUUUGACGAACUCAAGUAUCAUAAAAUACUUCAUAUGAAUUCUAAAUGAUCUCAUAUCUAAAAAACAUUGACAUAAAAUUAUUGUUGUUUACCUUACAUGUUUCUUCCAUGGUCAUAAUCGAAACUUUGUUUAUCAUAAGAAAUCUUCUAUGCUCAUCUUGAUUACUUACAAUAAACACUGAAAUGAAAAGAAAAAAACACAAAAAAUGAUGAUUAGUUUGGUUUGAUAAAUUUAGCACACAUAAUUUCCUUUUUCUUGCAUGAGAAAAGAAAGAGUAAAUAUAUAUAUAUAUAUAUAUAUAUAUAUAUAUAUAUAUAUAUAUAUAUAUAUAUAUAUGAAUUUAAUAAUUUUUUAAAUUAGCAAUUAUAAAACUAUUUUGGUUCUCAUAAAAUUUAUGGGAAAGUAGGGAAAAAAAUUGUAAACUUUUUCUCUUGUUUGAUUGUUUAUCGGAAAAUUGAGGGAAAACAAAAAUCUAUGACAAAUUUAUUUAACACUUCUGAGGAACCAAAAAUGUUUUAGAUGUUGUCAAAUUGAUAAUUUAAACGUGUUUAAUUCCAAUUAAAUGAGUUUAGUAAAACACAUGAAAUUGUGAAUAAAAUUAUUUAAAAGCAUUGAAAUUCAAGUCAUUAAAGUUGUCCAUAAAAUUUGGUAUAUUGAAGCAAGAAAAAAACAAAGCAAUUUGAAUGACUUGCUAAUAAAGCAACUAACUAGAAUAUGCCCUAGAGUUGUUCAGUGCCCUCUAUAUAAGAAAUAAACAGAGAACACAAAAAAAACCAAGAAAAAAAACAAACAAACGAAAAACAAAGAACACUUCUUACGUUAUUUUUUCUUAAUUUUUCUUAUUUAUAUACAUUUUUGUUGGUUUUCUUUUGACCAUAAAAGGUUCGAGCAUUGGCAUUGUCAUGUGUAAAUUAUUGUGGCUACAAACUUCAUCCGUAUCCAAUUGCACACCUGUCCAAACUCUUGAUGAUGAAGGUAUGAUUGCAUUUACUAGCAUUAAAUUGCUAAAAUUUGUCAUCCAAAGUUCCAAUUUCUUUUGAACCUUGAAGACUUCAUUUGCAUUCUUGUAGGAAUUAGAUGUGGAAUCAUUUUGCAAUGCUUGUGGUCUUGUGACCAGCAGUGAUGAAUGGGAAAAUAAGUUCUUAUCAACCAAGCAAACAAACUUCCAUUAUCCCAAGGAAGUCUUUCCAAGCUACUGCCUUAUGGGUUUGGAACACUUUUAGAGGUAACAAUCAAUUGGAACUAGUUACUCUUUCAAACUUCGUAUUGUACAAAUAUAGCCUGCAUGUGCAACCAUUUUUGAUCCCAUAAUUUCAAGAAUUUAUGACACCUUCUAGUGGUUAGUCUUUCUGGGAAUGGAGUAAAGCAACCUAUUCACUCCAAGAAACUAUCGUAAGAGGAAUAGUAGAUAACCUCGCAAGACCAAAUUUAUGUGUGUGCAUGGAGGUGCAUGUUUUCUGCAUCCCAAUCAUGCAGUGUUGUGUCAAAUGGAACAAUAGCAAGUGAUGAUAAGUGGUAUUUCUAAAAUCUUCUAAGAGUAUUCCAUAUAUUGUAAUAUUGUUUUCUCAAAACUGUCUAUGAGUCUUAUGUGUAAAUAUUAGAGUUGACCUCUUGUAAGCUAUCAAUUGAUGUUGUAACUUAAAUUGAAAGGGAAAUUCUAUAAAUUUAGCCUUGGUUUGGCUCUUGGAAAGCAAAGAAAAAUUAGGUUAACAGUGAGUUGAUUUCUUCCCUUCCCAUGGAUGUAAGCACAUUCUUGAAUUAUGUUAAUUAUGUUUUGGUUUAUUUUGUUGUUUUCUUGUUUAUUGUUCAAUUGUCUCCGCAUAACAAGUGGUAUCAAAGUUGUUUCCAACACAACAGAUGAUUCCUAUGCUAACACAAUGUUUGAGGUUAAAUGUAAGAUGGUAAAAGUUUCUAGAAUAUUUCCCUAUGACAACUGCCAAUAAAGGAUUUACUUAACAGGAAGUUCGUAAGGUGUUACAUGGCAAGUUGAACAAGACCAAUAGCUAAAGAUAUUUGAAAUAUUUGGGGCCAUUGAUCGAACAAUAGCAUAGAAUAACACAAGAAGAGACCCUCUAAUCACCAUUUUUGCUUUUGAUUCUUCUCUACAAAGCAUCAUCUCCUUUAUACAAAAAGACAACCCGUGGCUAAGCCCACAUUAUUCUCUACAUAUCCCAAAAAAACCCUCCAACCCAUGGCAUGGCGCACUUUUUGGGGGUAUUUUGCUACUAAAUUUGUGGUAGUCUCUCAAAUACCUAAACUAUCCUCCAGAUUUUAAGGCAUGGCCUACUCUUUGAGGUGGUAUUUUAGGUACCAAUUUUUGUUAAGAGAGGUUUUGGUGUGAAAACUAGAGGGCUUUACACACGUUGCAUGUAUUUUCUUUUGCAUGCAUUACACGUAGAUUGGAGUUUAUGCAGUUACUCACUUUUUGUGAGUCCAAUAGUACUAUAGUGCCAUGUCACCAUAUGAUGGGCUCUUUAGUCUUUUCAAACCCAAAAAAAAAAAAAACCUAAUACUAAAAGGACUGCUAACUAGCUAUGUGGAGGUGAACCUCUAUAGCUAGCUUCUUAGAGGGACCAUGAUCACUUAGGCCAAGAAAGUUUGAGGUGAUAAUAGGUUUGUGAUGCCCUUAGAUGUUUUAGACACAUGUGCGUUACACUAAUGUAUGCAACGAGUCUAUAACCUUGAUUGACAGGUCCGGGUAAUCUUUGAAAUUCCACUGUGAUGGGAAGGUUCCAUGUGAACAACAGUUGCACAUGGGUUAGUCAAUCUUAAGAGACGGGGGAAGCCCGUUUAAUAGCGCACAAUGUGCAAGCUUUGAAAGGCAAUCAGGUUAACAUUUUUUAAUUGGGACAUGACAGUGAACAAUAACAUUAGGUAGUUUGGAGAUGUCGUCAUAUUAAUUGUUAUCAAUAUUUUUAUUUAUUCAAUAGAAUUUGAGGAUUAAAAAAUACCACAAAAAUUAGAAAAUACAAAAUUAAUUACAUGGCUUACAUUUCAAAUAUUUAAUAAAAUAUUGUAUGAAAAUUGAAUAUCAUACAUUAUUAAAUGGCUGGAUUCUCUUCUUUAGUUUUUUAAUUGUCUCAUCCUAUUAAAUUACUCAUCUAAUAUUAAUUUAUUUUAAAGGUAAAAUUAAUUAUUUUGUAAAAAAACUUUUAAUUGACCAGAGUUUGUGCCAUGCAUCUAAUAUAUACUUAAAUACUUUUCCAUGCUAUAAUCCUCCAACUAAGGAAUGAAAUCAAAACUUAAAAAUCAUUUAUAUAUAUAGAUAUAUGUUAUUAAGUUUAGGUAGUGAAGCAAUUAUUGUGGAUAUAAAAUUAAUGCCAAAACUUUUGAUUGUUCCUUCACAUUCUCCACAACCAAACAAAGGAUAUAAGAAAAAUAAAGAAAGAAAAUUAGGGUAGUUUGAUUUUUUGUACUCAUCUUGUCGUGAAGUCAUCUUGUCGUGAAGUUAAUAGAAGAAUGCUUGGGUUAGUGCUCAACAAUUAAGUGCCACUAGGGUAUAAUGAUUCUUCCAAUCAAGUAAAUAUUAUCCGCUUUAAUUUCAAUGGAUCAUCAUCACUUUAAAUUGCAUCCACAUGGUUAAGAGCAACUCAUAUGUAUAUAAUAUCAUGAAUUUCUUCUUAUUCAAUAUGGAAUAUCAAAUUAGGUAUCUUUCAAUUUUAGGUAUUGUAUAAGUGUUUCAAUUCAAAUGACUUGGCUUAAUGUAUACUCAAAGCCUUUACAAAGGAACGUACAUGUAAUAAAGUGAAAAUUAAACCUUGUCGCCCGUCUAUCUCUAGUAUGAAACACAACUCCAUUAGCCCUUAAACAUCUGCAAAAAAAGAUAUACACCUUUGUUACAUUAAUUAAAAUAAAUGAUAGAAAAAGAAACUCUAUAUAUCCAUGUACAAAAUUUGAUUAGAUUUGUUAUAUAUAUAAAGAGAGAGAGAAAAAGAAAAAAAAAACUGCUUAGAUUAAGGAUCUCAUUAAUUAAUACCUAGAAAAUAUAAAAUAAAAUAAAAAGAUUAGAAGGUGUGAAUUAUAAGAUAAGAUUACAUUUUUGAAUUAGAUUCAUCGAAAGAUGGCAUAUUGUAUGAACAUUUUUACUCUAUAUAUAAAAACUUAUAUUAUGGUUGAGAUGUAGUAAUUUGUCAUAUUUUUGGACAAUUCAAGUAAUGAGUAAUUACACUAAAUUAAAUUAUUGACCUUAUUAAUUGAUAGCUCAAGAGUAUAAAAUAGUAAGAAAUGAAUAAUACAAACUUUAUCGAAAUAUUUUUAUAGACAUAUUGUGUAAAUAUUCUUAUUUCAUAAAAUUUUAUGUCAUUAAAUAAAUAGAGAAUUUUAACAUUAAUUGCAAUGCUAAGUAGAGGAGAUCCCAUAUUUAAGCUGUUGAUUAAGGCUUAUUUGAUAAAACUUAAUAUUUAUUACUUAAUAACUUAAGUUGACUUUAAGUUAGAUUAUAUUUAAAUUACUUAAAAUUUAUUAUUUAAUAUUUACUUUAAGUAUUAAAGUUAUUUGAUAAAAUUAAUUUAAAAGUCAUUUUAAAUUAUCAAAUUGUCAUAUUUAUCUUCGUUAAUUUGAUAACUAGAUGCAGAUAAAUGAAACAAAAUAAAAUUGAGAUUAAGAAUAAAUUAAUUACUUUGAUUUAACACUUAAAAUUAAAAGUAACUUUAAGAUAUAAUAUUAAGUUAUUUUAUCAAAUAUAUUUAAUCUAUUUAAUAAUUAAAUUAAGUUAUUAAGUUAAUGAAUGAUUACCAAACACCCUAUAAGACCCAAAAAAUCGAAUGAGUUUUAAUAGUAUUCAGGAUGGACAUGACUAGGUGGCGGUUCAAUGCUGAUUAAUCAUAAUUCAAUCAAGGCAAAAUAUGUAACAAAUACAAGUCAAACUGCACCAUCCAAAUGGGCGCCAAGAAGUUACAUUUGACAAAUGCCAUUAAACCUCUACAGCUAGCAAUUAUUUUGAUCACAGAAAAAAUGGCAAAAAAGUGUGUUGUACUUCAUCUUGAAGCCCAUUAACUUCAUCUUAAUUUGAUCCAAAUUGCAGAAACAUGCAAAACUCCAUGAAUCUAUGGUGCUAUGGUGGCCUACAUUCAUAUAACUGGGGACACUUUGGUUUACACCACAAUGACCCCAAACAGUGUUUGUAGAGGCUUUAUCAAGAUCACUAGCUUUAAAAGACUAAGGAAAGAAAGAUGUUCUCAAUGAAAACUUGGAGUCAAAUUGCAGAUAAAGACCUAAAACUCCCACUCAAUGUGUUUUAGGAAUUGUUGUUUCAUGGGGAUAAGCUGCUUGGUUUGUACAUGUCUCCUUGGUGAUACUUAGAGAUUGGCAAAGUAUACUCUCCUUUGUCAUCUGGUUUGUAUAUGGGCAGAUGAAUGUUCAUGCCAGGUUCAUAUAUGUUUCUGACAUAUAUCACCCUGGAAGGAUCUAGAUCAAGGGGAUGAGUUUGAAAAGCUUGAGUAGGUUUAAGAUGUUCCCAGAAUUGGUGAGCAUGAUAUAUAUCAACAUGAUAUUGCAGAAGACAACAGAGCUUCUGAAAUAUAUCAGGUUCAAUAGUAGGAAAUCUUAUCAGCUGUCACUUAUUGUAAUCCUAUGCUCUCAAUAUUCAUUUGUUGAAGAAGAAGAAAAAAUUGCUUUCACACUAUUCAAUUACAGGAGAAUGUUCAAUUAUAGAAGAAAAUAAUAUUCACUAGACUCUUUCAACUUAAUCAACAUGCAGAGAAAAGCAGUCGGGUGGCCAAUUAUUCACAUACAAACUUACAUACAUCGUCUCUCUACCUCUACUUGUUACUCAUCAGCCAAGCUUAUAGUAAUAUAAGCUUGGGUUCAUCUCUUUAUGUCUCUGAUGACAACUCCACAUGGGGUUCGCCUUCUGGUGAUUUUGCAUUUGGAUUCUGACCCUCUCCAAGUGAAAAGGAUCAAUAUCCUUCUUGCUAUCUGGACUGCAAAUGGAAGUUAACCGGUGCCAAGAGGAUCAAAAGUUGAGCUUACUACCAAUGGACAACUUGUUCUCCAGAGGCUAAGAGAUGAAGACAAAGACUGGUAAUGUGAGCAGCGAAGCAGUGCAUGGUGCCAUGCUUGGACAUGGAAAUUGUAUACCAGUAUAUGGGAGAGCUUCAAGCACCCAACUAAUACCAUAUUGCCAACCCAGGGAUUGGUGUUGGAGCCUACUGUGCAGUUGCUAUUUUUGAGGACCUGAGGUUUGCAAAUGGAACUGGAAGCUGUUGGAGGAAAAGACUACCUCUUUCAAAUGGGAGGUUGGAUCAAACUGAUGUUUCCAGAAGUGCUCUAAUCAAGAUAUUGAAGUCCAGUGAACUAACUUCAGGCAGAGGCAACCAAAAUAAAGCAAUUCUAAUACUCUCAGUCCUCUUAGGCCCCUCUGCGUUUUUCUUCUUCGUUUCUCUGGCUGCAAUUUCUCUAGUUUUCUACCACUUGAACCUCAAAAAUCUGCAGCUUUAUCACAGAGUCCUGAGUACAAGCGAUGGUAGAAGCCUUUGACACUGUCUAUAAAGGGACAUUACCAUCAGGUUCUGGAAAUUCUGUUGCUGAAAAGAAGUUGGAGAAGGUGGUGGGAGAAGAUGAGAAAGAAUUCAAAGCAGAAGUGAAUGUGAUAGGCCAAACUCACCAUAAGAAUCAAGGACAGUUGCUGCGUUACUGUCAUGAGGGUGAACACUGACUACUGGUUUUUUUUUUUUUUUCUUUUUUAUGCACAAUGGCUCUUUAUCAAGCUUCCUUUCUGAAGGCGCCCAAGGACUUGUGUACCUACAUGAAGAAUGCAGUAAACAGAUCAUCCAUUGUGACAUAAAGCCCUCAGAACAUAACUCUUAGAUGAUUCUUCUACAGCCAAAGUUGCAAACUCGGACUGGGAAAGCUUCUGAUAAUCAACCAGACUAGAACACUCACAGGCAUCAGAGGGACUAUGGGGUAUAUUCAGACAACUCGAGCAGCCUAUGUCUCUUAUAAUAACACGUUAUGAAGCAUCAGCUCAAUGCCAAGGUUCAAUCUGCAAAGCAAGGGAUUCAUCAAUGUUUCCUUCAAACUAAAUAAUAAGGAACAGAAAUGGAUCAUUCUGCAUUUUCAGUGGUGUUUGUUAUAGCAUUUAUACAAGAACUCUAGGGGUUUCUAUGUAUAACUUCAUUCCUAUUUUGUCAGUGAAUAUGGUGAUGGUGUUAUAUUACAAAUCAUAGUGAACUGGUGGAAUUUGAUCAUUUGGCCAACUUUAUCCAAAACUGUUUCACGGUUGAAGGGAUUGUUGACUUUGCCCUGGGCGAAACAGCAAUUUCUUAAGAAGCUGGGUAACGAAGAGUACCAUAAUUUGGACUGGUUUCAAUGGAAACUCUCCUGUUUUUGUGCAUGGUAUCUUCAGCUUCAGCUUUUCAUAUGCUUUUGACUAUCCUGAAACUGAUCCAAAUCUCUUCAAUUGAUUAAAUGUAUAAAUGAAUCCUAUUCAUUGUUUGGAGUAACAACCAAAUUCUGGAAGACUGGGAAAGUUUCAACACUGGAGAGAAAACAAAAUGACAAGACCAUAAAUUCUGGAAGAGGGCUUUGCUUUCUAACCAUUACCAUAAUUUUAGAGCUCAACCCGGGUGAGUAAAUUAUAUUUCAGAAUGUUCAGAAGAUAAUUCUGAAGUGAUGAACCUUCUACUCACAGUUUCUUGUUCUUCUUGAACAGAGCAAUGAACAUGAAUAGUUCAGCACCCAGGAAUCUCCCCUUCCUUCAAUUCCUUUACUGGGAAAACUCUGCCAAAAUCAUAACAAUCUGUCCUCUUCCUUGGAGGAAAAGUCACCUACCCAAUCAAGAAAAUCAUCAGGAUUAAUUUGAGCAAAACAUCAGAGUAUACAUCAAGAAAGCCUUGAUCAAAAUCAAAAUACAUCAAGAGCUGCCAUUUUCUUCUAUUUCCUCUUCCCCGAAUGGAAUGCCUUUUGGACUGAGGUGAUCAAUGGUAACAGUCUAACACACUCCUUAAGCUCUGAUUGAGGUCAACGGGGAUUGGCACAUUUAAUGACUUUUGAAAUCAUAGCUGUGUGAAGGGAGGCAAACAUGAAUCUCAGGAUAAUCAACAAGUCAACAACUAUCAAUCAGCAAGGAAAAGGAAAUACCUUUGGAUAUUUACAAAUCAAAAAUUUGAGAGAGUCCAGCUUCUCUGUACAGAAAGGCUUGAGCUUAUUCCAUGGCCAGGCUUUAGAUGGUUCUGAAUUACGGAUGAGAGGGUUGAGUUUUCUUUUAUUCUGCAAUAAGAUUAAAAACAUCAAUGAAACACUAAAAGUUUAUAUAUAGAAGCCCUUUAAAGAUAAGAAUUGGUAAGAAAGCUCACCCAUGGUCUAGUAAAACAACAUCUGUUAGAUAAGUAACCGCCAUUCGAUUGUCCAGCUAAUGCAUUUAGAUCUAAGAUAAGAUAUGGAAAAAUAGUCAAAAAUAGCUGAAGACAGUCCAAAAACUCAUUUAUCUAAUAAUUUUCUAAAAGCAGUAACAUAAAACCUGGAUGAAGAAUCCACCCCUCUACCUGACACCACUUCAAUACCAAAUAAAAUGUUACGAUGACCAUUUAUGGUCUUAAGAGACAGUGGAUGUUGUUUGGGCUCAAGACCUAAGACAAGCCAAAAAACAAGAAGAAGACAACAUCAAAAUUGGCACAGAAACAAGUACAUCAACUAUCUAAUAAAGAGAUUUAUGCAUGUAACAAAUGCAAAUGAAAUAUGAAACAAGAUUUUCAUGGAUUAAACAAAAAUAGAUGGCAAAAUAGAAGGAUAAGGUCACAGACAGGACAAUAUUAAAAGAAAUGAUUAUUUGUCCCACCUGAAAAUCGAGGCAUUCAGAACAGUACACAUUUGUAAGUAGUCCAUGGAAACCAGGGAACAUAUGCAGAUGUUGUAUUCUAUUGCAUAAGGCAAACACUCAAUACUUACUAGCAUAACCAUGCCCAGAAAGCCAUGAAUCCCUUUUUGUUUUGCUUUUUUACCUAUUCCCAUCUCUUAUGGCCAGAAGUGCUCAGGAUGAUAUAACAUCACCAAAUAAGUUAGAAACCAGCCCAUCCAGCAGGUUGAGUAGCCAGCUUGCCCUCAAUCUUCUUUGAGUCAACAAACAGCUGGGCAUUAUUGCCUCCAAUGGAGGGUCUGGAAAUAUUAGAGCUGGCACCAGGGGUGGCUGUAAAACUCUCUGUUCCAAAACCCCAAGUUUCAGGGCCAGAAGUUGCUUCUGUGGCUGGUUUGUUGUGAUGGCCAUUUCGGGUCCUAACAGACUUGCUAUUGUUGUCUGGGCACCUACCUCAGAGAAAGCCUGCCAUGGAUUAGAGUCCUGACAUGGCUGAAACUGAUCCUGAAAUCAAAGUUCACAUACACAAGUAGAUAUUUAACAGAAGAGUAUCCAAAUCUCUUCAAUUGAUUAAUGUCCAAAAGAAUUAAUCAAAAUUUUUAGAGAUAAUUAUAGGGAGAUGAACCUUGUACCUCUCAGUUUCUUAUUCUUCUUGAACAGAGCAAUGAGCAUCAAGUGUUGAGCACCCAGCAAUCUCCCUUCCUCUACAGGCAAAAUCUGAACAAUCUAUCCUUUCUUCAUAUUCCACUUCCUUGCAAAAGUCAAAACAUGAAGAAAAUAUCAUCAAAAUUGAGACAAAAAGAAGUGCAUCAACUAUCUCAAGAAGAGAUUUAUGCCUAUUGCUUACCUUUUGAAGAAAUCCACUUGGUUAGAGCACAUUUUACAUGGACGCCCAAUCAGUGCAAGCUGCUGAACCAAAGGAGAGUUCAAACAUCUAGGCUCAUCCCGAUUACUUGUAAUGAACACUGAAAUGAAAAAAAAAAAUGAAUUUAAUAAUUUUUAAAAAUGAGCAAUUAUAAAACUAUUUUGGUUCUCAUAAAAUUUACGGGAAAGUAAAGAAAAAAAACUUGUAAACUUUUUUGUUUUUGUUUGAUUGUUUAUGGGAAAUUUGAGGGGGAAAAAAAAUCUAUGAGGAAUUUAUUUAACACUUCUUAGGAACCAAAAAUGUUUUAGUUGUUAUCAAAUCGAUAAUUUAACCAUGUUUAAUUCCAAUUAAAUGAGUUUAAUCAAACACAUGAAAUUGUAAAUAAAAUUAUUUAAAAGCAUUGAAAUUCAAGUCAUUAAAGUUGUUCAUAAAAUUUGGUAUAUUAAAGCAAGAAAAAAAACAAAGCAAUUUGAAUGACUUGCUAAUAAAGCACCUAACUAGAAUAAAUAAAGCAGCUAACUAUAUAAGAAAUUAUAAAAUAAAAAUAAAAAAUAAAAAAUAAAAUUGCCAAAAAAAAAACAAACAAAAUAUCCAUGGUUCUUACGUUAUUUUUUUCUUAAUUUUUCAAUAGUUAUAAAUGGUUCAUUUAAUUUUUGCAAACUGCCAAAUCAAAACAGAGCAUGAAAAUGUGUUCAACAUUUGUUUCAAGCUUGAAGCUUCAAGAAAAAAGAAAAUCUUAAAUCAAAUAAACAGAAAGAAAAGUUUAAGCGCAAAAGAAUUACCUAACUGUGUAUUGGCAGAGUGGCAGAGUGGCACCUUGAUUAAAAUAGCACUUCAUUGAUCACUAUUUUAGGAAUGAGAUCUAUAUAACGCCAUUCUUCCCCUUUCUCAAAUUGACACCGUUUUUCCAGUAAAUGACCUCAUUAGAACUACAAUAAGUGAAGUGAUAAUGUCAUAUAAUUAGUAAACCAAACCAAGUCAAUAAACUAGAACUUCCUCUAGUAUGGCCUUUGUGUAAAAGAUAUUUAAAGGUCUUGAUACAUUAGAUAUUUAAAGAUAUUUUUUAUUGUGACAGAUUAUAGAGAAAAUUAGACACUGGGAAAAUACCAAGCCAGGAGCCAUGUCAAGAGCUGCUUUCUUGUUAAAAAUUAAGUCCAAUUAGAAAAUUACAGUAGCGCGUAAGAGAAAUUGAAAGUGGUGUUGAGAAGAGAAAGAGGAAGAAUGAUGUGUUGGGAAUGAGAUGUAAUACCUUCUUUAUUACUCAGAUGGAUUAGUCAUGUAUGUCCACACAGGGGAUGUGGGCAAUCUUGGGCCAAUCAUCUCCUUCCUCCUUCGAGUACCUUUGUGUUAGAUGUGGGCAACUCCACACAUCCAGUCGUGAAAGGGUGUCAGGCCAUAGUCCUUCCCUUGGCAAAAUCGACCGGAGCUUAGGGCAACCGUAGAUUGCUAGAUUUUCAAGAGAGGUGAGGGUUUGGAGAGACAGGGAGGCUAGGGAUUCCAGAUUCUGGAAAUGUGAAAGGUCAAGGGAGGUGAGAGUUGUAGGAAAAAGAAUCGAGUGGGGGUCAUCCGAAAAGGAAGUUGCAUCUGGAAACAUGUCUCCAAUACCGAGGUAUUUAAGAGAGGUGAGUCUGGAAAGGCCCCAUUGGGAUAGGGGGGUCUUGAUAUUCUCACAAUUAUAAAUGUAAAGCGAUGUAAGACGAGUGAGGGUGUUGAGGCAAUCUGGUAGGGUUUUGAGAUUAGGAUACCUCCUGAGGAUUAAAGAUUGAAGUGAAUUAUUAGUAGAGUGAAACAUCUCCUCUGAAAUUGACUCGAGGUGUUCACAAUCCUCAAUGUGAAGUUGCCAGGCUUUGAAGAGCAGCAGCAUAUGUGGAAUCGUAGUGCAUUAUUCCCUCUGGUAGAGACUCCAGCUUUUCACAAUUACUUAUGUGGAGUUUCUUGAGAGUGAUACCUCUCGGAAAACCAAUCAUAGAGGGACACAUAUGUAGAUGUAAGUAUUCAAGGGCACACAUGUCCAUGGUGCUGGUGGUGGCGAUGGAAUUGCAGUGCAUCAUUCCUUCUGGAAGAGACUUGAGACUUGAGAUUUCCAAGGCUUGGAGAGCAGCAGCAUUGGUGGAAUGUUGGUGCAUUAUUCCCUCUGGUAGAGACUCUAGCCUUCGACAAUCAAUUAUGUGGAGUAUCUUGAGAGUGGCGGGUAACCCACCUUUCGGUAAUCCAAUAAGAGACUGACACCAUCUUAUCGAUAACUCUUCAAGGGCACACAUGCCCAUCAUUCCUUCUGGAAGAGACUUGAGAUUUUCACAAGCCCAUAUGUUCAGACUCUCAAGGGUGGUGGGUAAUUGCCCUUUUGGAAAGCAAAUGAGAGAUGGACAAAUCGAUAUCCUCAAGUUUUCAAGGAGACAACAUCAUGCCAUCAGGUAGACUCUUUAGACCUUUACAAUUUCCAACAGUAAGACUUCUCAGCUUUGGUGGGAAACCUACAUCUGGAAAUGACGCUAGCUUUGGACAUUCCUUGAUUGUCAAUUCUUCAAGGCAUGUUAGACUCUGCCAUCCAUUUGGAAGCCUCUCUAGUUUAUCACAUCCACUUAUUUCCAAAGACUGAAGAUUGCAUCCCAAGGAUACAAGUUGGUCACAAUCUCUAAUCUCAAGAGAAUGAGAGUUUUCCGAUCCAAAACCAUCCUCCCACAAAUAUACGAGUUCUUCGCAUGCCCAUACUUUCAAAACCCGAAGCCCUUGCAAAAAUUGCACAAAUCCUUCAUGCAAUUUGAUAAGCCCUGAAAUCCCAGAAAUUGUUAACUUGGUGAGUGAGGUGAGGUCAUUUCCACUGCUCAAGACCGCCUCAUUACAUUCUCCUACAUCUAAUUCGUUCAGCAGUGGAAGUCUUGAAAGUGGAGACUCCAAUUUUGGACAGAAGUGUACAGAGAGCUUUGUAAGAGAAGGUAGGUAAGUGGGUAGUUUCAUAAUCAAUUUGCGGCAACACUGAAUUGUAAGCUCAUGGAGACAAGGGAAUAAUGACUCUGUUGAGGAAGACCAAUCCUCCCAGUGCUCCCAUUCUGACAUGCUAUAAAACUGUAGAGACUCUAGUGAUGGGAAAAACUUACCUGCAGAAACACGAGUCUCUCCAUAAAACUCUGCACCCACUUUUUUUACUACAUCCAUUCCUUGGAUCCUCAACUGUUUGAGCGAUGGCAACUGCCCCAAGCAUGGUAAAGACGUGCACUUUCUGCAAUCUAUGAGACGUAGAUCCACCAUCUUAGAGAACAAGGCACCCCCUAUCCAACGUGGGAAUUCUGGACCACCAUACAACUGAAUGCAGAGUUUGUUCAGAGUCGAACAUGGUUGUAGAGAGUCAAGGACAUCCAUUUGAUUCCUUUCAUUCCCUGAACCAUCCAACUCAGAACUCCACUGCAUUAUCAAGCUUUCAAGGUUACGCUUCGAUUUUAAAUCGGCAUCCCUUGCAUCUUGAAUAUUCACCACAUUUUCCAAUUUCGAAAUGCAAAGUUCUCCUCGCAGAUGUGACAUGUCCUUCAACUCCUUGAUUGUCAAACCGUUGUUUUUGUCCACAAUGAAAUUAGACAAUAUCCGCAAAUCUUUUAGUUUGCCCAUUCCUAUAGGCAUUUCUUGUAAUUUUAUUGCACCAGCAACGUCAAGAUGUCGAAGAUUGAUUAGGUUACCGAUGGUAAUAGGCAACUUGAUAAGCUCUUUACAACAUGAUAAUUUCAAUGUCUGAAGGUAAAAAAGAUUACCAAUUGAAUCGGGUAACCAUUUUAUACUGGUGUGGGACAAAUUAAGGUAUCUCAAAUGUUUCAACUUACCAAAUGAAUCUGGUAUCUCACUUAUCUUGUAAUAAGCCAAUGAGAGCACCCUUAAGUGCCGUAACCUUGGUAUCAAUUCUUCAAGCACCUUAUUACUUAUGAAGGAAUGACGUCCACUAGUUGAUUCAUCAAUCGGCAAAGCUAUGAAUGUGCGCAAGCGCUCUUUCUUAUGAAAUCUUUCAAAUUUUUUAAAGAUAUCACAAAAAUGACGGAUGAAUGAUGAAUGACGAGUAUUUUCAGAAAUGGAGCAUUGCAAAUCAUUCCUCAACUCAUCAUCCAAAUGCAAGCAUGUGUCUCCAGCAAUAGAUUUAGCUAGAGCAUGGACAAGGUCAUGCAUCACGAAUCGUGAUCUAUUGCUGCUCGACGAUUGAAAAAAUGACCUUGACAAUAGCUCAUCAAAAUACUUAUCACCAAGAUCUUCCAUUUUCCUAUUAUCUUUUGUUUGUUGAAUUAACCCCUCCGCCAUCCACAGGAGGAUUAACCCUUGCUUUGUAAACUCAUAAUCCUGGGGAAAAUUUGCGCAAUAAGUAAAACACCUCUUUAAAUGUGAAGACAGAUGACAAUAGCUCAAUCUCAAGGCAGGGAUGAUGUCACAUUCCUUGUCUGUGAAAUCCCAUACUUUGCUGUACAAUACUCUUUCCCAUUCACAUUCACGUAGUUCAGAGCGCAAAAGGCCACCAAGGGCUCUUGCUGCUAAGGGCGAACCUCCACACUUCUCUACAAUUCUCCUACCAAUUGAUUCCAAAUUUGGGUGCUCAUCGAUAUUCAUAUGUUCAAAAGCAUGUGUUUGAAAUAUCUUCAAACAAUCAUCAUAAGGUAACUGUUUGAGCUCAUGUAAGAUCUUGUGUCCUCUCAUCUUGUUUGCAACAUUAUUAUUGCGAGUUGUGACUAGAAUUUUGCUUCCCUGUGCUCCCACCCAGAAAGGGGAGCAUAGCCUGUCCAACUCAAAGUAAUCAUCAUUCCACAAAUCAUCCAAAACUAUCAGAAAUUUUUUUCCCUUCAAUUCCUUCCUCAAAUUUUCUUGGAUUUGAUGCAAGUCUUGUGAAUCACUGCUUUGAGAAUUAGUCACCGAGUUGAGAAUUGUCUUUGUUAUUCUCACUGCAUCGAACUGAUCUGAGACACAAACCCAGGCUUUUUUAUCAAAAUGCUUGGUUUCAUCGUCAUCGUACACCAGUCUUGCCAGUGUGGUCUUCCCCAUCCCACCCAUGGCCACGAUGGAAACUACAGAAAAAUUGGUUUUACUGGGUUCAUUCCUAAGCAGCAUACCAAUUAUAAUAUCUUUUUCUGUCCCCCUGCCAUAGACCUGAGGUUCAUAUCCUAGAGAUGCAGUGACUGGCCUUCCCCAAGCAGAGUUGGUUAUCGCAGCCACCUUUUCUAGACGAAGCUCAGAUUUUUGAGCCGAAAUAUCUCGUAAGCGGCGAGUGAUUUCCCACACCUUGGACCUCAUUUUAAUAUAACGCAUAACCUCAGUAGGAUUGAAAAAGCCAAGCCAAGUUGAGAUGAGCUUGCGUACCUUGCUCGGCCUGCCUUGAUGAUCAGCUUCUUUGGCCGUGAGCUCCCGUUGCAAAGCUUCGUAGGCGAACUCAUCCAAGAUGUCCUCCAUAUCAUAAGCCAAAUCUUUCAGAUUGCCCAGCCACUCUUUCACAGAGCGAUCCGUGAUCUGCUUGUCCUCCGCGUCAUUAAGCUCUUCACGAAUAUCCGACAAUUCUAUCUCCCAUUUCUUGAGAUCAGAGUACACCCAUUGUUGGCGUGCAAAGUCGAGCAAAUUAGUGGAGGCCAACUUGUCAAACAAGAGGCCGAUGGCAGCAGAAAGAAGAGCGUCUCCCACAGCUUCCAUGGUUGGUUUGUACUUUGUUUGGAGAGAGAGAGAGAGCAAAUCAAGCAGUGGAAGCAGAAAGAAGGGAGUUUUGACCCAAAAUAGCGUGUUUUAAAAAAAAAUUUCAAAAAAUAAAGUUGUUUUCAAAAUAAUGCCCAAUCUAAUAUGUCUGUGCCACAUAAGCUGUCAUAUCAUAAAACCGUAGUUGGUGACUACGGUUUUAUUUUUCUAAAGUGGUUAGAAACCGUAGUUACCAACCACGGUUUUAACUUUAAGUUUAAAGCCGUAGUGGUCGUAGUCACCAACUGCGGUUUUAACUUUAUAUAUAUUUAUAUAUAACUUUAAUUUUUUUAAUAAAAAUAUUAUAUUAUUUUGAUUUUAAAUAUACUUAUUUCAUUAUUUUAAAAAUAAUAAUAUACGAAAUUAAAUAAUUGAUAUUUUUAAUUUGAUAUAAAAAUAUUUUUUUAAAUUUUAUUAAAACGCACUAUAUUUAAUAUAAAUAUAAUUAAUUAAUUAAAAUAAAUUAUAAUAAAUUAUAUUUAUUUAAAAUAAAUAAAUUAUAAAUACCUAUUUAGAAAAAUAAAAAAUAAUAUAAAUUAUUAUAUUAAUUAAUAAUUUUUUAUAUAUUAUAUAUAAGUGGUAUAUAAUACCUCUCACACACACACAUAUAUAUAUAUAUAUAUAUAUAUAUAUAUAUAUAUAUAAGUUUAAUUUGAGUUUAAAAUUUAUCACAUUUUUAUUUAAAUAUAUAAAUAAAUUUUAUUAAAACAAUUGACACUAUAUUUAAUAUAAAUAUAAUUAUUUAAUUAAAAUUAAAUAUAAAUAAAAUAUAAUAAAUUAUGUUUAUUUAAAAUAAAUAAAUUAUAAAUGCCUAUUUGGAGAAAAAAAUAAUAUAAAUUAUUAUAUUAAUUAAUAAUUUUUUUAUAUAUUAUAUGUAAGUAGUAUAUAAUAUCACACACACAUACAUAUAUAUAUAUAUAUAUAUAUAAAUAUAUAAAUUAUGAACUUAAAUUAAAAUAUGAUAAAUUUUAAACUUAAUUGAACUAUUAUAUACCACUUACAUAUAGUAUAUAAAAAAUUAUUAAUUAAUAUAAUAAUUUAUAUUAUUUGUUUUUUAAUAGGCUUUCAUAAUUUAUUAUAUUUUAUUUAUAUUUAAAUAUAAUUAACUAAAUAUAUUUAUAUUAAAUAUAGAGUAUAUCAUUUUAAUAAAAUUUUAAAAUAUAUUUAUAUCAAAAUUAAAGUUAUAUAUAAAUAAAUAAAGUUAAAACCGCAGUUGGUGACUACGGCUUUGACCAUUUUAAAAAAAAAUCAAAGCCGUAGUCACCAACUACGGCUUUAAACUUAAAGUUAAAACUGUGGUUGGUAACUACGGUUUCUAAUCACUUUAGAAAAAUAAAACCGUAGUCACCAACUACGGUUUUAUGACGUGACAGCUUAUGUGGCACAAACGCAUUAGAUUAGACAUUAUUUUGAAAACAACUUUAUUUUUUAGAAUUUUUUUUUAAAAACUUACUAUUUUGGGUCAAAGCUCAAAGAAGGGGUCUGUUGUGUGAAGGCUUUAAAUAUUAGAAACCCAUUUUCAUUUAAAUUUAUUUGAAGGUCCUUGUAGAGACAGCUGGAUCAUAUUUUUGGAGUUUGAGAUGGCCCGACUGCCCACCUGCAUGCCACUGUUGGAUUAUAUUUAUUUGUGUACUUUAAAUAUGUCUCAAUUUUAUUAUAAAUUUUUCUAAUUUUUUUAAUAUAAAUAUAUAUAUAUAUCUCUCUUUUAUUAUUAUUUUUUUAUUUGCAUGAUAUUUCUUUCAUACCAAUGAGAAGAAAUUUUUUUUAUUAAAAUUCAUAAAAUAUCUUGUUUUUGUUGCAUGGAUAUGUUUCAUUUCACUGUAGGAAAGUUAAAUAAAAAAUGAUUUUUUCUGAUUUUUAAUUUGUAACAUUUUUUUUCUUAUUUAUUUUAAUCUACCCGUUGAGAGAGAGAGAGAAAAGAAUAUUUUUAAAAAAUAUUGUGAGAUGAGUCCUACUCUUUCCGUCCGUUGAGAGAGAGAGAGAUAAAAUGAGAGAAUGACCAACAAUAUGUUUUGGACUAAAAAAACCCCUUUGAAUGAUUAUGUUGAUAGAAAAGAAUAUUUUGAAAAAUAUUUUGAGAUGAGUCAUAUUCUUCCCGUGAGAGAGAAUAAUAUUUUGAGAUGAGUCCUAUUCUUUCCAUUGAGAGAGAGACAUACAAUAAUCAACGAUGAUUUUUUUUGGACUUCAAAAAUUUUUAUUCCGUUUCAAACCUGUAUUAGAGUAGAACGGGUCGGAAUUUUGUUUGAAGUUCUAGUCAUCCUAUCUUAUUUAAUAUUUUCUGUUAUUUUUAUUAUUUUUAAAAUUUUGUUUUUAUUAAAAUAAAUGUAAUUUAUGAGUAAAUAAAUUAUUUUUCAUAAAUUUUACAUCCUAUCAACUUCAAUUUAAAUAUGUUUAAAGAGGGGAAAUGAAAAAAGAAAUUAAAUUAUUUUUAUUUAAUUUUAUUUAUAAAUGAGAUUGAUUAAGAUAAUACUUUAGAGUUUGUUUAACAAUAAUUUUAAAAAAUAUUUUUAGUUUAAAAAAUAUUUUAAAAAUAAAUAAAUUAAGGAUAUAUUUGAUAAUUAUUUUUUAAAAUAGUUUUUGAAAAUAGUUGUUUUUUAACAUUUUGUUAAACAAAAGUCUGUUUGAAAAUUUAAAAUAUUUUUAAUUAAUUUUAAAUAUUUUAAAUAUAUUUUUAAAAUAAUUUUUAUAUCUAAUAUUUUAUUUUUAAUUAUUCUAUAAAUAAAUGACAUUUAAGUAUAAAUAAAUAAAAAUUAAAUUUAGGUUAAUAUUAUGUGGUUGUUUUUAGUGGACCACCAACUAUUUUUAUAUUCCAUAGAAUCCUAAAUUUAAAUUGAGAUAUGCUAUCUUAAAUUUUAAAUUUUUUAAAAAUAAUUUUUAAGGGCAUGAACUAAAUCUAUAUUUUUUGUUAAGAAUUUCUAUUUUUUUAUUUGGAAGUUUUUUACCAAUUUUUGUUUUUAAAAACAAAAAAAUAAGAAGUACUUAAAGUGUUUUUUAUAGUGAUUUUAAAAAAUAUUUUUAUUUUUUUAAUAUUUAAAAAAUAAAAAUUUUAUAUAUUAAAAAAAUUAAAAACAUUUUUUAAAAUGAUUGUAAAGCCCAUUCUUAAUAUGUAAUCUUAUUAAUUUCUUCUCAUUUACAUGGAAUGAAGAGAGAUUUAAAUGAAUAAAACAAAUACAAGGAUAAAAAAUGAACUUAUUGUACUUUAUUAUUACAUCCUUUCAUUAGAUGCUUUACAUAGUUUUUGAUAAAUAAAAUUAUAAUUAUAUUGAUGGAGGGCCAAUUAGCUUUGCUUUAGGUGAGAAAGUAGAGAUAAGAUUGAAAUGGGCUCACAUGUAAAGCAAGAAUGAAAUCAAAAGUAAAGAGGGAGAUAAGAUUGAGGUGGGUGGACCAAAUAAAAAGUAGGAUAUGAACUUACAAAAGCUUUUGCACUCUUCCCAAAAAGUAAAAGCAAAGCCUAUUAGCAUAAAGUGUGAUGAAAUUAGUCCUAUUCAAGGCCCUACUUGCAUAUUUGAUAUUUCUAUGAAUUUUUAUUUAUUUAUUUCUAAUGUGAGGACUUUUAAGUUAAAAUUAAUUUUCAAAAAAAUAUAAUUUAAAAAAUUAUUUUCAAAUCUACAUAAUUAUUAUAUCUUUUACAAAAAUGAAAUCAUAUAUUGAAGCUUUGAUUUUAGACUAAAAAUCCAAAUCCAACCCACUUAUCUAUGUACUUUAUUGGCAUGGAAGGAGAAGAGUUAAAAAAGUAUUAUCAAAGAUAAAAGAAAAUUUGAUCAUAUGAUAAAUAGAGAUCUUCCAAAAUUUUGAGGUUCGAAGCAGUUACAUUGGAUACGAGAUGACAUUGCAUUGAAAAUUGAUAUUAAAUCUCAUUAGGUGAUUAUAGGAAUUCCUUUACAUAAAUAUAAGUAUUAAAUAUAUCUUACUUUUUCAAAAAGUUUAUGGCCCUUUGUGAAUGUGGGAUGAAUGCAUUUUCAAUUGAGUGAUAUUGUACAUAUAUUAUUAAAAUUUUCUAACACAAUGCUAAGGACACUUAUGAUAAGUUUUUUUUUUUAUUUGAUUUAGGCAAAUACAACUUGAUAUGAUUUUUCAAUAUGUCUCGAAUUCAACUUUUUUCUUUUUAGGGAUUUGAAUUAAUUAUAAUCAGUUUUAAAUCAAAGUUGCAUCAAUCUAUUACAUAUCUAGUUUAAAGUCAAUGUACAUAAUACAUAUUUAAUUUGAAUUGACUUAUUUAAUAAUGGUACCGAUAAACCUAAUGAUAACUUUAACUUAUUUAACUCAUAUUUUACAUCUUUAAUUUUUUUUCAAUAAAUAUAUCAUAAUUGAGUCACAAACAACAUAUUCAGAAGAGUAACUACAUAUUAUGUCAUUCAACAUUUAAUCUGAUUUGAUUAUUUAACAAUAUCUAAUUAUUAAAUAGGUUAUAAUAUAUUACCUAGUUGAUAAUUACAUUGUGUUUGAGUUUAUGUUUUUAACCUUAAUUAUUAUUCACGUCAUGUUUGAAUUGAGAUAUAUAGUUGAGAAUUUGAACUUUGAUAUGACACAAACACAAUCGACCAAUAUAUUGAGACAUUAGAAGAGUAAUUUUGAUAAAAGUUAAUAUUUAAGCACUUAAGUUAAUUUAAAUUAAAUUAUAUCGUAUAUUAACUUGAUUUAUUAAAAUUAUUGUUGAUUUUAUAUUAUAAUAUUAAGUUAUUUUAUCAAAGAUAUUGAAUAUUCUUAAGAAAUUAAAUUUAGUCAUUAAAUUUGACUUAUCAACAUCCUCUAAGGUCUUCUCAAUUUUUAAUAUUUAUUUGAUACACGUUUAAUAAGAAACAAGUCAAAAUGUGUUAGCUCAAAAUUUCAAUACAAGCAAGAGUUGAAAGAAAGCGGAAAGAAGGGCCUCUCCGAUAGCUUCCAUGAGAGAGAGAACAACUUUACAGUGGAGUAAUUAUGAGAGAGGGAGAGAGAACGACUUUACAGUGUAGGAAUUAUGAGAGAGAGGGAGCGAGAGUUAUUGCUGUGGGAUGUAGCAAUUAUUCAAUUUUGAGAGAGUGAGAGAGGGAGAGAGACGUUUAAGUACAAAAUAUUUCGGUCCGUUCGUUGAAAGAAAUGGUAAGAAUAACACCCGCAUGGAUUUGCGUUCUUAGAAAGAAAUAAUUAGAAAAAUAGGUACUUCCAAAUAUUCGCAAUUUUUUUAUCAAUCUAAUUAUUCACAUUUCAGUGUUUUAAAAGUUUCAAAAAUAUCCUAAAAAUCAUAUUUUACAAUUUUUUUAUCGAUAACUAUAAUUUCAAAAAUAUUUUAAACCAUUCCAUUUUGUAUUAUGAUUUUAAUAUUAUUUUUAAAAUAUUUUUAUUAUAAUAUUAUUUUUAAAAUAUUCUUUAUCAAAAAUAUUCUUUAAAGUUUAAAAAUGAUAUAAAAAAAAUAAUUUUUUUUAAUUCAUAUGUGAUAAAAUACAUAAAAUAAAUAAAUAUUUUAUUUAUCAUAAAUAUAUAAAAUUAUAUGGGAAUGCAUAUAGGUGAAAUUAUUUUCUCGAAAUUUCAAGGAAAAUACAAAGAAAAAAAUAAAACAAAUAAAAAUAUAAUUUUAAAAUAGUCGUAAAGAAAAAAUUUGUUAAAGAUAACUUGUUAAAAAAAUAAUUUUAUGUUGACAAUGGAAAAUCGUAAGAAAUUUUCCCUACUCCAAAACGAACUUUGGAACCCUACGUACAUUCUUAAGAAAAUCUGGUACAUCGUUAAAAAAUUUUGGUACAUCAAUCACUUCCCAAAGAUCCUUAUAGGUAUAAAUAGACUAUGGAUAAUAAAAUAGCAGUCUUGAUAGCUUAAGGAUUAAAUGUACUAAUCUUUUUUUUUUAAAAUGUAUCAAAUUUUUUCAAAGAUAUAUCUAAGGUUCUAAAGUCCGUUGUGGAAUAGGGAAUGACCUCCGAUUACUUUCCAAAGAUCCUUAAAGAAAUAAAUAGAUCUGGGUAAUAAGAUAAGGAUCAUGUACCAAAUUUUUUUAAGGAUGUACCCAAUUUUGUAAAUGAUGUACCAAAUUUUAUAAAGGAUGUACCAAGGUUGCCAGAGUUGGUUUUGAGGUGGAGAACGACCUCUAAUCACUUCCCAAAAGUUUUCAAAGAAAUAAAUGGACCAUGGGAAGAGAGAUAGGUGUCCCGUUAGCUCAAAAAUUGGAUGUAUCAAAUUUUCUCAAUAAUGUAUCUAGGGUUUCAAAAUCCAUUUUGGAGUAAGAAACGACCUCCAAUCACUUUUCAAAGAUCCUUAAAGGAAUAAACAAACCAUGGAUAAUAAGAUAAGAGUUUUAGUAGUUCACUGAUUUGAUGUAUCAAAAUUUUUUAAGGAUAUACUAAAUUUUAUGAAAAAUGAAUCAAAUUUUAUAAAUGAUGUAUUAAAUUUUGUAAAGGAUGUACCAAGGGGGCUAAAUUUCGUUUCGAAGUGGGAAACGGCCUCUAAUCACUUCCUAAGGUUGUCCAAAUGAAUAAAUAUACCAUAUGAAGGAAAAUAGGUGUCCCGUUAAUUUAAGGAUUAAAUAUAUCAAAUUUUCUUAACGAUGUACCAAUGGUUCUAAAGUUCAUUUCAGAGUAGGAAACGACCUCUAAUUACUUCAUAAAGAUCCAUAAAGAAAUAAACGAACCAUGGGUAAUAAUAUAGAAGUCUUGGUAGCUCAUGAAUUUGAUGUAUCAAAUUGUUUUAAGGAUGUGUCAAAUUUUGUGAAAGAUGUAUCAAAUUAUCUUUAAGAUGUACCUUGGGUUCCAAUGUCUGUUUUAGGGUGGAAAACAACAUCUAAUUUCUUCUUGAGGGUCCCCAAAUGAAUAUAUAAACUAUGAGAGUGGAGAUAGGGGUCUUAGUUCUUCUAAGAAUUAAUUUACCUAGGAUUUCAAAGUUUGUUUUCAGGUGGGCAAGAACCUCUAAUUACUUAUUGAGGGUUCCAAAGGAAUAUAUACACCAUGAUAAGUAUGAAAGUGGUUCUGAUUCCCUUAAGCAUGAAUUUACCCUUUUUUUUCUUUAAGGAUGUACUUUUUUUUUAAUGAAAUUUAUAUAAAAAAUUAAAUACAAUUUUUUUAAUGAAAAAUAUAUUUUAUUUUAAUUAAAAAUUAAAAAUUUUAACCAAACAAAAAGUUAGAUCCAUAAUCAAUUUGAAAGCACUAUUAGAAUGUAUCAAUAUGUAAUAUUUUUUCCCCAUUUUACAUUAAAAUUAAAAAGUAAAAAACAAAAUUCUAAAAUCUCAUAUCAUGAGGGUAAUUGUGAAACCAUUUGAAAAUACUAUUGAAAUACAUGAAUAAAUAAUAAUUUUUUCUCAUUUUAGACUAAAAUUAAAAAAAAAAAAAUUAAAAUCUCAUAUUUUUUUAAAUUGAUGUAUAAUUAUUCGAGUUCUUUGUAUUUAUGAAACCAUAAUUAGUAAUUAUGUUUUUAAAAAAUAUAAAACCAUAAUAAUAUACCGUGGCUUUCAAGAUAUUUUUACAAUUACGUUUACUAAUUAUGAUUUUAUGAUUAUUGUGAUAAAAAAUGUUUUAAAAAUAAUGUUAAAAUCACAAUACCAUUAAAAAAAAAAAUGAGCGGUGGCUGAGAGAGUGAAUUAUUGCUGUGAGAUGGCAUGCAACAACUUUAAAGUGUAGCAAUUAUUGAAUUUUGACCGAGAGAGAGAAAAUCAUUGUCGUGGGAUGGCAUGCAACAUCUUUAAAGUGUAGCAGUUUACAGUGUAGCAAUUAUUCAAUUUUGACAGUGAGAGGGAAUUAUUGCUGUGAGCUGGCAUGCAACAACUUUAAAGUUAGCAGUUAUUGAAUUUUGACCAACCAUAUCCUCAUCCAAAGUUCCCAACCCAUCUUGGUUACUUCAACAAAUUUUUAUCCCGUUCUAGAGUAGAACGGGGUCGGAAUUUUUUUAGAAGUUAUGGUCAUCCUAUCUUAUUUAAUAUUUUCUGUUAUUUUUAUUAUUUUUAAAUUUUAUUUUUAUUAAAAUAAAUGUAAUUUAUGAGUAACUAAAUUAUUUUUCAUAAAUUUUACAUCCUAUCUUUAUAAAAAGUAAAUUUGCAGCUUCAAUUUAAAUAAGUUUAAAGAGAAGAAAUGGAAAAAGAAAUUAAAUUAUUUUUACUUAAUUUUAUUUAUAAAUAAAAUGGAAUGAGAUAAUACUUAGAGUACGGUUGAUAAUUAUUUUAAAAAAUGUUUUUAGUUAAAAAAUAUUUCUUUUAAAAAAUAAAUUAAGAGUAUAUUUGGUAAUUACUUUUGAAAAUAAUUUUUGAGAAUAGUUGUUUUAUAAUAUUUUGUAGAAUAAAAAUUUGUUUGAAAACCUAAAAUAUUUGGACUAAUUUUUAAUAUUUUUAAAUAUAUAUUUAAAAUAAUUUUUAUAUAUAAUAUUAUAUUUUUAAUCAUUCUACAUGUUUAUAUAAUUAUUUUUAAAAAAAAUCAUUAGAAAAUAAAUUAAAAAAUAUAAAAAAUAACUAAAAAAUGUUAUUUAAAAAUACCAUAUUUUUUGUUCUUAAUAAUAAAAAAUAGAAAACAAUUUUUUAUUGUCAAAUGUAUUUUCUUGAUAUUUUGGAGAACAAAAAACUAUUUUAGAAAAUAGUUGUUAAACAAACAUUAGAUGUUAGAUAAAAUUUUAAAAAGACUUCUAAAAAUCUAAAAAAAUCACUUAUACUAUUUUUUUUAGAAAAUCACUUAUAGUGUUUUUAAAAAAAUUACUUGACAGAUAAUUUGCUAAAAAUAUUUCAAGUAAAAAUACUGUUAAACACAUUAUUAAUAUCAUUUAACCUAACCUUGGAGUUAAAAAAUGAUUUAUCAAAUUCAACCUCAAUCGGUUUAAACUCUCCCAAACCCAUUCCCAUUUGUAAUAUCUGGUUUUGAAAAAAUAAAAAUAAAAAUAAAAACAUAAUAUAAAGAGUAGGAGGAAUAUCAAAUAUAAAAAGAGGGUUAAAAAUGUUUUGUAAUGGUUGGAAGUGUUUUUCCUACAAAUAAUGAUGCAUUUUGAAAAUUUUUAGAAAUUAAGAGAAUCACUUUGAACUUACAUUCGAUACACACUUUAUUUAAAACCAUUUUUUAAAUUAUAUUUCUUAUGAUCAAAAACAUUUUUAAGACACUUCUAAAUGCUAACCUACAUUUAAAAAAAUGUCAAGAUAAUUUUUUUUUCUAAAAUAACUUUUAAUUUAUUAUACUUUAUUAUUACAUUUUAUUUUUUGUUUGAUGCUUUAAAUAGUUUUUAUUAAAUAAAAUUAAAAUUAUAUUGGUGGAAGGCUAAUUAACUUUGUUUUUAAGUGAGAAAGACAGUGAUAAGGUUGAGGUGGGUCUAAAAAAAUGAAAUAAAAGAAUGAAAAAAAGAAAAAGAAAAGAAGAAGAAGAUAGAGAUAAGAUUGAGGUGAGUCUGUAAUUAAAAAAAAAAAAGAGAAAAAGAAAAAGAAAUGCAGAGUAGGAGACAAAGUGACAAAAGCUUUUGCUUUCUUCAAAAAGUUAAAAACAAAGGCUAAUGGCAUCAUGUCAUCAAACUCUAUACAAGACACUACUUGAAUAUUUUUAUGAUUUGUUAAUUAAACUAGUCUUAUACAAGGACUAAGUUAAAAAUAAUUUUAAAAAAAAUAUUAUUUAAGAAAUUAUUUUCUAAUCUACAUAAUUGCUACAUCUUUUUUACUUGAUUUUAGUUCAAUUUCAUUAAUAUGAAAUCAUUUAUUUGAGCCCAAAAAUCCAAAUCCAAAUCCAAAUCCAACUCAUUUAUUUAUAUACUUUAUUGGCAUGGAAUGAGAAAAGUUAUAAAGUGAAAGAAAAUUUGAUCAUAUGAUAGAGAUUUCUGAAGUUGGAGCCAAUUCAAUGCCUAGUGGGUAUUAAAAGAAAAGAAAAGAAAAGAAAGAUGUGGAAAUUAAAGUGGAACAACCAAAAUUUUGAGGUUUGAGGGGAUGUCACUGCACCUUCCAAGUAACUGUCUAAGAAUGUGAGGUGUCAUUGCAUUGAAAAUUAAAAUUAAAUCUCAUCAAGUAACUAUAAGAAUUGCUUUACUUAAAGACAAGUAAUAAAUAUAUCUUGCUUUUUCAUAAAAUUUAUGACCCUAAGUGAAUAAAAUUUUUAGAGUGGGAUGAAUUCAUUUCACGUGAGUCAUGUCCUAGAUAUAUUUUUAGAAUUUUCUAGCAAGAUAUCAAGGGAAACUUUAUGGUAAGUGUUUUCUUUCUAGUGAAGGUGAGUACAGUUCGAUGUCAUUCAUAAACAUAUUUCAAACCCAAUAUACUUUUUUAGGGAUUUGAAUUAAAUAGAUUUGUAUUUAUUUUAAAUUCAUGUGAAUAUAUAUAAUUCAUUUAAUAAAUAAAUUAUUUUUAAAUUAACUCAGAUAACCCACAUUUGACUCCAAUUAACUUAUUUAAUAAUGGUAUUGAUUAAUAUAAUAAUAACUUUAAUUUAUUGAACUCAUUUAACUCAUUUAAAAUUUGUUUUUCAAUAAGUAUGCCAUAAUUGGGUCAUCAUAUAAUAUUAGAACAUUAAGCAUAUUAUUUCAUUCAACAUUUAACUUGAUUUGAUUAUUAAACAAUAUCUUAUUAUUAAAUUGGUUAAACAGGAAAUGAUGUAUCAGCUAGUUAAUAAUUAUAUAGUGUUUGAGUUUAUGUUUAUGUUUUUAAUUUUGAUUAUUAUUCAUGUCAUGUUUGGGUUGAGUUGUUUCGUUGAUACAACACAAACAUAAUCUACCAACAUAUUAAUAAAAAAUUACGAGAUAUUAGGAGAGUAAUUUUGGUAAAAGUUAAUAUUUAAUGAUUUAAGAUGAUUUUAAAUUAAAUUAUAUUUAAAUGAUUAAGUCAUAUCAAAUCAUUAACUUAAUUUAUCAAAAUCAUUUUUUAUUUUAUAUUAUAGUAUUAAGUUAUUUUAUCGAUCAUACUUAAUAUACUUAAGAACUUAAAUUUAGUCUUAUCAACAUUCUCUAAGGUCUUCUCAAUUUUUAAUAUUUAUUUGAUACAUAUUUAAAAAUAAACAAGUCAAAAUAUAUUAUCUCAAAAUUUCUAAUUCAUACUCCUACAAGAUUUUAAAAUUCAUUAAUUAAUUUGAAAGAAAUUUGUUUUGGAACAUGCAAGUGAUGGACAUAUCACAUAUCUUAAAUUUCUAACUAAAAAACCUCGUAACAAAAUAAUUUGAUGAAUGUUUUUCAGUUUAAAAAACUCAGAACCAUUUCACAAUGAUUUUGGGAAGUUAGAAAUGUUUUCGAAUGCUUGAAAAUGUUUUAAUAACGAAAAUUAAACAUUUGAUAAAAAUUAAAGUUCACAUUCUAAGUAAUUGAUAGUGCUUCUUAUAAUUUUUUUUUCUUUUCAUUAUAUAUAUAUAUAUUAGACAUCUAAAAGGUUUCACCAAUUAAAUGGUGUCACAUAUACAUUUUUAUAUAACAUGAAUUGUAAAGGUUUCAUCAAUUAGGUGGUGUCACACAUAUAUUUUUAAGUCUCAUAGUUUAUAUCAUUGUACCUUGGCCACAUUUGUUUAUACAUUUGUUUAACGAUUUAGAUCUCACUACAUAUAUUUAAUGGUUUAGAUCUAGACUUCGAUAGGUACCACUACAAAACCUUAGUAUUAUAUAUACAUAUACAUCAUACUAACUACUUUUUUUUAUAUCAAAACACUUACAAUAGAAAUGCUACAAAUUAGUUUUGAUCAAAAUAAUUUCCAAACCAACCAUAAUAUUUGCAUUAGCUUUAACAUAUAAUAUCUUUUAUUUUAGUUGUUGAUAUAGCUACAUAUAAGACCAACCAUUCAUAUGAUAAUUAUUAUGGAUCUUAUUUUAAUUUGAUAAAAAUAUCUACCGAAGCAUUAUGCAAAUAGGGACGACAAUGGGGUGAAAUAUGGACGAGUCGUUCCUAUCCCAACUUACCUCAUUUAUUUAAAAUAAUUCUCAUUCCCGUCUCAUUGAAGAAAUUAAAUGGAAUGGGAUAGGUAUGAUGCCUACCCCUUUUAAUUUCUUUUUGAAAAUUUUUAAUUUUUUUAAAAAUUAUUUUUAAAUUUGUUUAAAUACAUUAAAAUAAAUAUAUUUUAUAAAUAAUUUUAAUUUUAAUUUUUUAUAACUUAUUUAUUAUUAUUAUUAUUAUUAUUAUCAUUAUUAAAAAUAGGAAAAAUAACAAUUUACGUCUAAUUGAAGCAGGACAAGGUAAUACCUAAACCUGCCCCAAACUCGUCUUGAGUUUUAAAAAAAAUUUCAAAGAUGCUUUUAACUCAUUUAUUUAAAUUUCAAAUCCAUCCUAUUAGGGAUGGGGUGAAACUUGUCUCAUUGUCAUCCAUGUAUGCAAGUCAUAAAUAUAUAAUAAGAAAAAUAAUAAUAAAAUUAGUAUCUAUUUAGAUAAACUUGUUGUUUUUUGUUUUUAAAAUAAGAAAAUAAUAAUAACUUUUAUAUAAGAUAUAAGGAUAUUUAGAUACUUAUAUUAAAAAUAAUAAUAAUAGUUUUAAAAAUCAUUUAAAAUUUUAAGGUAUUAAAAAAAUUUUACUAAACCAAAUUUAAUUUUUUUUUAAAGAUAUGACAUAAAUUUAUAUAUAUAUAUAUAUUUUGUAUAACAUGUUCUACUUUCAUAUAGAAAUUUCUAAUUUUAAAAACAAAAAAUAACAAAUGUAUUAAAUGAACACUUAGCUUCUUAUUUUUUUAGUGGUUCACCUUGCCCCUUAGAUAAGAAGAUUAUGAAAAUUUUCAAUAAUUAUGAAAAAGAUAAAAGUACUAAAGGUGGAAAGACUUUGGACAAAAUUAUGUGUGAGAUGGUGUGCAUCAACUUUAAUUUGGACAAUUAUGUUAAUGGGAAGAUGUUAUCCUCGUCUCAAUCACUAACUUUAAAUUGUAGUACUUAUUGUAUUUUGGAUAAUUAUGUUAAUGGAUCAUGUCAUCCUCGUCUCAACUCAUCUUGAUUAUUUAAGUUAUAAGUUAUAGUCACCAUGUCUUAUUUAAACUUUUAUACUAUUUUUUAUUAUUUUUAAAGAUAAAUCUUAUUAAUUCAUAUGUGAUAAAAUACAUAAAAUAAAUAAAUAUUUUAUUUAUCAUAAAUAUAUAAAAUUGUAUGGGAAUACAUGUAGGUGAAAUUAUUUUCUCAAAAUUUCAAGGAAAAUAUGAAGAAAUAAAAUAAAAUAAAAAAAUAUAAUUUUAAAAUAGUUGUAAAGAAAAAAUUUGUUAAAAAAAUAAUUUUAAGUUGACAAUAGAAAAUUGUAAAAAAAUUUCCCUACUCCGAAACGAACUUUGGAACUCUACGUACAUUCUUAAGGAAAUCUGGUACAUCGUUAAAAAAUUUUGGUAUAUCCAAUCACUUUCCAAAGAUCCUUAUAGGAAUAAACAGAUUAUGGGUAAUAAAAUAGGGGUCUUGAUAGCUUAAGGAUUAAAUGUACUAAUUUUUUUUAAGGAUGUAUCAAAUUUUUUCAAAGAUAUACAUAGGGUUCCAAAGUCCGUUUUGGAAUAGGGAAUGACCUUCAAUCACUUUCCAAAUAUCCCUAAAGAAAUAAACAGAGUAUAGGUAAUAAGAUAGGGAUCCUAAUAGCUUAAAAAUUGGAUGUACCAAAUUUUUUUAAGGAUGUACCCAAUUUUGUAAAUGAUGUACUAAGGUUAUCAAAGUUGGUUUCGAGAUGGAGAACGACCUCUAAUCACUUCCCGAAAGUUUUCAAAGAAAGAAAUGGACCAUGGGAAGUGAGAUAGGUGUCAUGUUAGUUCAAAGAUUGGAUGCAUCAAAUUUUCUCAAUGAUGUACCUAGGGUUUCAAAGUCUAUUUCGAAGUAGGAAACAACCUCCAAUCACUUUCCAAAGAUUCUUAAAGGAAUAAACAGGUCAUGGAUAAUAAGAUAAGAGUCUUAGUAGUUCACGAAUUGGAUGUAUCAAAAUUUUUUAAGUAUGUACCAAAUUUUAUGAAAGAUGAAUCAAAUUUUAUAAAUGAUGUAUCAAAUUUUGUAAAUAAUGUACUAAGGGAGCCUAAUUCCGUUCCGAAAUGGGGAACGACCUCCAAUCACUUCCUAAGGUUGUCCAAAGGAAUAAAUAGACCAUAGGAAGGAAGAUAGAAGUCUCAUUAGUUUAAGAAUUAGAUGUAUCAAAUUUUCUUAACGAUGUACCUAUGGUUCCAAAGUUCAUUUUAGAGUAGGAAACGACCUCUAAUUUCUUCCUAAAUAUCCAUAAAGAAAUAAACGAACCAUGGGUAAUAAUAUAGAAGUCUCGGUAGCUCAUAGAUUAGAUGUACCAAAUUGUUUUAAGGAUGUGCCAAAUUUUUUGAAAUAUGUACCAAAUUAUCUUAGGAUAUACCUUGGGUUCCAGUGUCUGUUUCAUGGUGGGAAACAACAUCUAAUUCUUUCUUAAGGGUCCUCAAAGGAAUAUAUGAACCAUGAGAGUGGAGAUAGGGGUUUUAGUUUUUCUAAGAAUGAAUAUACUUAGGAUUUCAAAGUUUGUUUUGGGGUGGGCAAGACCCUCUAAUUACUUAUCAAGGGUCUCAAAUGAAUAUAUACACCAUGAUAAGUAUGAUAGUGGUUCCGAUUCCCUUAGGCAAGAAUUUACCUAUUUUUUUUAAGGAUGUACCUAUUUUUUUAUGAAAUGAAUAUAAAAGAUUAAAUAUAAUUUUUUUAAUGAAAAAUAUAUUUUGUUUUAAUUAAAAAUUAAAGAUUUUAACCAAACAAAAAGUUAGAUUCGCAAUCAAUUUGAAAGCACUAUUGGAAUGCAUGAAUAUGUAAUAUUUUUUUCUCCAUUUUACACUAAAAUUAAAAAGCAAAAAACAAAAUUCUAAAAGCUCAUAUCACUUUUGAGGGUAAUUGUGAAACGAUUUGAAAACACUAUUGGAAUACAUGAAUAAAUAAUAUUUUUUCUCAUUUUAGACUAAAAUUUAAAAAAAAAAAUUCUAAAAUCUCAUUUUUUUAAUUGAUAUAUGAUUACACAAUUUCCUUGUAAAGAUAUUUAUCAAAUCAUAAUUAGUAAUUAUGUUUAAAAAAAAUGAUAAAAUCAUAAUUAUAGACUGUGGCUUUCAAGAUAUUUUUACAAUCACGUUUAUUAAUUAUGAUUUUAUGAUUAUUAUGAUAAAAAAUGUUUUAAAAAUAAGGGAAACUUGUGUUUUAGGGCACUUAUAUAUAAAAUAUAUGGCAUUCAGACCCUAAGUUUAUGAAAUAUGGAAAGUAAUCAUUAAUGGACAAAAUAAUAUUAGAAUUAUGCACUCUGUGCUGAGUCAAUUUUAUCUGCCCAAAUUGCCCCUGAUGUCUUUUGCAUCAGCAACCAAAUAGCUUCCACAUCAUACUUAAAUAAAAAAAAAUUGUGAAACUUGACAAUUGCUGAAAAAACUACCCGACCCGACUUUAGUUGUCCCAUUCUCUCUUUCUCAUUUUAGCAAAAAAAAACCCUAACUUUCUUCUCAUAAACUUCUGUAGCCCUAAAUCCAUAUUUUAGUUUGUUAGCAACCAAAUCUGAGAUUUUUCCUAAGCCGAAAUCUAAAAAACUUGCCAUUUCAGAAGGUCAUUUGAAAUCUGAAUCAGCCAAAACCUUCAGUCCAACAAAUCGAACCGUUACCCAUCUUCCCAGUUUCUCAGAUUUCUCUGUUUGUCUCUUAACAUCUCAAUUAGUCGAACCUAUCUAUCUCUUAACGUCCUGAGUAGCCGAAGUUGAUGCCCAUCUUCCCAAUACCUUGAAGUAAACUGAACGGGAGACAUAUCUUGUUUUUGUAUCAUCAAAGUUGGAAUUUUGUUAAGGUUUCUCGAAACGGAAUUGGAGUUUUCCCAUUUGCGCGUGUUUUCCGAUUAAUCAAUCACAGGUGAGUUUUCAUUUACGGGUUUGUUUGGAUGGUGCGAACAUCUUAGGGUUUCAGGUGUUUUAUUUUGGGGUUUCUUGUAUUUAGCUUCAUUUUCGGUAGAAUGAAAUAUAGUAUAAAUUUUUUUAGGUUAAAGAUAUGUUCGUAUUUAGAGAAAAAAAUUAUUAUUAUUAUUAUUAUAUAUAAAUAUAUAUAUAUAUAUAUAUAUUUAUUAUUAUCACAUAUGCUUUCCAGGAAUUCUAUUGUCAUAAGAUUUUUGGGGAAAUUGGUUCAUCUGUAUUACUUGGAAAUUUUCUUUCAAUUUUAAUGGUAUAUAUGAGAGUUACUACUAGCAGCUAAACAGAUUAUUUGCUUGGUCAUUUGUCAUUGUUAUUGCUUUACUAAUUUUGAAUAUCGAUUUCAUUGUGUGUAUGCUUUUAUUAUUUUGUCAUUUGUCUUUGCAUGAUAGAAUUGAAUGUAUGUUGUUGUUGUUAUUGUUUUAUGAAUUUGAUUUGAGACAUGAUAAAAUGAUAGCAAUAAGCAUCUAAAAGAUGAAUGUUCACUACAAAUUUGGGAUGAAAAAGAAGUGACGGCUUUGUGAAGUGUUGGUCAUGCCUUAAUUUAUUUGCAUAUUUGAUUUAUUUUUGAAUUCUUCUUAUUUAUAUUUUAAAUGUUUAAUAUGUUGUUGAGGUAAGAAUUGGUAUGCAUUUUUUCUCAGUUAUGUUUUCGAGACCAUAUUACAUUCCUAAGUCUUUAAAUUUGAGAUGAGUAUAGUUUUGUAUUUGUCUUUUUAUGAGUGGAAAAUCGUAUUGUAUGUGAAGAAUUGUGGUGAUAGUGUUGUGAAAAGUUCGUGUAACACAAAAUUAAGUGUUGAAAUUUGAAGGAGAGAAUGAAUAAAGUAGACAACACCCCAUAUGGUAGAAAUGCAUGAAGAACAUGAUACCCAACUAUAGUCAAUGCAUUAAUGCUCUUUUGAUAGCUGUUUUGGAAUUUGUGGUACUGCAACAUAUAUUCGAAAAAAUGAUAAAUGAAAUGGGUUGACUGUUUUGUAAGUCAAUUUUUUUUUUUUGGUGAAAAGAGAGAAAGACAUGUAGUUUUUUGUUUGUAAGUAGUGAAGUUAGUUGUGUUAUCCCUUUAAUUUCCUCUUCUGAUCCUUUUGAUGAAUUUGGGUCAUGUCAAACUAUCUAUUUAUGACUCUAAGUUAAUAUUGGUCAGUUUUGUUUUCGGACAAGAAUGGACAAUACUUUGCAUAUUUACAAAUUGGGCAAAAUUGAAGGUACUGAUUGACAACACUAUUUAAUUGCAAAACUGUUGUGUCAUGUCUGUUAUUAUUUGGCUGGUAAAUGAGUCAUAUUAUUACCCUAUUGGUCCUUUAUUGGAGGACUUACCAAUUGCACAACUCUCCACUUAGUUUUUUGUAGUAUGAGUUCCCUCUAAAUGAGUUGUGCCUUUAUUUUCAUUGAAAAUGAAACAGUUAAAUUAUCUAUUGAAUGAGUUAGACUUUGACACUAUUUCUAAGCAUUUUUUGCAUGUAAGAUAGUAUAGGUUAGGACCCUUGUAGUUAAAAUUUUGAGUUUUUUGGUUGUUAGUUAAUUUUUUUUUAGCUCAUUUAUGAACUUAUAUUUUCUUUUAUUAGGAAUUGAACGGUGAAAAAUGAAUUGAAAAAGAUUAGGUUACAAUGGAUUCCACUUUAGAAGAUGAACAAAUUUGUAUUCCACAUUGACUUGCAUUUCAAGCGUGAUUUUAUAACCUUGGCAAUGUAGUGUUUGAUUCAAAAAUAAAAGUUUCAAAUACCUUCAAUUUUGGACACAAUAAACUGAAUUUUUCAUGAAAUUGUACUUUUGUUUCAUAUGAGAACUGUGGAUUUUAAGACAAUGCUCAUAACUGCCCUUGCUUUGUGACCUAUAGUUUAGUCUGCUUUUACUUGGUAUCCACUUCAAAUUUAUUUUAGCUUUUACUCGGUGGUCCUUUUAUACUUUUUGAUUGCUCAAGUAAAACUAAUCAUAGGCAAUUCAACUUUUGGUUUGUUGAUUAUGGGUUGGUUUAUGUUACCUUUUCCAGGUAGAGAACGAAGAAAAUUUUGGAGAUGGGACAAAAAAUGCUAGAGAUGGAGAAUUGAAUUCAGAAACUAGAGAAACAGAACCUGAAAGUGCUGAAAAAAUGAGGUAAAGCAGGUAGUAUUUGAGAAGAGGACAUAUGAAAAUAAAUUAGACUCAAAUGAUGACGAGAAAAAUAUUAGAACAAAUUCGAUUAAUAUAGAAUUGGAAAGUAUGAAUUUUGGCAUGUGAGCAUGUAUAUGCCAUAUGUAGUAAAUGAAUAUGUUUCAUUUUCAUUUCCUCUAUGUUUGAUGAAUAGUAUGUGGGGCGUUGCCUAUGCCAUUUGUUUGAAGAUAUUAGGACAUGUUUGAUGAAUUACUGUCCAUAGAUGCUAACAGUGUGUCAGAGAAGUAACUUUUUUUUCAUAAGAUUUACUGAAAUUUAAUUUAUGCUCACUUGAGUAGGAUAUCGUUGCUUCUUGCCCAAGUACUUUGAUUUAUAUUGGAAUGAGAUGACUAUGUUAUACAGAACAUAGAAACAAAAGUUAAAUUGAAAGGAUGACAAUUUUUUUUUUGCUUGUGUUCAGCCUAACAUAAUUACAUGUAGCUCUUAGGAGAACAAGAAGGAUAAUUAGAGUAAUGUUUCCAUGGUAGCAGUUUAAAAUGCUUUUGGAAAUUUUCCAACUAAUCUGAAGCUUACCAAAGGGCACAAACCUAAUACAAGCUUUGUGAAGCAAUAGUAGAAAGGGCACACGCUUGUGCUUCCGUGCAUUGUAUUAUCUUAACUUCUUUGAAAAUUUAUAUAUGCGUGUUUCAUUCGGAUAGUUAUGAACCAUUAUGAAUGUUAUAGGGAUAACAAAUUAUGUGUAAUGCAAUUAUGAUGUACAUCCAAGUAAUAGUAGGGUAGGACAAGUAGUUGUUAAUGGUGAUAAAUAUCUUUAUAUAGUUGUUCAAUUGGAGCAUUGGAAAUAUUCCUGUGCAUGUAUAUUUACCUAUGUAAAUUAUACAUAAAACACAAACAUGUUCUUGAGGAUGGACGAUGUUCAUAGAGAACAGGAGUAACAAAACUAAGAUAAAUUGCUUUUUUUUUUUUCACAUCUAACAUGUUUGAGUUAUAAAAAGCUUCCAUUACUUCCUAUCUUCUUAUUAUUAUUUAUCGACUAAUUGACGACUUACUUACCAAAGCAUUUUAUUUAGAUGAUAAUUAACUGGGUUGAAAACCAAAAAUGAAUUAAAUAUAGACGAACAAUUGAAAAAUGAAACUGAAAUGUGGAACUGAAUGUGCGAACGUAGCAUCAGUUUGGUAAAUCAGUAGAACAAUGCUUACCGCUUAGUAUUAAAAUUAGACUUGAGCCCGUUUGGCUGUGAUUCUAAUGGAAGGGUUUUUAUUGACAGUGUUGAGGUGAAUAACACUUUUAUGAGAAUCAGGAAAAUGAUUCUAAUGGUGUUUUAUAAAAUAUGUUGUAUAAAUAUAAAAACACUUUUAAUAUUAAUAAAUUACAACAAAUGACAUACAAUUGUAAUUAUGAAAAUGAAAAUAGUAUGAUAGACAAAAAACUUUUUAUUAUAACACUAUAAUAUCAAAAACUGGUUUAGAGUAUCCAGUGAUAGAGCUUUAACAUUGGGUCAAUCAGGCAGAAAUGCAAGCAUAUCAGGAGCAGAAAAUGAUAGAGCGACAAUAAAAAUUGAAAGCUAUUGUCAAGGUUCAUGGAGAAGAUGUCUUUUCAUUUUGGCUUGUAAUGACGAUUUAGAGAUCACUUGGCUGGUGCAUACCUAAUAAAAAAACAAUUACCAUUGGUUAAGGAAAGUUGCAAAUACAACAAGGGGACAAAAAAUGAAGAAAGUAAACCCAACAAAUGUGGAGUUCAAACCAAAAUUUGCAUAUAUGGAACAAAUGUUCAAAGUGUUGUAUACCACAUCAUCAUAUUAUUGUAUAAAAUUAUGCCAUCAUUAUAGUACCAAAUAAUUGUAUACAUAUCUUUAUAGUAAUAGAGAGAUGUGGAUGAAAAUCGGUAUACAGGGACUACCGAUCAUAAAAAUUGGUUAGUCUAAAAUGCUUAGCCAUAUACAGUGCAUUGAAGGCAGGUACUUCAUGAAAGGAAAAUGUGAAAUGAGUAUGACAGGUGACAUAGAUCAAGAGUUCAUUUUGCUGUUCUCAUGUUCUAUAGGUUAUAUAAAAAAAUUGUUGCCUUAAUUUCUCAUAACAUGGAAAACAAAAAGUAAUGUGCACAAUAAUGGAAAUCCUUAUCAUUGACACAUGUAUGACAACAAUUGAAUAUUGAAAAAUGAACAAAAUCAUAAUGAAAUGCCAUAGUAUAUAGGGUGCAUUAAGGUAGUACAUAAGGGACAUUACAGUAGUACCUAGGGUACGUUAAUAUAGUACCUAUGGUCCAUUAAGGUAGUACCUUCACACUAGUAUGAUUAGAUACGGUACAAACUGACUAACCAAUUAAGAUAGAGUAAUGCCAAAAUCGAAUCUGUAAUGGAAUGAAAUAAAUGUGUCAAAAUUAGUUCAAAAGUGCAAAAUUUCUCCAACAUGCAUUAAGGACAAUAACCAAUUGGACCUUACUACAUAAGGAGUAGUGAGAUAGCACCUACGAUGCAUUAAGGUUGAACCUAAAGUGCAUAAUGAUAGUAAGUGAAGUGCAUUAGGGUAGUACCUAAGGAGAACAUUCUAAAAAAUAAAUUAUUUUUAAAUAAUGCCAUAGACAAUUCAGGACACUGUGUACUAAGGGAAGAUGUUGGACAUAUAUCCAUUCAACGUCAAAUUAGGAUGGAAUUGAAUGUCAAACGUAGGUCCUAUGGUUGAGGAAAGUGCUACCUACGAUUGAUGAACAACCCAAGGUUCACGAACUCACUACCUAAGCUCCAUUAAGUUAAUAACUAAGGUUCACAAUGGUAGUCCUUAAGUUGCAGUAAGAUAGUACUCCUAAGGCUCAUUAGGGUAGUCCUUAAGCUGUAGUAAGAAAGUACUCCUAAGGUUCACUAAGGUAGUACCUUAGACACAUUAAAGUAGUACCUUAGGCACAUUAAGGUAGUACCUUAGCCAUAUUAAGGUAGUUAAUCAAGUGCAAUAAGGUAUGACCUAAGGUCAACGGGAUGCCUUACCUAUUACAACAUAAUAAUGUCAUGCUCAAUUAAAGAAAUUGUCAUUUUCAACCAAAUGACUUGGUUAUGUAUCAAAAUAUGAUGAAAUUGAAUGACAAAGAUACAUUCUAUGAUUAACCAUGGUAGUACCUAGGAUUCACAAAGUAACCACAAAGUGUUUAUGAAGCUAGUAGCCAAGUUGUGCUCGGGUGCAUCAUUAAAAUUCCUAAAUAUGGAGACAAUGUGGUAUAGUCAGGUAGUACCUAAGGGACAUUAAGGUAGUACCUAAGGGCCAUUAAGGUAGUACCUAAAGCACAUUAAGGCAAUACAGUAGGUACGUUAAGGUAGUACCUAAGGGACAUUAAAGUUGUACCUAGGGUACGUUAAGGUAGUACCUAAUGUACAUUCAGGUAGUACCUUCACACUAUUAUGAUUACAUAAGGUACCGAUUGACUAACCACUUAUAACAUAAUAAAGCAAUGAUCCAAUCUAGCAUGCAAUUUUUUAUAAAAUGUGUCUUUAGUAAAAAAGUGGAACAUUUAUCCAAUGUACAUUAAGGGGAGCAACCAAAUAGACCUUACUACCUAAUGAGUAGUAAGAUUGUAACUACGAUACAUUAUGUUACAUAGGUAAAGUACAUGACGAUAGUACCUAAAGUGGAUUAGGGUAGUACCUAAGGAGAACAUUCUAAAAAUCAUUUUAGAACAUAAUAAUCCCAUCUACAAUUCAGGAAAUUGUGUACUGAGUUCAGAAGUUCAACAUAUAACAAAUAAUUAUCAAAUUACGAUGGAAUUCAAUGCCAAAAAGACGUUCUAUGCUCGAGGAAGCUCCUACGUAGGAUUGAUAAAGUAAGUACCCAACAAUCAUAAACCAACUACCCAAGCUCCAUUAAGGUAAUAGCUAAGGUUCACAUAAAGAGUCCUCAUGCUGCAAUAGGAUAGUACUGUAGGUACAUUUACGUACUAUCUUAGGUACAUUAAGGUAGCCACAUGGGCAAUCUGCCCUUUGCCUUAGGUCAAAUGUUCACCUAUGCCAUUACAACAUAACAAUGGCAUGCUCAAUUAAGGAAACUGUGUAUUAUCUACUCAUUUCUUGAUUCAUCUUAAAACUUGGAUGGAAUUGAAUGCAAAAGAUACAUCCUAUGAUUGAACAUGGGUAAUACAUAGUAUUGACAAAGUAAACUACAGUUAGUUCAAAAAUUAAGUACCCAACGUGUGCUAGGGUAGGGCUAUAAAUUUCACAAUGGUCAUAUGUAUAGGACAUUAAGGUAGUACCUAGCGUACAUUAAGGUAGUAUCUAAAGUUUAUGACGAUAGUACCUAAGGGUUACUAAGGUAGUACCUAAGGUUCAGUCAAACAGUGCUUACAUCUAAGGUGAACAAACUCACAAAAAUUGCAAAACAUGAUGCCCACACACGUUGCAAAGGUUCAUAAAGGUUACAAGCCAAGGUGUGCUAACGUAUAAGACCAUAAAUAGCCUCAUGACUUCAUGUAGAGCAUGUAAGAUGUGUUUGACAUAUGGGAAUUGGAUUGGAAAUGGAACUGAAUCAUAAUAUUAUAUGGAAGAGAUGAAUCAAAAUUCUAGUAGGGGUAAGAGUAGGUUCCCGUCAAAAUGAAUACAUCAUUCAUAUUCUCAUAUUAUAAAACAAUCUAAACAAAUUAAUGCAUGGAAAAUGUCAUUACUUCCCAUUUCUCAUUCUCCAUUCUACCUUUACAAACAUUACCUUAUAGUGUUACUCAAGCAUUAUCGAAUUCAUAUUUCACGACAUUCAUACCACAACAAAAACAAAAGAGUAUCAUAUUUUUUUCAUUCUAUCUAACAAUAACCAUUGUAACACAUCAUGGAAGUUACCUUUGGUGCAACAUUCACAUUUCCAAAUACACCAAUGUCCAAAUACUCAACAAGACAGGGGAUUAAACCUGCAAGCAUGCGGUCUAAAAUCCACCUGCACAUAAAGCUAUCGCCUCACCACUGAACACAUAUUUCAGAGUCCAACAACCACUCUACAAUCGUCGAUAUGCUCCAUUAAAAACAAACAAACAAAACAACACUAAAUAAAAAUUAAUUACCGUAAGAUUUUUUAGUGGGGGUUAGGCCAAAAUACAACCCAAUCAGAUGAAGAGGAGAUUUCUUCUUCACGAAGCCAAUAUUUCACACUUUCCGUAUUCAUUCAGGUUCACUCAGUUGAACCAGAAUUUGAAUCACAUUGUUGCCUCUUCAAACCCUCUUUUUAACUAGACGUUGUUACCAUGAAGUGCUUUAUUUGCUUCUUCAGAAACUGCACAACAAAAAAAAUGUAGAUUGAGGUUUUCAAUUCACGGUUUCUUCUUUGAAAUGUGUGAAAUUUUGCAAAUUUGAACACGGUCUCCGCUCCGGCUGGUUGCGGACAUGAAGACGAAUGAGAGAAAUGUUCCCAAACUUUAAGAGGAUGAAGAAAAGAGAAAUUCCAAUCUGGGUAUCAGUUCGACUUGUUGGACAUGAAGGUUUUGACUGAUUCAGAUUUCAAAUGACCUUUUGAAAUGACAAGUUUUUGAGAUUUCGGCUUAAGAAAAAUAUCAUAUUUGGUUGUUGACAAACUAAAAUGAAAAUUUAGGGCUAUGGAAGUUUCUGGGAAGAAAGUUAAGUUUCUUUUUGCUAAAUGAGAGAAAGAGAAUGGGACAACCAAAGACGGGUCGGGUGGUUGUUUCAGCAAUUGUCAAGUUUCACAAUUUUUUAUUUAUUUAAGUAUGAUGUGGAGGCUAUUUGGUUGCUGAUGUAGAAGAUAUCAAGGGUAAUUUAAGCAGAUAAAAUUAACUCAGCACAGAGUACACAAUUCUAAUAUUAUUUUGUUUUCAUAAAUUUGGGUUUGAAUACCAUAUAUUUUAUAAAUAAGACCCUAAAACACAGGUUCUCUAAAAAUAAUAUUAAAAUUAUAAUACCAUUAAAAACAAAAAUGAGCGGUGACCAAGAGAGAGAAAAUUAUGGUUGUGGGAUGGCAUGCAACACUUUAAAGUGUAGUAGUGUAGCAAUUAUUCAAUUUUGACAGUGAGAGAGAGAGAGAGAGAGAGAGAGAGAGAGAGAGAGAUAUUGCUUUGAGAUGACAUGCAACAACUUUAAAGUGUGGCAAUUAUUGAAAUUUGACCAAGAGAAAGAGAGAGUUAUUGUCGUGGUAUGGCAUGCAACACUUUAAAAUGUGUAGCAGUUAACAGUGUAGCAAUUAUUCAAUUUUGACAGUGAGGGAGAGAGAGAGAGAAUUGUUGCUGUGAGCUGGCAUGCAACAACUUUAAAGUUAGCAGUUAUUGAAUUUUGACCAACCAUAUCCUCAUCCAAAGUUCCCAACCCAUCUUGGUUACUUCAACAAAUUUUUAUUCCGUUUCAAACCUGUAGUAGAGUAGAACGGGGUCGGAAUUUUUUUAGAAGUUACAGUCAUCCUAUCUUAUUUAAUAUUUUCUGUUAUUUUUCUUAUUUUUAAUUUUAUUUUUAUUAAAAUAAAUAUAAUUUAUGAGUAAAUAAAUUAUUUUUCAUAAAUUUUACAUCCUAUCUUUAUAAAAAGUAAAUUUGCAGUUUCAAUUUAAAUACGUUUAAAGAGGAGAAAUGAAAAAAGAAAUUAAAUUAUUUUUACUUAAUUUUAUUUAUAAAUAAGAUGAAUUGAGAUAAUACUUAAAGUUUGUUUGAUAAUUAUUUUAAAAAAUGUUUUUAGUUUGAAAAAUAUUUUUAAAAAGAAUAAAUUAAGGGUAUGUUUGGUAAUUACUUUCGAAAAUAGUUUUUGAGAAUAGUUAUUUUCUAAAUAUUUUGUAGAAUAAAAGUAUAUUUGAAAACCUAAAAUAUUUUUGAUCAAUUUAUUAUAUUUUUAAAUAUAUUUUAAAAAUAAUUUUUAUAUCUAAUAUUUUAUUUUUAACCAUUCUACAUGUUUAUAUAAUUAUUUUUAAAAACAAUUUUUAGAAAAUAAAUUAAAAAAAUAAAAAAUAACUAAAAGAUGUCAUUUAAAAUUACGUUUUUUUUUAAUAAUAGAAAACGAAAACAAUUUUUUAUUAUCAAAUGUGUUUUCUUGAUUUUUUGUUCUGAAGAACAAAAAACUAUUCUAAAAAAUAGUUGCUAAACAAGCAUUAGGUGUUAGACAAAAUUUUAAAAAAACUUCUAAAAAUCUAAAAAAUCAUUUAUACUAUUUUUUUUUUAGAAAAUCACAUAUAAUGUUUUUUAAAAAAUUACUUAAUAGGUAAUUUUCUUAAAAACACUUCAAGUAAAUAUACUGUCAAACACAUUAUUAAUAUUAUUUAAUCCAACCUUGGAGUUAAAAAAUGAUUUAUCAAAUCCAACCUCAAUCGGUUUAAACUCUCCUUAACCCAUUCCCAUUUGUAAUAUCUGGUUUUGGAAAAACAAAAAUAAAAAUAAAAACAUAAUAUAAAGAGUAGGAGGAAUGUCAAAUAUAAAAAGAGGGUUAAAAAUGUUUUUUAAUGGUUGGAAGUGUUUUUCAAAUAAUGAUACAUUUUGAAAAUUUUUAGAAAUUAAGAGAAUCACUUUGAACUUACAUUCGAUGCACACUUUAUCUAAAACCAUUUUUUAAAUUAUAUAUCUUAUGAUCAAAAACAUUUUUAAGACACUUCUUUUGAUUUGUAUCUAAAUGCUAACCUACAUUUAAAAAAAAUGUCAAGAUAAUUUUUUUUUAAAUCUUUUAAUUUAUUGUAAUUUAUUAUUACAUUUUAUUUUUUGUUUGAUGCUUUAAAUAAUUUUUAUUAAAUAAAAUUAUAAUUAUAUUGGUGGAGGGCUAAUUAACUUUGCUUUUAAGUGAGAAAGAUAGAGACAAGGUUGAGGUGGGUCAAAAAAAUGAAAUAAAAGAACGAAAAAGAAAAAAGGAAAAAAAGAAGAAGAUAGAGAUAAGAUUGAGGUGGGUUCGUAAUAAAUAAAAAAUAAAUAAAAAAAUAAAAAGAAAGGAAGAGUAGGUGACAAAGUGACAAAAGCUUUUGCUUUCUUCCAAAAAGUAAAAACAAAGGCUAAUGGCAUCACGUGAUCAAACUCUAUACAAGACCCUACUUGAAUAUUUUUAUGAUAGAGAUUUUCCAAAGUUGGACCCAAUUCAAUGCCUAGUGGGUAUAACAAAAAAAAAAAAAAAAAAAAAAAAGAAGAAAAAAAAGAAGGAAAGAUGUGGAAAUUAAAGUGGAACAACCAAUUUUUUGAGGUUUGAGGGAUGUCACUGCACCUUCCAAAUAACUGUCUAAGAAUGUGAGAUGUCAUUGCAUUGAAAAUUGAUAUUAAAUCUCAUCAAGUAACUAUAAGAAUCGGUUUACUUAAAAGACAAGUAAUAAAUAUAUCUUGCUUUUUCAUAAAGUUUAUGACCCUAAGUGAAUAAAAUUUUUAGAGUGGGAUGAAUGCAUUUCACGUGAGUCAUAUCCUAGAUAUAUUUUUAGAAUUUUCUAGCAAGAUACCAAGGGAAACUUUAUGGUGAGUGUUUUCUUUCUAGUUAAGGUGGGUACAGUUCGAUGUCAUUCGUAAAUAUAAUUAAAACCCAAUAUAUUUUUUAGGGAUUUGAAUUAAAUAGAUUUGUAUUUAAUUUAAAUUUAUGUGAAUAUAUAUAAUUCAUUUGAUAAAUAAAUUAUUUUUAAAUUAACUCAAAUAACCCACAUUUGACUUGAAUUAACUUAUUUAAUAAUGGUAUUGAUUAACCUAAUAAUAACUUUAAUUUAUUGAACUCAUAUUUAACUCAUUUAAGAUUUGUUUUUCAAUAAGUAUGCCAUAAUUGGGUCAUCAUAUAAUAUUAGAACAUUAAGCAUAUUAUUUCAUUCAACAUUUAACUUGAUUUGAUUAUUAAAUAAUAUCAUAUUAUUAAAUUGGUUAAACAAGUUAUGAUGUACCACCUUGUUAAUAAUUAUAUAGUGUUUGAGUUUAUGUUUUUAAUUUUGAUUAUUAUUCAUGUCAUGUUUGGGUUGAGUUGUUUCAUGGAGUAUCUAACCUUUGAUACAACACAAACACAAUCCACCAACAUAUUAAUAAAAAAUUACAAGAUAUUGGGAGAGUAAUUUUGGUAAAAGUUAAUAUUUAAUAAUUUAAUAAUUUAAGAUGAUUUUAAAUUAAAUUAUAUUUAAAUGGUUAAGUCAUAUCAAAUCAUUAACUUAAUUUAUCAAAAUCAUUUUUUAUUUUAUAUUAUAGUAUUAAGUUAUUUUAUCGAUCAUACUUAAUAUACUUAAGAACUUAAAUUUAGUCUUAUCAACAUUCUCUAGGGUCUUCUCCAUUUUUAAUAUUUAUUUGAUACGUAUUUAAAAAUAAACAAGUCAAAAUGUAUUAUCUCAAAAUUUCUAAUUCAAACUCCUAUAAGAUUUUAAAAUUCAAUAAUUAAUUUGAAAGAAAUUUGUUUUGGAACAUGCAAGUGAAGGACAUAUCACAUAUCUUAAAUUUCUAACUAAAAAACCUCAUAACAAAAUAAUUUGAUGAAUGUUUUUGAGUUUAAAAAACCUAGAACCAUUUCACAAUGAUUUUGGGAAGUUAGAAAUGUUUCCAAAUGCUUGAAAAUGUUUUUAUAAUGAAAAUUAAACAUUUGAUAAAAAUUGAAGUUCACAUCUAAGUAAUUGAUAGUGCUUCUUAUAUAUUUUUUUUCAUUAUAUAUAUUAGGCAUCGAAAAGGUUUCACCAAUUAAAUGGUGUCACAUAUACAUUUUUAUAUUACAUGAAUUGAAAAAGUUUCAUCAAUUAAAUGUCACACAUAUAUUUUUAAGUCUCAUAGUUUAUGUCAUUGUACCUUGGCCACAUUUGUUACCUUUGUUUAACGAUCUAGAUCACACUACAUAUAUUUAAUGGUUCAGAUCUAGACUUCAAUAUGUACCACUACAAAACCUUAGUAUUAUAUAUACAUAUACAUCAUACUAGCUACUUUUUUUUUUUAUCAAAACACUUACAAUAAAAAUGCUACAAAUUAGAAGUGUUUUUAUCAAAAUAAUUUCCAAACCAACCAUAAUAUUUGCAUUAUCUUUAACAUAUAAUAUCUAUUACUUUAGUUGUUGAUAGAGCUACAUAUAAGACCAACCAUUCAUAUGAUAAUUAUUAUGAAUCUUAUUUUAAUUUGAUAAAAAUAUCUAUCCAAGCAUUACACAAAUAGGGAUGACAAUGGGGUGAAAUAUGCACAAGUCAUUCAUAUCCCAACCUCACCCCAUUUAUUCAAAAUAAUUCUCAUUCUCGUCUCAUUGAAGAAAUUAAAGGGAAUGGGGUAGGUAUGAGAAUUUCAUGUACCCACCCGGCCUACCUCUUUGAAAAAUUUUAAUUUUUUUAAAAAUUAUUUUUAAAUUUGUUUAAAUACAUUAAAAUAAAUAUAUUUUAUAAAUAAUUUAAAAUUAAAAUUUUUUAUAAUUUAUUUAUUAUUAUUAUUAUCAUUAUUAAAAAUAGGAAAAUAACAAUUUAUAUCUAAUUGAGGCAGAACAAGGUAAUACCUAAACCUACCCUAAACCCGUUUCGAGUUUUAAAAAAAUUCUCAAAGAUGCUUUUAACUUGUUCAUUUAAAUUUCAAAUCCAUCCCAUUAGGGAUGUGGUGAAAACCUGUCUCAUUGUCAUCCCUAUAUCCAAGUCAUAAAUAUAUAAUAAGAAAAAUAAUAAUAAAAUUAGUAUCUAUUUAGAUAAACUUGUUGUUUUUUGUUUUUAAAAUCAAAAAAUAAUAAUAACUUUUAUAUAAGAUAUAAGGAUACUUAUAUACUUAUAUUAAAAAUAAUAAUAAUAGUUUUAAAAAUCAUUUAAAAAUUUAAGGUAUUAAAAAAAUUUUACUAAACCAAAUUUUAAAAAAUUUUAAAGUGAUUUUUAAAGAUAUGAUAUAAAUUUAUAUUUUUUUGUAUAACAUGUUCUACUUUCAUAUAGAAAUUUCUAAUUUUAAAAACAAAAAAUAACAGAUGUAUUAAAUGGACAUUUUAGCUUCUUAUUUUUUUUAGUGGUUCGCCUUGCCCCUUAGAUAAGAAUAUUAUGAAAUUUUUCAAUAAUUAUGAAACAGAUAAAAGUACUAAAGGUGGAAAGACUUUUGACAAAAUUAUGUGUGAGAAGAUGUUAAUGGGAAGAUGUUAUCAACUUAUGUGUGACAAAAUUAUGUGCAUCAACUUUAAUUUGGACAAUUAUGUUAAUGGGAAGAUGUUAUCCUCAUCUCAAUCACUAACUUUAAAUUGUAGUACUUAUUAUAUUUUGGAUAAUUAUGUUAACGGGUCAUGUCAUCCUUGUCUCAACUCAUGUUGAUUAUUUAAGUUAUAAGUUAUAGUCACCAUGUCUUAUUUAAACUUUUAUACCAUUUUUUAUUAUUUUUAAAUAUAAAUCUUAUUAAAAUAAAUGUAAUUUAAGAGUAAAUAAAUUAAUUUUUAUGAAUUUUAUAUUAGCAUUGAUAAAAAUUAUAUUUUCAAUUUUAUUUUAAACAUGUUCAAAAUGGGGGAAACGAAAAAAGAAACUAAAUUAUUUUUAUUGAAUUUUUAAAAUAAAAAUGAUUUAAUUUUAAUUUUAUAAAAAAAUUCUCAAAUAUAUCCCUAAUUUGUUUAAAUUUGUCCUAAAUCCUUCUAUAGUUGUCAUCUCUAAUUUUGACCAUAUAAAAAUUAAACCAAAAUAAGAAGGUUGAGGAAUAUCAAAUAUAAAGAGAGGUUGAAAAAAUUUAUAAUGCUUAGAGGUAUUUUUCUUACAAAUAGAACUUGUUUGGUCAUGUGAUUUAAAAACAAUUUUUUUCUUUUUUUUUUUUAAAUAAAAAAUUGUUUUUAAAAAUUUCUAACAAUGUUUGACCAUUGUUAUCUGGAAGCAAUUUUAAAAAAUAAGGUGAAAUAAAGAACAAUUUUUAGAGAAUAAAUAUAAAUUGUUUUUAUCAAUUUUUAAAAACAAAAGGAAAAUAUGAGCCAAUUUGACCAUAUUUUCUUAAACUUGUUUUUAAAAACUUUUUUAAAAAAAACACUUUUUAGAUUAAAAUCAUUUUUUAGAAUCACUACCAAAAUGAUUUUAAGUAUUAUCUCACUUCACCUCAUUUAUAUAUAAAAUCAAGUAAAAAUAAUUUAAUUUCCUUUUCCAUUUCCCCUUUUUAAUCAUAUUUAAAAUAAAGUUACAAAUUUACUUUUUAUCAAGAUAGAAUAUAAAAUUUAUGAAAAAUAAUUUAUUUACUCAUAAAUUACAUUUAUUUUAAUAAAAAUUAUUAUUAUUUAAAAAAAAACAAAAGGAAAAAUUGCCCCCAUUUGAUCAUAUUUUCUAAAACUUGUUUUUAAGUUAAAAAAUAAAAAACAGUUUUUAAAAACAAGUUUCAAAAAACAUGACCAAAUGAGCUGUAUAUAUUUGAAUUUUUUUUUAAAUAAUCUAGAGUAUCACUUUGAAAUAGCACUUAAUAGACACUUACUUGAAUAUCAAUUUUUUUUUCUUUUCUAUUAUGUAUCUUAUCAUCAAAAACGUUUUCAAACCACUUUUUUGGGUUGUAUCUAGGCACCAAUUAAUUCUUCACAAAAGCGCUUUUUUCUACUUAAAAGAGUUAUUGAUGUAAAUGAUAUAGGCUAAAAAAAAAAAGCAUAUAAAGCAUUUAUGAGAAUCAAUCCCAAUGGGUUUUAUAAGUUGUGUCAUUUAUCAAGGUUUUCUUGACUUUUUAUAUUAUAAUCUUUCAUAAUUAUGUAAUUCAUAUUUUUAAAGCAAAUUAACAAAUAUAUUACAUGUAAUCCAAUAAUUUACAUUUCUACCUUCCAUCAUCAUUAUAUGCUUUUAUUUUCAUAAUUAUUAUAUGGUAAUUAUAAAAUAAUCAAAUCUAAUUUUGAUAUAUUUAUGUUUAAGAAUUUAAGAUAUCUACCCUUAAUUUCUUGACUAUCCAAGGAAUAUUAUUUAUGUAAUUAGUAAUUAAUUGAUUUAGUUUUAUUCAACUUUCUUUGCAUAAAGAGAGAUAAGAUAAGUCAUAAAAGGUGAGUUUACAAAGAGAAGGAUAAGAGAUGAUAGUAGAAGGUGGGGUUAUUGAAAAUGAAGCUUCUCUAGACAACCAAUCCUAUCAACUUGUUCAAUGGACGCUUUGAUGUGAAAUGCAUUUUACUCCCUCUCUCUCUCUCUCUCUCUCUCUCUCUCUCUCCAAACCCCUCCUUACUUGUUUUCUUUCUUCCAAAAACAAAUAAAAACAAUUAAUUCCAAACCUCUCCUUACUUGAUAUAAAUAGGAUUUUAUAAUUCUAAUUUAAUGAACCAAAAAUAGAUCUACAAAACUCGAACUUAUAACAUUAUAAUAAAGAUCACCUUAUAUAAAUUGUUUGUAAUAUUGCAUUACUUUGGUAGCACCCUGUCACUUCGUGUUGAUAUUGGCACCUCGUAUCUUCCUUAGCCUUACUCUUGCACACUUAUGUUUGUACUCUCUCUCUCAACAAACCCCUCCUUAGGGAUGGCAAUGGGGCGGGGCGCCCCCCUCCCAAUCCCGCCCCAUUUAUUUAAACCAAUUCCCAUCCCCGUCCCAUUUAAAAAAUUAAACGGGGCAGGGCGGGGCGGGCGGGUAUGUUACAUUCCCAUACCCGCCCCGUUUAACUUUUUAUUUAAUUUUAAUUUUAAUUUUUUUUAAAAAUUACUUUUAAAUUUUUUUAAUUAUAUUAAAAUAAAUAUAUUUUAUAAAUAAUUAAAUUAUUAUAUUUUUUAUAACUUAUUUUAUUAAAAAUAAUUUUUUAUUAUCUAUAUAUUAAAAAUAAUAAAAUAAAAAUUAAAUUAAAUUAAUUUUAAAUUUUAAAUUAAAUUUAAUUUUAAUUUUAAUUUUAUAUAUAAUCGGGGCGGGGCGGGGCGGGGCAAUACCCAAACCCACCCCGGGUUUCAAAAAAAAUCCCAAACCCGUCCCAUACCCGUUUAAGAAAAUAAUAUCCCACCCCAUUAGGGGCGGGGCGGGGCGGGUACCCGAAAUGACCCGCCCCAUUGCCAUCCCUACCCCUCCUUAUUUGUUUUCUUCUUCCAAAAACAAAUAAAAACAAUUAAUUCCAAACCUCUCCUUACUUGAUGUAAAUAGGAUUUUAUAAUUCUAGUUUAAUGAACCAAAAAUACAUCUANNNNNNNNNNNNNNNNNNNNNNNNNNNNNNNNNNNNNNNNNNNNNNNNNNNNNNNNNNNNNNNNNNNNNNNNNNNNNNNNNNNNNNNNNNNNNNNNNNNNNNNNNNNNNNNNNNNNNNNNNNNNNNNNNNNNNNNNNNNNNNNNNNNNNNNNNNNNNNNNNNNNNNNNNNNNNNNNNNNNNNNNNNNNNNNNNNNNNNNNNNNNNNNNNNNNNNNNNNNNNNNNNNNNNNNNNNNNNNNNNNNNNNNNNNNNNNNNNNNNNNNNNNNNNNNNNNNNNNNNNNNNNNNNNNNNNNNNNNNNNNNNNNNNNNNNNNNNNNNNNNNNNNNNNNNNNNNNNNNNNNNNNNNNNNNNNNNNNNNNNNNNNNNNNNNNNNNNNNNNNNNNNNNNNNNNNNNNNNNNNNNNNNNNNNNNNNNNNNNNNNNNNNNNNNNNNNNNNNNNNNNNNNNNNNNNNNNNNNNNNNNNNNNNNNNNNNNNNNNNNNNNNNAAAUUUUAGCAAUCCAAAUCUGUAACUUCUGCAAAAGUUACGUAGUGUUGAGGGAACAACACAUCUUCUCUUACCAUUUUCAUCUUAUGCACUACAUAUCCCAUGUCAACUGCCACUUCCACUACACCUGAAUGAAGUAGGAACACAAAUGAACAUUUCAAGGCAUCAGAUUGUCUGAAAAUUAAAUUGGGAGAGGUAGAACUACCGAUGCUUACAUGGAACUGAGGAAAAGACAAACAAGAGCAACAAAAAUGGAAGAGAAAAUGCAAAUCCAUAAGCCUGUAGCUGCUGUCCAAAGCAGCUUCCUUGUCAAUUGUCAACAAAAAGUCCACUAUGAAAUUCACUGGUAGAGCCACAUAUAGAAAAUUGCAAUAAAUGGAAAAGUAAGAAAUCUGCGCUGGGAAUGGGUGAAGCUUAUUGAAUGUAAGGUUCUAAACAGUCUCUGACCAAACAGCAUUGGAGUAUAGAUAAUAGCUUUUAGAGGGAAGUGAGGUCUUGGUGACCCUGGAAGCUUAAGGCUUCCAGAUACUGGAAUCUUUGUGUGCAGAUAUACAUGAGAGAUGUAGGAAGGAAGAGGCAAGCCUGUGUCAUCUGAGCAGAGGCAUCUGGAAUCUUUGUGUGCCAUUAUUCAAUCCAAAGAGAUGUUGGGAGAGAUUUGUUCAGGAUUUAUGUGAUAUACAGGCUUUUCACAAUCAUAAAUAUGAAGGUAUUUAAGUAUGGCGUUUUGGAAUAAGGUGAUCUACCAGUAACAUAGAAAAUAAGGAGAUCACAAAGGACUACACAGUUAGCAUGUUUGGAAUAGUUGUGGUUGGUUAAUUUCAAGCCCAAGUUUUAGCACCUAAAAACAUGCCCAUUUUUUCCAGCCUGCACGGAAGCAUUCUCUGGUUGUUACAUACAUGGUGUCUGCAUGUCAAUCAACACAUUUUGAUGUUUUUUUCUUAAAUUCCAUAUUAAAGUUAUACUGGACACUUGAAUGUGAACAUGUCUGAUUAUAUCUUUUCUUUCCAGACAUGUUUCAUCUCUCCAGUGCACUGGGUUUGGAUGAACCUUAAAGCUCAGCUACAGAAUGAAACUGGAAUAUUAGUCAUGUUUUCUGUUCAUGGAUUGAUAAAAAUGUUGAGUAAGAUCAAGAAAGAUGUUAAAUGGGAAGAUGAUUUUCUUACUGUCAGUUUGUAUUGAAAAAAUGGUAAUCAGAAAAGAUAUUUUGGAUAGGAUUCAGAAAGAAAAUAUGUUGAUUCAAAAGUUAAAGAUAUAGCACCCAAGGGGCUAUGAUUCUGUGCAUGGAUUUUUCAUGCUUUAAGAUUGUGCAUGAAGUGCUGAUGUUAUAAGGGAUCAAGGGUGGUUUGUGGAGCAGUCCCCUCUUCAGAGUAUUGCAAGUAUUUAAAUAAUCCUGCAAUUCUGGAGUAGGCUUCUUCUAAUUUGCUCUGCACCCAAUCGUUCAGAACAGUGGAAAGCUUCAUUCAGCUGUAAUAAUUUAAUUAUUUAGAUUGAAUCAUAUUCAUUGGGUUUGCAGAUCAGGAGAAAGUGUCAUGGCUUUGAAUGUUUGUCUCUUUUAUAAUAUCACAGUGCAUUGGUCCACAGAGUUGGUAGCAUGACAGUUGAAUGAAAUGACUGAAAUGUAGCAGUCAAGGUUAUAUUAUAUGAAAAUAUUUAAAUAGACUUCACAUAGUGUGCUUGCAACAGUUGUGGACCUUUGAUGGUUGGAAUAUCCUUGCACAUAUGUCAUCAUUUUCUUUUCUUCAGCUCUGUUUUCUUUGUUUCUCCCUUCCUCGGUCAAGCCAAACAGUUUGGUGAUUCUUCAUUUCUUCUUCAUCCCAUCAAGAGAACAACAUCUCAUGCAUCUUUGUAUUGGGUUCCUCCAUCUCCUUCCACCCUAAGGAAAAACGGUAUCUUGCUUAGUUUGGACUUCUCUAUUUCUUUUAAUCAUUGUGAAAAGCAUCAUGAGAAGAGAUACAAUAAAUGUGUUUGUGCUGAAUUAUCCAAAACAUUAUUUUCACAAUCAUAAAUACCAAGGUGUUUAAGCAGCAGGUAAGGAAUCUCUUGAUAAUGAGGUGAGAGGUAGAAACAAGCAACAUACCUGUAUUCAAGAGAAAUUCUGUUCUUCUUUUGAAAUUUGACAACAUUCAUUUAGUCUGAAGUCAAUAUCUGGGCAACUCAGUAUCUCCACCUUCAUUAGGAUUGUAGGAAGCUGGCUUCUUGGAAAUACAUGAAAUGGGGGCAUUUCAAAAUCUAAAAGAAUUUCAGAGUCCUGCUGCAACUUUUGAAUUGCUCAAAUCAGUAACAACUCCAGAGAUAUAUACAUAUAUGCCCCAGGGAAAUAGAGGUGUCCUGGGCAUGCAACCAUGGAAGAUUAGCUCCCUAAUAGGCUCAAGGUUGUGGUCAUAAAAAAUGCACUGAGCGGGUGACUUGCAAUCGGUUGUGAGUCCCUCUUGGUAGCUUCUCAUUUAUUGCACCAUAUGAAUUGCAUUUUCCAACUGCCAAUUUCACCACCCCUAAAUGAACUAGGAGACAUGCUGAAAGCAAAGUUAGACAGCUCAUCAUAGAGUUAAUCCUGCAGGAAUACACCAAAAAGGAAAUCUUAUUAAUAUAAAUGAAUUCAUCCAAUUAAAGGAUAAGGUUGCCUGAAAAAUUAAAUUGAGAGAGAUGGAUAUAGUGAUGCUUACAUGGGACUGUGGGAAGGAUCAACAAGAGAAACAAACAUUGAAUAGCAAAUGCAAAGCCAUAGAGCUUGCAACUGCUGUCAAAAGCUGCUCCCUAGUGAAGUCUUUUAACAAUAAAUUUCAGUGCAAAAUUCGCCUAAUUGCUCCACUUGUAGGACAUUUCAAUAGUAUGAAAACAGGAUAUGGUGAACUCUCCCUGCUUCUGCCAUCAGUGAACUAAUAUGGAUCAAAGAUGAAUCUCGUCAUCUACAUCUAUUUUUACAUGGGAGAUGUGGGCAAUCUUGGGCCAAUCUCUCAUCAUUGGAUUUAGGAGUUGUCUCUGAUUUAUGGUUCUAAAAGCAUGACAGGAAACCCUUCACUUGCCAAAUACUACUGGAGCUUAGGUGAUGUCUCAAUGUGGGGAUGCUAAGGAUACCAGAUUCUGGAAUCAUUACAUGAAAAUAUACAUGAGAUCCAUAGGGAGAAAAUGCAGGCCUUGGUCAUUUGAGAAGAAAGCCACAUCUUGAAAUAUACCGCCAACGAUGAAUUGUCUGCGAGUGGUGAGUCUGUGAGGUUCCCACUGGGACCCGGGGUGUUUCUCACAUUCUUUCAAUCUUCAAUCUGAAGUAGCCACUUGAGCAAUUGUACCUCCAGGAAUGAGUCAUUUUGGGGCAGAUUGUUUUCAUUUUCCUUCACACCAUUGUUUCACCAUAAGGCACUAAAUGAUAUGUAGUUGCAAGACGAAUAGAGGCAGCCAUUAAUGAAAGCUUAUGGAAAUUCAAGACAAACAGAUCUUCAUGGAGAUAUGAGGUUUAGAAAUCCAAUAAAGAUUUGAAAAUCCAAACACAAGUUAUCCAAUGUACCUAUUGGUAACAGAGUUGGGCAGUAUUGUUCUUUCUACCCUUGGAAAAGGACAUCACAUAAGAAAUUCCACUAGUAAUGGGGGGCUUAAGUGAUGUGUUGGGGCUUGGGCAAUGCUGUAUCUUAAGUUAUUCAAGAGAUGUGUGAUCAUGCAUCAACCCUAAUUCUGCUAGCAUAAUCUGUUUUUCAGUCACAAAUAUGUAGUUAAAAUGUAUGGCAGGUCAUGCAUGCAUCUCUUGAAUUGUCAUGAGAAGUGGAGAUUGAGCAACAUACAUGAUUCAAGGGAUGUGCAACUGUUCUUGUGCAUCAAACAAUCUUCAUCUGAUACAGAACCCAGAUUUUUAGCAACUUGUGAUCUCCACAUUUUAACACAUUGGAGGAAGUUGGCCUAUUCAACAAACAAGACAGGACAUCUAGAAAAAAGCAAGAAUUCCAGACAUGUGUUGCUGUCAUGAAUUAUUCCAAUCAGUAAGGAAUCAAAGUGCUAUGAUUUUGAUUUGUGUAACUACUUAGCAUGGAUAACAGACCUAUCUUGGGGAAGUAACUCAAGUCCCAAGCACCAACUCAAUCCUGAGCUCUCUGGGAAACUUGAGGCACCAACUUGAUCAAAGCUGCUACUUGUUUCUAUGGCAGCUCAUCUUCCUCCACUGAUACUGGGGAAAAUGCAAAACAAAGGGAAAUGAAGUCAUGUUGUGAUCCUGUCUCCAUUCUCCUUGACAUAGAUAGAUGAUUUCCUUGCAACCGACAAUGUCUAAUGCUUUCACUUCAGUUCUAGCAUGUGUUUUGGGAAGAGAAUUAAGCUUUCAAAUAUUGCCAAUAUGCAAGGAAUUGAUAAAGGCCAGGUGGGCAGCUGCCACAGUUUACAAACCAAUGGCAACAUUGGAAGUGGAACAUGACACAAAAACUUCAAAAGACAAACCUGUUUUUCACAAUCAGAAAUACCGAGGUGUUUAAGCACAAGGUAAUGCAUCUAUUGACAAUGAUGUGUGACGUGGAGACAUUGUAAAGAUAAAUGGUAUUCUUCUUUUGCAUUGACAACAUGCAUCUAGUCUAGGUCCCAAAUUUUUAGCAACUCCAGAUCUCCACCAUCAUUAGGAUUACAGGAAGCUAACCACUUGGAAAGAGAUGAGAGUAACAUUAGAAAUCUGAAAGGAUUCUAGAGAGCUGCUGCAACUGGUGAAUCAUUCCAAUCAGUAACAACAAGGAGCCCUAUAUACAAUUUUGAACUGUCAGCCUUCAUAGCAUGAAUGAUAAACUUGUCCCUAGGAAUGAGAUGUGCCUUGGGCAUGCAACCUUCAAUUAUUAGUCAGAGUUACCCCUACCUAAUCCAUCUCGAUGUGUCUGGGAAAACGAGGUCCACCAGAUGUUAUGGCCAUUAUCUCAUGGUAGUGGAUGUUUUGAAGCAGAGUCUAAAACGAAGUCAUCACUGGAGGUUAUGGCCAUUAUCCCAUUGCAGCAGAUGUUUUGCACCAGAGUUUAAAACCAAGUCAUUGACAAAGGCCAUAGUGAUGUCAUUGAUUUUAUUUUAAACCUAUCAAAAACAAUAUGAGAUUCACUUUGAUUUCAAGUUAUGCAAGAUCUAUAUGAGCUCAAUUGUUUUGAAACUUGAUUGAUGUUUCGUUGGUCAGGUCUUCUUUAGACAUGAACCUAUAUUUUGUGCUUAACUUGAAGAAGCUGCCAAUAAGACUGAAUAGUCACAUAUCACUCAGAGAGUUGAGAAUCACACAACUUUUUCGUUUUUUUUAGGACUGGUUUGUCAUCAAGUCUUUUGCUCGGUUGUUGUGAUGGUUUGAAAUUUCUAUCUGAUGACUAUAAUCCAUAUAAACAACAACUUGUAUUCUCUUAUCUUAAGCAUUAUUUCGCAAAAAGAUUUUUAUGAGCACUUCUAUUUGGAUGUCUUUCUAACAGUCGUUAGUAUUCAAUAAAAAUGACCUUUACUAAACCUGCAGAUUUUUUCAGGUGAUAUUUUUUUUUUAUUGGUAGCAUAUCCUGAUUCAUAGAGUAUAAACCCUUGAAAAUUGAAAGAAAGACAAUUUACAUAUCAUUAAAGGGUGAUCUGUAAGCACUCUUAUAGGCCUACAUUUUCCUCAUUUGGAUUUGGAAUUUAACCUCUGAUAAGCGUUUACUUGUUUUUAAUCUGUUUUUUAGGAAGACAGUUAAUGAGAUUUUGCCAACCAAAAACAGAGGUUUGUUAGCCCUCCUACCCUCAGGCUGGUUCUCUUGCAUAUGCUUGAAGAAUAUUGGAAACCAAUUAAUUAGUCAUUGCAGUUUCAUAGUCUUACAAGAAAUCUUGUUAUGGUGGCAGGAGAACAGACUGCAACAUAGUCUCAUUUCCCUUCAUGAUUUAGACAUUGUAAAGAUCAAAAACCUGUUCCUGGUAAUAUAAGAAGAAGAGUAGCCAAAGAAUAGGAACAAAAUGUAUUGGAACCUUGUGGACUUGAAUAGUUGGUAUCCAGGUGGCAAAAAUACACAAGAAUGCACUUAACAAACUACUAAUCAACAGGCCAAGAUUCUACUUUCAAGAGACAGGUUUGUCAUCCAUGUCAAGAAGGCUUGCAAUUCAUUUUUGUGGGACUUUGGCAUCAACAAAUUUCUGGAAUUCUUUCAGGUUUCUAAAUGGAAUGGUUCAAGUCAUCAACACAUUCCUAGAAUUCUUUCGUAAAUGUCAUCAUCCUGGCCAACUUUCUUCAGUGUUGAAAGAGGGGGUGAUACCGUGUUGCUAAAAAUUACAGUCCAUAUGUACUAGAUGGACAAGAACUACAACACUUGUAUUAGAAACAUCUCUGUUGCCUGGAUUUGCAUUACCUGCCAUAAUUAAGCACCUUUUUAUUAUUGUAGCAGAGUGUUUCAGAGUCACCCAUACCUAAUCCAUCUUCAUGUCUCUCAAACAACUAGGUCCAUUGGUAGUAGAAGAAGAGCAACUUGAAUAGCUGGUCAUUUCCUUUUAUAAUUUAGGGAUAAAGGUUAAAAACUACAGCACUUGAAUAGCUGGCAUUCAGGUGGACAAGAACUACAACACUUCUUUUAGAAACAUGUAUGUUAUUUCUUCAACUCUUACUCUAUUCCCUGGAGUUGCAUUACCUGCCAUGAUUAAUCGCCUCCUAUUUAUUCUUGUGGAGAAACAGGUUUUGGUGUAUGCAAAGACUAUACAAUUAUUGCACCUCUUGAUUUUCAAGACUGCCCAGCCUCUCCUCGAGCAUCUGGAAUUGUCAAGCUGAUUUAUGGCUAACCUUCCAAGGACCUUAGGGGCUUCAUACAAGGUAGAUCUAGUGUAAGAGAUUCAGAAUUAUCUCUACCUAAUCCAUCUCCAUUUCUUUCGAAUAACUAGAUGCUAUGGCCAAAAUCUCACAUAAGGCGUCAGGUUCAUGUUGGGGCUCAUUCACAAGAUUAAGAUGAAUAUAGAAGGGGAUGUUGCUAAUCUACCACCAGCCAUGUUGUCAAGUUGUUCAAUUUCCUUGUGUUGACUAUGGCCACAGUCACAGUUGUGUGUCCUUUCCCGAAGGAAAUGUCAUUUUGAAACUUUUAAUGUCAACAACAGAACUUUCAUGUUUCUACAUUGAGGUACCUACAAAAAAUUGACUCCCUGUUAGCAUCCAAUGAUAGAAAGUAAUAAUCUGAACAAGGGAACAAGUGCUCUCCUUGCUCUUUUUCAGUAGAACACUAGUUCAUUUCCAAUCAAUUGAGGAGAAAACUAAUUCUAAACACGGAAGCCAGGUACUUGAUUUCUAUUUGACUAGUGGAACAAUUGAAAUGUAUUUACACAUUUAGCAUUAGAUAAGUUUAACAAAAUCACUAAUUAACCCCCAAACCUCUCCCCUCCACCCACCACAAAGGAAAGAAACAACGUUUUGGGAUCCUGGUAGCUUUAUGUUACAAGAUUCUGAUCAACAUAUGCUGCAAAAGUAUUAUGUUGGUCCAAUUCCACUACUUUGCAUUGCAACAAAGUAUAAGUGGGUUUUCUCUUUUCUUCAUCUUCAAAUGAAACAACCCUUCUCAAUAAAAGAAUACAAGAAAUUGAGAGCUAAGAUCAUUUCCUUUCAUUGUGCUCUGUUUACUCUUCUCCUUCUCUUGGUCUAGCCAAACAAUCUUUGGUUUGUCCAUUUCUUUUUCACCCCACAUAAAAAAGCAGCUUGUUAGGUUAUCCCAUCUCUUUAUCCCCUUGUCAAGACACAGAAUUUAAUGCAUUGUUGUCUUGGAUUCCUCCUAGUUAAAAGGAAGCUUGAAAUAUCUCCAGUGCUUCUCUGUUUCUUUGAGUCAAAGGAUAGAAUAUUGCUUUUCUUUGUUUCUUUGAGAUGCAAGAGGUUUGUACAGAACUUAGGUGAUGUAACUAUUGGUCAGUGAGGUAGGCAAAUUUGAAUUCCCUCUAGUCAUGCAGAGUAGUCUUAGAGAACUUUGGAGUCUUGGGCAUUACUGUUUAUUUAGAUAUUCAAAAUGCAUUAUUGCACAUCUUCUUGACUUCCCACAAAUGAACUUGUUUUUCACAAUCAUAAAUAUGGAGUUAUUUAAUUAUGGCAGGUAAUAUACCACCCAGAAAUUGAUGUGGAAGGUGGAGACUAACAACGACAUAGAUGUAUAUAAGGGAUUUACACUUAGUCUUGUGCAUCAAACAACCCUCAUUUAGUAUAAACCACAAAUUUUGGCAACUCGUGAUCCACAAUUUAAAGCAUGGGAGGAAGCAGACCUGUUGGAAAGACAGGAGGAGACAAUUAAAAACAUGCAAGAAUUCCAUAGAUGAGUUGUUGUUAUGAAUUAUUCAGAAUCCACUAGAAAAUUUAAAGCCCAUUAAUUUUGAACGAAAUGCCUACUUAGCAUGGAUCAAAAACUUAUUUUGUGGAAAGAAACCAAGUCUUGAGGACCAAUUCAAUUACCAAAUCUCUGGGAAACAUUAAGGCUUUUUUUAGUAGCUUCCCAAUUAGUGCAUAAGGUGGCAAUGAUAAUUGCUUUUGUGGAAGCUCUUCUUCUUCUAGUACCGAGGAAAAGGCUAUAAUCCUAAAUCUCCAUUCUCCAUGUACAGCUGUCUUCUUCUAUGCAUGUUGUCAGAGAAGAUGAGGAAGCUUCAGAAUGUUAGUUGACAAAUCAAUUGGAGCAAUGGAAUUGGAACAGGACACAAACUUCAAAACAUUAAAAGUCAGUAAUGCAGAUAAGGGCAUUUAUAUGUACACAUAUUGAUCAGAAAUAAACUCCAUCCUUUAGCAACCUAAAAACUCAAAAGAAAGAAGUAUAAUUUCAGAUAUGCAAGAUUUUGAUCAAUUAAAGUCCAAAGCAUUUUAUGUUCAUACAAAUGAGAAGACAGAAUGGCAGCUGGCUUUGAGGAUUGAAAGAAAAAUGAAUUGAUGCUACUUCUCAUUGCUAAUGCCAUUAAUUUGUUGCUGCUUUUUGUAGCCAUGUCGAGCCUGUCCAUCAGAUAAGGUUUGAAUCGCUUCUAUUAUUCUUGUUUAAGACAAUCCCUUCUUUUUUUUUCCAUUUUUUUUUCUUUACAUAGUCAAUCAUCUUGUUUCAUGUUUGCCCUAUAGUUGGUCUGCUGAUGGUAGGCUUCUUUUGAGUGGAAGCAAUGACUCUAUAUUGAAGGUAAAUUGUGGGAACUAUGUCUUUUGUGGUAUAGAUGGGGUUAUCAUAUAGUUGAAUGAUUCUAUUGCUUCCUCAUAGCUUUUCAAGGCACUAAAAAAGAAAAAAACAAAGGUAGAACUAGGAAAAAUAUUUCGUCCUGAUUUCAGGUAUACUUUUUCCUUAUGAAGUCUUAUUUUGGUAAAUUACAGUUAGAUAUAAUCACAUGG